rnacentral:lncRNA from 1 species
GUAGACGUCCUCUGCUGCCAAGUUAGGGUGCAUUGGACACUCGAACAAAGAGCCUCUCCAACACUACUUUCUGUGUUCUUCGUUCGCACCGUCCAGGGUAAAUAUAUCCCAUUUUUAUAGCAGAUUAGAUAUGAAAUUUUACCCCUUCUAUGAGAAAUCUGUUUUUCCUCAAGAUACGAUGUGCGCAUGAUUCCUCAAACACUAUCUAUCACCACAAUCAUUGAUGAACUAGCUAAGCAUCUAAGAUUUUCACGAGAUUCCUCAAUUGUGCAAAUUUUCGGAUCUGUACAACUCUGGAACCCAAGAACAGUAUGCUUAGGCAAAUUCCUCAACCACUGGUUAUAUUCCUCAAACUGUCAAACUUUUUCAUUUUGUUCAAAUCUGAGAACGCAUAUGACCUCUCCAAAUUCCUCGCAACUAUACUCUGUUCACAGGUACACACAUGUCAGCUGAUGAAUCUCUCGGUUCUCAUCACAUUAACUCAUUUGCAGCAUUUCUGGAAGAAACUCUUCAAGGCUCAUCAGAAUCCUCAAGAGUUCAAAAUCAUCAGGAAAUUCCUCGUCUGAAGAAAAUGGAGGAAGAAAGGAAACAGAAGGGAGGAAAGAAACUGGAGCAGAACACAACUGCUGAUAUUCCUGAGGACAUAUACUUGGACUAUUGUACGCCUGAUGAAGAACCUGCGACAAUGGCCAAGAGAAAGAUUAGGCUGCAGAAGAUUGAACGCAGAUGGGUGAAGGAAUGGAAGGAGUACAGGUUUGUGACUCCAAAAUAUGCGAAGAAAUUCGGUUUGAAGCCUCCUGGCAGAAGGGCCCCACUUGAGGAUCAUCAAGUAGCACAUCCCUCAAGUCUUAUGACACUUGAUGACUACCCAGAUGAAAAAGAAAGGCAUCUGGCCAAGCUCAAGAAGCAAGCUGAAGCUGCAGUGAAGAAAUUUAAUGAAUCCUCGGCUGCUGCCUCCGGUGCUGCUCAUUCCUCAGCAGCAGAAACUUCAGGCUCAGAGAUUCCUCAAAUGCAGUCUGCGCCAACAAAGCCAAAGGCUCCAAAGCCUCAAGAGAAGUCUGCACAGGCUUCUGUCACAAAACCCUCAGCUCCAAAACCCUCAGCUCCAAAACCCUCGGUUCCAAAACCGUCAACACCAAAACCAUCAGCGCCAAAACCCUCAGCACCCAUCUCAUCUACACCAAAAUCCUCAGCUCCACCUCCAAAGCCAGUACAGAAGAAUGUCGUGAAGCCUACGACAGCCAGCUCCAGCUCCUCACUCCCAGCUGCAACUAGCUCGGAGACAAAGUCUUCAACACCCCUUGUGAAGACUUUGACAACUGCUCAACCUGCACCUCUGCCCAGCCCCAGCAAAAUCAUCGCAGUCCCGUCUGGAUCAGAGGGAAGUGAUAACUAUGAUAAUGAAACCCUGCAAGCCAUCAUCAGCAACAAGCAAGAACGGGUAGCACAAGCAUCAUGCAGUGCUAUUCCUCUGGCAAUGGACCCCAAGGUCCUCCUCGACUUCAUCAAUGUAUGGUAUGAAGACCCAAACACACCCAUUGAUGAUUUGAAACUUCCUCCUGGCAUCAGCCACAUGGUGGCCACCUUCAUAAACGAAGCUAAGUGGAAGGAACAGAAGGCCAAGCAGGCAAAGAUUGCAAAGGCCAAAAAGGAGAAAUUCCUCACGCAAAAUCUCUUCAAGCUGACUCCUGAUGCACUAGUGUCAACCCAGGCAGAGCUGCAAGUCUUGACUGACAAGUGUGACAAACUGUCAGACCGCAAAAGCAUCAAGCGCAAUUUCAUCAAGCUAGCCACUAGUGCUGUUGAUGACUACAACAAACGACACCCACCACCAGCACCAACUCCUCAGCCCCUGGUUGAGCAGCCAGCAGAUACAUCUCCUGAGGAGGAGGAAACUCCUCAAGCUGAGGAACAACACCAAGAGCGCCGUGCUGAUGAGCCGGCCAUUGAAGAAAUCAUCACCGAGACCGCUACUGGUGAAAUUGCAACCCCUGAUGCAACUGCUCCUGAUCCAGCUGCUUCAUCAAAGCAGGCUGAUGACUCUGUUCCAGCUGGUUCCUCACUACGAGCUGAAGAAUCUGCAGAAAGAACACCUUCACCAAAAGCUUCAAAGGUGAAGAAGAUAAUCCCGUCUGCAUCAGACGCGAAGAAGACAAGACCUGCUAAGAAGGAAGCAAAGAAGAGAAAAGCUUCUUCAGCAGAAGAAAAGAUAGAGGCAAAGCGCGUGAAGGAAACUGAAGAAUCUGCCCCUCUGGACCCGGUGCCUCUAAAUAUUGCACCUUCAUAUGAAAUGGUCGUCAUUGGUGACCAAACUACAAGGGCAGAUGAGGAAAUGAAGGAUGUCGCCUCUGAGGAACAUACUGAUGAGGAAAUCCAGAUUGAUGACAGUCCUCAACCUCAUGUUCCUCAGACAGAGACUACUCAAGCUUCAGCUGCAGCAGCUGAUGAAAAUGCCUCUGCCACAAAGCCAGCUGAAGAAAAACAAGCUGACGAAAAUGUCCAUGCUUAGCAGGCUCCUCACUCUGAACAGGCUGACCAAACUCCUCAAGCUGAGAAGGAAGCAAAAAUUCCUCAGCCUGCAGCUCAGCCAGAGCAAGAAGUUCCAGCUGAUGAAAUUCCUCAACCUGAGGAAAAUGCUGAAGAAAAUGUUCCCGCCCCUGACAAUGACUACAUUGUGCUCAACCCAGAGACUGCCAUGGUUGUUUCCCCUCCCAUUCCCCAGCACAAUAUCAAGCCAGUUCAGCGCCAUCCAUUCUCGAAGCGGCCAAAGUUUCAGAAAGAAAAUUUCUUUGAGGAACGCAUGUAUUUCAUCGAAGAGAAUCCUUAUGACAAGCCUCAAAUGAGGCAUCUGAAGUUUUGGACAAGGACUCAGAUGAACUACUAUGCUUCUGUGCUCUGUGGACGCAAAAAGAUAUUCCAGCACAGGCACAUUCCUCAUGUGGAGCUUGAAGCAAUACCCUACUUGGAACCAGUCCUGAGUGUACUCCACGAUGCAGGUUUGCUCCCUAUGUGCUCAGACAUAUCAGAUUGGAAUAGUGAGCUUAUUCUUCAAUUCUAUGCAACUCUGCACAUCUCUGGCAACCCUGAAGACAUCAACACUUGGGUGUUCGACUGGAUGACCCAAAACACUCACUACAAGGCUCCCGCUUCUGAACUCCUCAGAGAACUGCCCGUACCAAUUUCUUCAAACGGGGCAGUGAAGCUUUAUGGUGAGCGUGAGCUGCCAAAUGGAAUGAUGGAAGUCCUCAUGAAGCCUUUGGCUGCAGGAAAACCCUCAAGAACCACAUUCCUCGUCCAUGAGCUCAAGCAAACACCCCGGUCUGUCUACCGCAUUCUCUGCAGUGUGCUCGCGCCAAUCAAAGGCCAUGACGAUGAAGAAGAUGUUGUCGGCCUCAUGAAGAAUAUCCUCUUCAACAUCAUUCACUGUAUUCCUGUGAAUAUCCAUGACUUCUUCUUGAGGACUUUGGCCGACAAUGCAAUGUGCCCCUUUGAUCACAAGAUUUAUGCCCCAUGGAUCAUGAGAUUCAUCAGGACAAGGACAGGCAUCAACUUCCAUGCUGAUUUCCAAAACCAUAUGGGUUAUAUGCCUCCUAUCCGGGUCAACAAGAAGACUUUCGAGCCCAUUGAGGGAAAAGGAAAGUCUGUGAUUGACGAAGGCAGCAGGCCUCUUGAUGGUCAGUUCAAAGAGCCAGACGCAUAUUUUUCAUGGGACAAUACUGAGACUCGUCCACCCAGCCCUGUUCCUCCUCGCGUGCUAACCACCAGAGAGCUUCUCCUCAGUCUUCAUCAGAAGGUAGAUCAGAACCACAAAUGGGUCAAACGCCAGUUUGGUGCCAUUUUGAAAACCCUCACUGAAAGCCAGAACUCUGUGAAGAUUAAUCAUCACUAUCCGCAUGAGGUUUUUGAUCACACCUGGGCUACGCUUGCACGUCUAAAGACCCAGACCGAGCUUGAAGAAAUGAACUUUGAGCAGGACUUUGACUGGUCGUGGCCUCCCAAGAAGAAGUUCAGGCCCAUUCCAGUGCCAGACCUUGAAGACAGCUCCUUCUCUUCAUUCCGCACCGCUGAGUCUGAUGAGGAACAACUCGACACCGCAACAUGCCCAAGGAAGAAGACUACACCCAAGAAGCGUCAAGGAUCUUCAUCAACCGCCAAGAAAUGAAGUCUUCACGGGCGUUAGUCCUCAGUUUGUCCCUUUUUGUCACUUGAUGACAAAGGGGGAGAAACUUGAGAGUUAGUCUUCAAACGAGAUUUAUUUUUUGGGGCCUAUGAACUAUAUUUAAGUUACAAACUCUUGGCUCUUCUGAAGUUUUUAUGUAAUGAGUUGUAACUUAAGCCUGAUGGUACUCUGACGCUUUUGAACGUUUUUCUUCGCAUGCUUAUUCCUCAAGUUUUAAUGCACGCAUGCUGGAAUUCGUCAGAUACCAUUUGUCAUCAUGCAUCUUCAUAUUCUUCAUAUGAUAUGUUAUAUGUAUGCAUGAUUUACAAGAUUCAGGGGGAGAUCUCCAUGAUAUANNNNNNNNNNNNNNNNNNNNNNNNNNNNNNNNNNNNNNNNNNNNNNNNNNNNNNNNNNNNNNNNNNNNNNNNNNNNNNNNNNNNNNNNNNNNNNNNNNNNGCUUUUGGUAGGAUUUGGCUUGGGUUGAGCAUCAUGAGGAAAUUCAUUUCCUAUUCAUCAAAUGCGAAGAAAGUAAAACAGAAAACGUAAAUCUUCACGCUUCAAUUUCUUCAGAAUGAUUUCCUUCAGGAACCACCGGUCUUCUCAAUAUCAGUGUCUUCACGAGGAAUAUCAAUUUCAUCGCAGAUUCCUCGUGAUUCAUUUCUUCAGCUUCAGACCAAUUUCUUCAACUGAAGAUAUACAUUUUUAGGGGUCGAUAUUCUUCAAAUAUCUCAAACUCCUCAAUGACUUAUAGAUCCUGUGAACACUUAUAAACACAUUAGAUNNNNNNNNNNNNNNNNNNNNNNNNNNNNNNNNNNNNNNNNNNNNNNNNNNNNNNNNNNNNNNNNNNNNNNNNNNNNNNNNNNNNNNNNNNNNNNNNNNNNNNNNNNNNNNNNNNNNNNNNNNNNNNNNNNNNNNNNNNNNNNNNNNNNNNNNNNNNNNAUCUCCCCCUUUUUGGUGGUUGAUGACAAUUAGGUUAAGUCUUCAACAGGGAUAAAAAAUAUGAAGUGUAAAUACUCAUUUGAGGAAUUUGAAGACAAGAUUCACAGAGACUCCCCCUGAAGAUGUGCAUACCUUGAGGAUUUUGCUUUUAUAGCAGAUGCACAUUGAUGAUUUAUAUCAUGGAGAUNNNNNNNNNNNNNNNNNNNNNNNNNNNNNNNNNNNNNNNNNNNNNNNNNNNNNNNNNNNNNNNNNNNNNNNNNNNNNNNNNNNNNNNNNNNNNNNNNNNNCCCUAGUUUAUGCGUUGCUUCGUAAGGGGCUGAUUUGGAUCCACUAGUAUAAUGCUAUGGUUAGACUUUGUCUUAAUUCUUCUUUCGUAGUUGGGGAUGCUUGCGAGAGGGAUUAAUCAUAAGUGAGAUGCUUGUCCAAGUAAGGGAAGUACCCAAGCGCCAGUCCACCCACAUAUCAAACUAGCAAAAUAACGAACGCGAAUCAUAUGAACAUGAUGAAACUAGCAUGACAGAAAUUCCCGUGUGUCCUCGGGAGCGUUUUCCCUCCUAUAAGACUUUGUCCAGGCUUGUCCCUUGCUACAAAAGGGAUUGGGCCACUUUGCUGCACCGUUGCUACUUUUGUUACUUGUUGCUCGCUACGAAUCAUCUCACCACACAAUCACUUGUUACCGACAAUUUCAGUGCUUGCAGAUAUUUCCUUGCUGAAAACCACUUGCCAGAUCCUUCUGCUCCUCGUUGGGUUCGACACUCUUACUUAUCGAAAGGACUACGAUUGAUCCCCUAUACUUGUGGGUCAUUAGUCAGCUUAUCUGAUUGUUUACCAGUCUACCAGUCUGCUUGUCUGCUUGGUCUUGCAAGAUGUGAGGUUCAGAGGAUAGCAAGAACAACUUGAGUGAGCUCAUGCUGAAACUGACUCUGGCACUAGUCCUGAGAGGACCCCUUCUGACCCAGGUACUCCCAGCUCCCAUGGCAUGCCCAAGUAAGCUACCAGGUCCAGAAGGAAGCUCAAUUCUGAUGAAGAAGAUGUUGACUUCAUCCCUGAGGAAUCCGCUCCCCAGAAGCAGAAGGAGAAGACCACAGUCAAGAAGACUGUGAGGAAGGAUUAUGCAAAACCUUAUAACACUAGAGCUCAUGAAGCUAGGCUUGCAAAGAAGCCAGGUGUGAAUAGAGCCCAGAAGAGAACUAUCCAUGUUAUUGGAAGGCAAACCUUAGUGUAUUGUUGUCAACUACAAGAUGUCGCUUGAAAAAUGGGACAUUGAAAAGACUAUAGCCAUGUGUGUUCAAGAAGUGGAAAGACUUAAAUCCUCACAUGGUGGUUCUCUGAACUAUGUGAAGAACAACAAGAAAAGGAACUACAAUCAAAAUAGCAAUGGUUCGGCUUCAAAGGAACAUGGCAAAGCUCCCACGCAAUAUCAGCAUCAGAAGAAGUCUUUUCCAGUGGACAAAAACACAUGUCUCCACUGUAAGAAGACUGGACAUUACAAGAAAGAUUGCCCUGAUUGGUUAAAGUUAAUAGUGGAAAAGAGAGGUAAAAACAAUGUUUCCUUUGUAAAUGAAUCUUUGUAUACACAUUUUUUGAAAUCUACUUGGUGGACUGACUCAGGUGCAACUGUCCAUGUUGCAAAUUCACUAGAGGGAUUCCAUUCGACGCGAACUAUGCAAAGAAGCGAAAGAAGCAUUGAAGUUGCAAAUGGAGUUCAAGCAGAAGUUGAAGUUGUCAGUGACAUCUCCCUGGAGUUAGCUGAUGGAUUCAAGCUUUCGCUUAGACAUGUUUUAUAUGUUUCUUCAUAUCAUAGAAACUUGAUUAGCAUGUUUGGACAAAGACCAUUAUGAAUGUUAUUUUGGACAUGGCAAGUGUGCCAUAUGGUUUAAUAAUGCUUAUGUGGGUGAUGCUUUACUUCACAAUGAGCUUUAUUUAUUAUCAUUGCAUGAAAAAGUGCAUUCUGUGUGUAAUGUGAAUGAGCAUGUUUCCUUGUCAAACAAAGAACAAAAGAAAAGAAAGAGAAGUCAUGACUCAUCGAAAUUAUGGCACUCUCGCUUGGGCCAUAUUUCGAAGGGGACAAUAGAAAGACUAGUUAAAAGUGAAAUUCUUCCUCCACUAGAGUUCUCAAACUUAGAACAAUGCAUUGAUUGCAUUAAAGGAAAGUAUGUAAAACAAAUCAAAAAGGGUGCAAACCGAAGCACAAGAACACUAGAAAUCAUUCACACUGACAUUUGUGGACCAUUUCCUGUGAAAAGUCUGAAUGGUUAUGACUCGUUCAUAACAUUCACACAUGAUUACUCCCGAUAUGGUUAUAUUUAUCCAAUAAAAUAAAGAAAUGAAGUAUUGGAUAAAUUUAAGAUAUUUAAAGCUGAAGUUGAAAAUCAGCAUGACAAAAGAAUAAAGAUAGUGAGAUCUGACCGUGGGGGAGUACUACGAUCGGCACACUCCAUAUGGCCAAGUCCCCGGACCUUUUGCAAAGUUCUUACAAGAGAUUGGCAUAGUGGCCGAGUAUUCAAUGUCGGGCGAGCCCCAACAAAAUGGAGUGGCUGAAAGGCGUAACUGUACACUUAUGGAUAUGGUGCGCAGCAUGAUGAGUUACUCCACUUCAUUGGGAUUAUGGAUGGAGGCGCUUAAAAGUGCCAUUCACAUUCUCAAUAGAGUACCAUGAAAGUCGGUGCCCAAAACACCAUACGAGUUGUGGACAGGAAGGGUGCCCUCCCUACAACACUUCUGGGUGUGGGGGAGCCGAGCUGAGGCCAAAAUGUUUAAUCCAAAUAUUGCAAAGUUAGAUCCCAAAACAGUAAGUUGCCACUUCAUUUGCUAUCCUGAUAGAUCAAAGGGUUUUCAUUUCUACUGUCCAGACAGAUACACAAAGUUUGUAGAAACAAGACAUGCAUCCUUCUUAGAGGACGAAAUGAUGAGGGGCCAUGGUAGCUCGGAAAAUUGAUCUUGAGGAGAUGAGGGUGCAUGCACCUAAUCCGAUGAUUCAGGAGCCAUUUUCUCACUACCUAUUGUAACUCGAACCAUGACAACUAUGAGAGAAGACCCGGAACCUAUCCGUCAUGAGCCGACUGAACCCGUUGUUGAGCAUGAGAGGGAGGUGCAACAGCCAUUUUUAGAAGAUGUGCUAUAAGUUGAGGCACCUAAUGUGCCACAGAAUGAGGCACUUAGAAGGUCUAACAAAACUAUAAGAUCAACUAUUUCUACUUAUUAUGAAGUUUAUAACACAUAAUUGGUUCAUAUGGAAGGUGAUCCCACUUCAUAUGAAGAAUCCAUGAGAAGCCCCCACUCAUCGAAGUCGCUAGAGGCAAUGGAAGAUGAUAUGAAAUCGAUGAGUUCCAAUGAUGUUUGGGACUUAGAAAAUAUUCCUAAAGGAUCCAAAAUAGUAGGCUCUAAAUGGGUCUACAAAACUAAGUAUGACUCUAAUGGGAAUGUAGAAAAGUAUAAAGCAUGACUUGUGGCAAAGCGAUUUACACAAAGAGAAGGGAUAGAUUACAAUGAGACAUUUUCCCCGGUCUCAUGUAAGGAUUCCUUCAGAAUCAUAAUGGCAUUAGUUGCACAUUUUGAUUUAGAGUUACAUCAAAUGGAUGUAAAGACAAUAUUUCUAAACGUGGAUUUAGAAGAAAGUGUCUACAUGAAACAACUCAAGGGUUUUAUCAUGGAAGGCAAGGAACAUAUGGGAUGCCGCCUGAAGAAAUCCAUUUAUGGACUAAGGCAAGCCUCUAGACAAUGAUAUCUAAAGUUUAAUGAGACAAUUAAAAGAUUUGGAUUUAAAGAGAAUGUUGAGGAAAACUAUGUUUAUGCAAAGUUCAAAAAUGGGAAAUAUAUUUUCCUAAUCUUGUAUGUGGAUGAUAUCUUGCUUGUUAGCAAUGAUGUUAGUCUACUACAAGAAACAAAGAAGUUCUUGUCAUCAAAUUUUGAUAUAAAAGAUCUUGGUAAAGCAUUGUAUGUUUUGGGCAUUGAAAUUCACCGAGAUAGGAAAAAUGGAGUGUUUGGACUAUAGCAGAAAGAAUAUUUAGAAAAGGUUCUCAAAAAGUACAAUAUGCAUGCGAGUAAAGCCACACCUGCUCCUAUAGUCAAGGGCUACAGUUUUGGGAAAUUCCAGUGUCCUAAGAACCAGUACGAGCUCGAUCAAAUGAAAGCAGUGCCAUAUACUUCAGUUGUUGGAAGUUUAAAGUAUGCACAAGUGUGUACUCGCCCUGACUUAGCUUUUAUCACCGGGGUACUCGGUAGAUAUCAAGAGAAUCCGGGCAUAGAGCACUGAAAGAUGGUAAAGAAAGCACUGCACUAUGCGCAAGGGGCAAAGGAACUCAUGCUAACAUACAGAAGAUCUGAUUCCCUAUAUAUAAGAGGGUAUUCAGACGCAGAUUUUGCGGGAGACAAAGAUGAGAGAAAAUCCAAGUAGGAUACGUCUUCACUCUCGUUGGAGGGGCUAUUUCAUGGAGAAGCUCCAAACAGUCCAUAGUUGCAUCGUCCGCAAUGCAUGCACAAUUUAUAGCAUGUUUUGAGGCCACCAGACAGGUGAUAUGGUUAAAGAAAUUUAUACCCGACUUGAAAGUUGUAGAUUGUAUUGACAAACCACUAAAGAUGUAUUGUGACAACCAACCCACAUUAUUCUAUGCUCACAACAACAAGUCGAGUAAUGCUACCAAAACAAUAGACAUAAAGUAUUAUGGUGUGAAAGAUAAAAUCCAAGAUCACACUAUAAGUCUCGAGCAUAUAAGGACAAAGUAUAUGCUUGCGGAUCCGCUAACGAAAGGCUUACCACAUAAUGUGUUCAAGGAACACUUAGCCGGCAUGGGUUUAAGGAAAAGCCUAUGAUUCCUGGAUCAUAAGAGGCACAAAAGGAACAUAAUUUGUUUCAAAAUAGCGAGGUAUGCUGUAGAUGUCUGAUUCUAUCGACAAUUGAGCUAUGACGAUGAAACAUGUUCUAUAUGUAUUGAUCUGUGAUGAAACGAGUAAAGUAAAAAAUUAUAUGGUUAAAAGUAAAGUUGAGAUCAAAGGGGAGAAUGUUAGGAUGAUCUCCUCCCGAGUAGGCCCAACGGCCCACCAGGCCCAUAGAUCCAUGCCCUGAUCGGGGGCACCCAACCCACUAUGGUUGGCGCCCCCCUAUCACCAGUGAUAUAUGAAGAGGUGGGGGCCGGUGGCACGCAACAUGAGGUUCCACUAGUAGAAAACAGGUCUUUCGUUUGAGCCUUUAGUCCCGGUUUGGUUUUGAACCGGGACUAAUGUGACCAUUAGUCCCGGUUCGAGCGGCUGGAGGCCAAAUGGCUUUUGUCCCGGUUCAUUAAGGGCCUUUAGUCCCGGGUUGAGCCAUGAUAACCCACAAGUAUAGGGGAUCGCAACAGUUUUUGAGGGUAGAGUAUUCAACCCAGAUUUAUUGAUUCGACUCAAGGGGAAGCGAAAGAAUAUUCUCAAGUAUUAGCAGCUGGGUUGUCAAUUCAACCACACCUGAAAGAUUUAGUGUCUGCAACAAAGUAUCAGUAGCAAAGUAGGGUGAUAGCAGCAAUAGCAACAGUAACCAGUAGCAGCAAAGUAACAGCAGUAGCAACAGAGUAACAGUAGCAGCAGUGACAGUAGCAUCAGCAAAGUAACAUAGCAAGGACCAGUAGUAAAAGACUCAUAGGCAUUGGAUCGGUGAUGGAUGAUUAUGUCGGAUGUGAUUCAUCAUGUAACAGCUAUAACACGGAGAGAUAAGUAACUAGCUCCAGUUCAUCAAUCUAAUGUAGGCAUGUAUUCCGUAUGUAGUCAUACGUGCUUAGGGAAAAGAACUUGCAUGACAUCUAUUGUCCAUCCCUCCCGUGGCAGCGGGUCCUAAUGGAAACUACGAGAUAUUAAGGUUCUCCUUUUAAUAAAGAACCGGACCAACGCAUUAACACUUGGUGAAUACAUGAACUCUGCAUACUAUGGUCAUCUCCGGGAGUGGUUCCGGCUAUUGUCACUCUGGGGUUGCCGGGUCAUAACACAUAGUAGGUGACUACAACUUGCAAGAUAGGAUCUAAAACACACAUAUAUUGGCGAUAGCAUAAUAGGUUCAGAUCUGAAAUCAUGGCACUCGGGCCCUAGUGACAAGCAUUAAGCAUGGCAAAGUAGUAGCAACAUCAAUCUCAGAACAUAGUGGAUACUAGGGAACAAUCCCCGUCAAAACUAACUCGAUUACAUGAUAGAUCUCAUCCAACUCAUCACCGUCCAGCAAGCCUACGAUGAGAUUACUCACGAACGGUGAAGAGCAUCAUGGAAUUGGCGAUGAAGGAAGGUUGAUGAUGACGAUGGCGACGAUCUCCCCUCUCUGGAGCCCAGAACGGACUCCAGAUCUGCCCUCCAGAGGAAGAACAGGAGGUGGCGCCGCCUCCGUAUCGUAAAAUGCGAUGAAUUAUUCUCCUUGAUUUUUUUCCGGGCAAGACGGACUAAAUAGAGUUGAGAUUGGAGGCGGUGGAGCAACGUGGGCCCCACAAGCCUGGCAGGCGCGGCCGGGGGGGCGCCUGGUGGGCUUGUGGGCUCACAGCUCCACCCUUUGGUUGAUUCUUGCGCUAGUAUUUUUCAUUAAUUCCAGAAAAAUUCUCCGUAAAUUUUCAGGUCAUUCCGAGAACUUUUAUUUCUGCGCAAAAACAACACCAUGGCAAUUCUGCUGAAAACAACGUUAGUCCGGGUUAGUUCCAUUCAAAUCAUGUAAAUUAGAGUCCAAAACAAGGGCAAAAGAGUUUGGAAAAGUAGAUAUGACGAAGACGUAUCAAGCCACGAACCGGGACUAAAGGCGUGGUGGCAACCGUUCGCCUGGUGCGAGCCCCUUUAGUCCCGGUUGGUGUCUCAAACCAGGACUUAAGGUCCAAACCGUUCGCAUCCCGUGUCGUUUCGUGCGAUGAAAAACAGGAUAAGUGGCCAUUUUCGAGGUCUACAGUAACCGUGCGCGGCCAUUCUCGUCUCCUCUGCUCUCUCCUCUCUUGUUCCCCAUAUCUUCCACCAUGGAUGAUCCAAUCACUCGCUAUGGGGAGGUGCUCGCACAUGGCACGACAAAACUCAAUGUCGUCUACACGAACGACAGCACCAUGGUGCCGCGUUUUCUUUCCCAUUUCAAGGAACGACUUGAAGUGGCGGAGGAGAAAGACAAAUUCAUGGGGCUUGAUCUCUAGUACACGGCCAAUCAAGAAGAUGUUGUCGUCAUCCAACUUUGUUUCAACAGAAAAGUCAUGGUCUUCCAAUGGGCAAGGUAAGUUUUGAGGCUUUUCUUUGAUCAAAGGUUAUGAAAACUGCAUGGGAUAGCAAUAUGUUCUAUUUGAAUCCUAAAGAUCAAUUUCUCUUUAGUUGUAGUGAAACAAUUUUCCUUGUUGCAUAUUGGCAAAACCGUGGGAGAACAUAUAUGUCAUAGUUAAUUUAGGGUUUCUUGAUCAAUUCAUAGGAUCAAAAUUUCAUUGGAUAGCAAUAUGUUCCGUUUGAAUCCUAUGAGAAAUAUCUAUUCCUCUUUAGUUGUAGUGAAAGAAUUUUCCUUGUUGCAUAUAUUUAUUCUUUCGAUUCAUAUAUGAAAAUUGCAUAGGGUAACAACAUCUAGGGCUUCUUUUGAUUCCUCUUUUGUUGAAGUGAACAAAUUUUCCUUUAUAGUUUUAUAUUAUACUUUUUCCAAAAUAUACUUUUUAUGGUUCUUAAUUAUUAUACUUCUGCCGAAAUAUACUUGUUUUGCAAUAGUAUGUAACAUUUGUUCCAUUUUAAUUUGUUGUUGUUGCAGUAGUGACAAGCAAUGUCCAGUACUCAUGUACUUCCUUCAUAGUGGCAUACGUUUUGAUAGUGUUGAUAUAAGGAAUAACAAGCUCAAGAUGAGGCACAACUUCGGUAUUGAGAUACCAGCUGACUGCCACAUUGAUAUCCAAGACAUAUUCAGGGUUGAACAUACGAGGACUUCGAUGGCUCAUAUGGCAGUCGCCAUGAUCGACGAGGAGUACGCUGAUAUGAAGACCAAAUUCCCCUCGGAUCAGCACAAAGAGUGGGAGACGACCCCAUGAUACGUCUCAAACGUAUCUAUAAUUUUUGAUGGUUUCAUGCUGUUAUCUUGUCAACUUUGGAUGUUUUAUAUACCUUUUAUAUCCUUUUUAGGACUAACUUAUUAAUUCAGUGCCAAGUGCUAGUUCCUGUUUUUUCUGUGUUUUUGACUCUUUUCAGAUAUGAUUUUGGGACGGAGUCCAAACGAAAUAAAAUCCCCGAAAUAAAUUUUUCAAGAACAAAAGAAGAUCGGGGGACUUGACGACCAAGGCAGGGGGCCCACAGGGAGCCCACAAGCCCUGACGCUGCGGACAGGGGGCCCGCGGCGACCAGGCUUGUGGCCUCCCUGGAGCUCCCCUGCCCUAACUCUUUGCCCUAUAAAUUCCCUAAAAUCCCAGAAAAAAAUCAGGGCAUCCACGAAAACACUUUUCCGCCGUCGCAAGCUUCAGUUUCCGCGAGAUCUCAUCUGGAGACCCUUCCCGGUGCCCUGCCGAAGGGGACUUUGGAGUUGGAGGGCUUCGACAUCAACAUCAUCGCCUCUCCAAUGACUUGUGAGUAGUCCACUUCAGACCUACGGGUCUGUAGUUAGUAGCUAGAUGGCUUCUUCUCUCUCUUGGAUCUUUGGCAGUGUGUUUGUCGAGAUCCCAUGAAUUGUGGAUUUUUGAUCAGAUUAUCUAUGAAUUAUAUUUGAGUCUUUGCUGAUUUCUUAUAUGCAUGAUUUGAUAUCCUUGUAAGUCUCUCCGAGUCUUGGGUUUUGUUUGGCCAACUAGNNNNNNNNNNUGGUUCAUACCGUGCGGUGACCUUUCCCAGAGACAGAAGGGGAAGCAAGGCACGUAUCGUGUUGUUGCCAUCAAGGGUAACAAGAUGGGCUUUCAUCAUAGAUUUGAGAUUGUCCAUCUACAUCAUGUCAUCUUGUUUAAGGCGUUACUCUUUUCUUAUGAACUCAAUACACUAGAUGCAUGCUGGAUAGCGGUCGAAGUGUGGAGUAAUAGCAGUAGAUGCAGAAAGUAUCGGUCUACUUGUUUUGGAUGUGAUGCUUAUAGAUAUGAUCAUUGCCAUAGAUAACGUCAUGACUUUGCGCGGUUCUAUCAAUUGCUCGACAGUAAUUCGUUCACCCACCGUCUACUUGCUUUCAUAAGAGAAGCUACUAGUGAACACUACGGCCCCCGGGUCUAUUCACAACUAUCGUCUCCACCUUUACUUUUACUUUGCUUUGUUUACUUUUUUUGCUUUCAGUUCUCACUUUGCAAACAAUCUAUAAGGGAUUGACAACCCCUUCAUAGCAUUGGGUGCAAGCUCUUUGUGUUUGUGCACGUACUUGUGACUUGACGCGAUCCUAUUACUGGAUCGAUACCUUGGUUCUCAAACUGAGGGAAAUACUUACUGCCGCAGUGCUACAUCACCCUUUCCUCUUCAAGGGAACACCAACGCAAGGCUCCAAGGCUGCGGGGGAAUCCUUUGCAUAUUUGCCAAGGAAGUCCCUGUAGGCGUAGCCAGCAUCAUAAGGAUUCCUCACGUCAUUGCCGGGGAAGGUCUUUUGUUGCUGUAGCAGAAGGAUUUCUGGAGCUGUUGCCGGGGAGGAGAGAUCAAGUCAAGAUCUAUCCAAGUAGGUGUCACAAACUCAUCUCUCGCAUUUACCUUUUUUGCCAGUUGCCUCUUGUUUUCCUCUCCCCCACUUCAUAUUUGCCGUUUUCAUUUGCCUUUCUUCUUUGCCGUUUUCUUUUGCCUUUUUGCCGUUCUCUUUUGCCCGUUUCACUCGCUUACUUCCUGCUCGUUUGUGUGUGGGAUAGUCCAUCAAUGGCUAGACCCACCACUCCAAAUGAUACCCCUGAGAACGAAGUUCUCAACUUCAAGCAGAAUGAGGAAGAAAAUUUAAAGGACGCUUGGUACAGGAUUUGCAAUGCUCAAAGUAGAUCCACUCGUAAGGAAUCCACUACCAUUCUUCUUCGUAGUUUUUAUGUUGGAAUCUCUCCUUGGAAUAGGUAUAUUCUUGAUACCAUCGUAAGCGGGAAUUUUUUGGGGAGCCAUACUGUUGACUCCUAUGGAGCUAUCAUGAAUUUGGUAGGCUCACCCCCGCUCAUGGUUAAUGGAACUACCUUGACCUUGGAACACGUGAUGCAAAGGCUUGACGCUAUUGAAAACAAAAUUGCCACAAUUGAACUUAUUGAGGGUUUGGAUAGAAAGAUCCACAAUCAAAUUACUCAGUACGGAUCCAAAGUGGGAAUGGUUUUGAAAAAUUUAAGGGAGAAGGAACCUAUAGUUAAUGAUUCCUCUAGAAUUCGCAAACUAGAAGAUGUCAUAACCAACUUGGGUUCCGCUUUUGCCGCUGUGCAAAAUACUCCAAAUCUCACUCUCUAAAAGACCGUCAAGUCUGGUUUUGUUCCUAAAGCUAGUGGUGAGUCAUCCAAUAAAGAUGAAGAUCUUAAGAUGAUAGAUGAUCACACUACUUAUGGUUUGAGCACCAAAGAUGACUAUAGGUGAUUCCAUCACCUUAUGCCUAGCUAAGGGCGUUAAACAAUAGCGCUUGUUGGGAGGCAACCAACAAAUCUAUUCUUUUUCUUUCUGUUUUGUGUUUUACACACUUUCAUAAUUCUGUUAUGAUUGUGUUUUUUGUGUUUCUUUUUGCAUUUAUGCCAAGGAAAACCGUUAUGAUUAGUCUUGGGGAUGAUCGUUUGGUCAUGCUGGAAAAGACAUAAACUUUCUGCUCACGAAAAGAAUUUUCAUUUCUUUUAUGCAAGAGAUUUUGAGUUGAUUCUUUUUCCUGCUGAUUGCUACGCAAAUUCUUCAUACUUCCAUAACUUUUCAGAAUUUUGGAAGUACCAGAAGUAUACGAAGUAUACAUAUUGCUACAGACUGGUCUGCUAUUAACAAAUUCUGUUUUUGUUGAGUUGGUUGCUUAUUUUGAUGAAACUAUGGAUAGUAUUGGGGGGUAUUAGCCAUGUAAGAUUGAAAGCACAGUAACCCAACAUCAACAUAAGUAGAAUUUAAGUUUUCUACAGUACCUAAGGAAGUGGUGGUUUGCUUUCUUAUACUAAUGAUAUCACGAGUUUCCGUUUAAGUUUCGUGUUGUGAAGUUUUCAAGUUUUGGGUGAAGUUCUUAAGGACAAAGAGAUAAAGAGUGGCAAUAGUUCAAGCUUGGUAAUGCCCAAGGCACCCCAAGUUGAUUCAAGGAUGCCGGAAAAGCCUAAGCUUGGGGAUGCCUCGGGAAGGCAUCCUCUCUUUCGUCUUCAAUCCAUCGGUAACGUUACUUGGGGCUAUAUUUUUAUUCACCACAUGUUAUGUGUUUUGCUUGGAGCGUCUUGUAUCGUAGGAGUCUUUUAUUUUUGUUGUGUCACAAUCUUCCUUGCUGCACACCUAGAGAGAGAGACAUGCACUCACCGUGAUUUUGUCCAACUUCACUUAUAUCCUUUGGUUAGACAAUUCAGCUCACAUGUGCUUCACUUAUAUCUUUUGAGCUAGUUGAUUUUGCUCUGUGUGCUUCACUUAUAUCUUUUAGAGCACAGCGGUGCGUGGCUUGGUAGUUGGCUUAUGCUAUGAAAGUAGUCUCAAAAGGGGUAGUUAUCCAAAGGGAUAUGAAAACUUCCACCUUCAUGUGCAUUGAGUAGUUAGAGAAGUUUGAUUCAUCUCAAUUUGUUUUGAGUUGUGGUUGUGGUAAUAUUGAAGUUAUAUUAGUAAGGUGUUGUGGAUCUAGAAAUACUUGUGUUGAAGUUAGUGAUUUACGUAGCAUGCACGUAUUGUGAACCGCUAUGUGAUGAAGUCUGAGCAUGAUUAGUCUAUUGAUUGUCAUCCUUUGUGUGGCGGUUGGGAUCGCGCGAUGGUUUAUACCUACCGAAGGCAUUCCAUAUAGAGUCAUCAUUGCUCUAAGUUUUGAGUUGUACGUGUGAUGAUCAUCAUUGAUGGAGCAUUGUACCAUGUGAGGAAAUAAAAAGAGGCCAGCGAAGCCCAUUUACAAAAAGAGGCCAAAGAUGCCCACCAAAAAAAAGAGGCCAAAGAGCCCACCAAAAAAAAUGAGAGAAAAAGAGAGAAGGGACAAUGCUACUACCUCUCCACACUUGUGCUUAUUAAGCACCAUAAUUAUCAUGAUUGAGAGUCUCUCGUUUUUUCACCACCAUAUAGCUAGUGGGAAAUUUUCAUUAUAUAACUUGGCUUGUAUAUUCCAAUGCGAGGCUUCCUCAAAAUUGCCUUAGGUCAUCGUGAGCAAGCAAGUUGGAUGCACACCCACUAGUUUUCUUUAAGAGCUUUCACAUACUCUUAGAUCUAGUGCAUCAUUUGUAUGGCAAUCCCUAGUCAUUCACGUUGAUAUCUAUUGAUGAGCAUCUCCAUAGCUCAUUGAUAUGCCUAGUCAAUGUGACCAUCUUCUCCUUGUUUACCUUGCAACCUCCACCACACUCUAUUCCACUUAUAGUGCUAAAACCAUGGCUCACGCUCAUGUAUUGCGUGAGAGUUGAAAAGGUUAGAGAAAGUAAAGGUGUGAAAACAAUUACUUGGCCAAUACCGAGGUUGUGCAUGAUUUAAAUUCGUUGUGCAAGGAUGAUAGAGAAUAGCCAGACUAUAUGAUUUUGUAGGGAUAACUUUCUUUUGGCCUUGUUAUUUUGAAAGUUCAUGAUUACCUUGCUAGUUUGCUUGAAGUAUUAUUGUCUCCACGUCAAUAGCAAACUAUUGUUUUGAAUCUAAUGGAUCUGAACAUUCACGUCACAUAAGAGGAGUUACAAAGGACAUCUAUGCUAGGUAGCAUGAAAGCAUCAAAAAUUCAUUCUUUAUCACUUCCCUACUCGAGGAUGAGCACGAGUUAAGCUUGGGGAUGCUUGAUACGUCUCAAACGUAUCUAUAAUUUUUGAUGGUUUCAUGUUGUUAUCUUGUCAACUUUGGAUGUUUUAUAUACCUUUUAUAUCUUUUUUGGGACUAACUUAUUAAUUCAGUGCCAAGUGUCACUUCCUGUUUUUUCUGUUUUUUGACUCUUUUCAGAUCUGAUUUUGGAACGGAGUCCAAACGGAAUAAAAUCCCCGAAAUAAUUUUUUCCAGAACAGAAGAAGAUCGGGGACUUGAGGGCCAAGGCAGGGGCCCACAGGGAGCCCACAAGCCCUGACGCCGCGGCCAGGGGGCGCGGUGACCAGGCUUGUGGCCUCCCUGGCGCUCCCCUGCCCUAGCUCUUUGGCCUAUAAAUUCCCUAAAAUCCCAGAAAAAAUCAGGGCAUCCACGAAAACACUUUUCCGCCGCUGCAAGCUUCCGUUUCUGCGAGAUCUCAUCUGGAGACCCUUCCCGGUGCCCUUCCGGAGGGGACUUUGGAGUUGGAGGGCUUCUACAUCAACAUCAUCGCCUCUCCAAUGACACGUGAGUAGUCCACUUCAGACCUACGGGUCCGUAGUUAGUAGCUAGAUGGCUUCUUCUCUCUCUUGGAUCUUCAAUACAAAGUUCUCCAUGAUCUUCAUGGUGAUCUAUCUCUCGUGGUUUUGUCACGACAGAUGUCCUAGUGAAAGGACUUAAUGAUGGAGCCAUCGCACCUUGGUGGCGACUCAAAGGGGUUAAGCGGAAGCGGGACUCAUAUUUACCAGGUUAGGCCCCUCGUGAGGAGGUAAAGGCAUACGUCCUGCUUUGUGUUGUAUUGAUGAUGUUUCGAUUACAAAGAGAGNNNNNNNNNNNNNNNNNNNNNNNNNNNNNNNNNNNNNNNNNNNNNNNNNNNNNNNNNNNNNNNNNNNNNNNNNNNNNNNNNNNNNNNNNNNNNNNNNNNNNNNNNNNNNNNNNNNNNNNNNNNNNNNNNNNNNNNNNNNNNNNNNNNNNNNNNNNNNNNNNNNNNNNNNNNNNCGAGGACCUAGGGUUUACAAGAGUGCAUGCCUUAAUACAAACCGUGAUUCUUUCUAUCUCUAAGUCGCCGUGCUUUCCAAGACUCGAAACCUUCUCGGCUACUUAUCCUCUAUGUAGAUUUGGAACCGCCAUCCAGCUCCUGGGCCUUAUGGCCCAAAGCUUGCUUCGCCAAAGGAUGAGUCGCCCACUUAGUCACCCGACCCAACUAGGGCGGGUCACACCGCAGGUAAUAUCCCCAACAUUAGGCCCCAGAUUGACUUGAACCUGUUCAUGCCAAUAAACUUUUAUCCAGUUUAGGAGCGACUCAUUCCACUCCUUUCAUGCACCUUACGCUUAAGCCACCAUUCCUCAUGAAAACACCUAAGCCGCCGAACCAUUUCCGAUGACAUCACCUUAUCCCCUUAAUUUCGUAAAACGAUGACGCAAUCUCCAACGGAUCCCGCGGCACAAAUAUCUCGAAAAUCUUGGCGCCAUAAUUGCAAAUCUUUAACUUGUCUUUUAGGUUCCCGCGCGAGGCACCUCGAUUCCAGCACCUGACCCAUUAAACAGGCUCGGGAAGGGGAGCGAAAGGAAUCUCCACCUACUGAUUUUGUCUGUCCCUUCUUCCUCGCGACCACGCGAAGAACUCCGCCGCUGCCCGAGGAGCUCCGUCGCCGCCCGAAGAACUUCGCCACCGGCCAUCGCGUCCGACGCAUCUCCGAACUGUAAGUGCAUCUAGUGCCCCUUAGUGAUUUUGGUGGUUUGAAGACUUAUAGGUUAAGUAUCUAAUGUGUUUAUAAGUGUUCACAGGAUCUAUAAGUCAUUGAGGAGCUUGAGAUAUUUGAAGAAUAUCGACCCCUAAAAAUGUAUAUCUUUAAUUGAAGAAAUUGGUCUGAAGCUGAAGAAAUGAAUCAUGAGGAAUCUGCGAUGAAAUUGAUAUUCCUCGUGAAGACACUGAUAUUGAGAAGACCGGUGGUUCCUGAAGGAAAUCAUUCUGAAGAAAUUGAAGCGUGAAGAUUUACGUUUUCUGUUUUACUUUCUUCGCAUUUGAUGAAUAGGAACACCGUACUGUUAAAGGGGGUCAAAGUAACACUAUGGAAUGAAUUUCCUCAUGAUGCUCAACCCAAGCCAAAUCCUACCAAAAGCCUCAAAGUAACACUAUGGAAUGAAUUUCCUCAUGAUGCUCAACCCAAGCCAAAUCCUACCAAAAGCCUCAAGUGAGGAAUAGGAGUGACAUGAGGACUCUCACAGUUGAGGGUCCCGACCGUUUCGAUAACCACGCCAAGUCACUGGUCUUAUCCACUCCAACGGUCAUAUUAUUUAAGGGCAUUAGUGUCAAAUCAUGUCGGGAUGCUCCCAGGCUAUAAAUAGCCGCCCCCCACAACCACUAGCUGGUUGGCUGCUCCGUUAGAAACUGACACUUGUCAUAAGAGCAACCCAAAUUCCUCAGAGCCUUCGAGAGUAAAUCAUAAGUGAGCAAAUACACCACCCACCGAAACCACAAACCAAACCUAGUGAUUGAGCAUCACUGAAGAAGUUGUUCCUGUGUGGGACNNNNNNNNNNUUAUAAAUAGCCGCCUCCACAACCACUAGCUGGUUGGCUGCUCUGUUAGAAACUGACACUUGUCAUAAGAGCAACCGAAAUUCCUCAGAGCCUUCGAGAGUAAAUCAUUAGUGAGGAAAUACACCACCCACCGAAACCACAAAUCAAACCUAGUGAUUGAGCAUCACUGAAGAAGUUGUUCCUGUGUGGGACUGAAACCUUUUACCUUUGAGGACUGUGCAUCCUCCAGACGGUUAGGCGUCAUGGUCUAGAGCAAUCCAGUAGUCAAUUGUGGAUCGCCGGAUGACCGAGUUUGUGAGGGUUUGGAAGUCUGCCCUGAAGACUUACCACGAGUGUUGGGCGAGGAUUGUGUGUCCUUAGCUCAAGGAGAAUACGGUAGGGACUGUGUGUCCUGGGACUGGGUGUCCUUUGGUUUCAAUACCAAGCCGCUCCAAACCAGAUGUACAACUGUCACAUCAGUUGGAACUGGGUCAUCAACCACUGUCGUUUGUGAGAAUCGGGUUCUAAUUCCUCAACUCUUUACUUUCUCUGUAUUAUGUGUUGAUGACUUUCACUGUGACUGUUUGAAGAAUUUGUUGAAGACUUUCUCUGAAUUUCCUCAACCCCAAAUUCUUCACAAUAGUUAAUAAUCAUCUGUAUUCUGCGUGCCUGCUUACUGUGCCAUCUGUUUUCACAUUCUUCACUCUGAAAUACUGCUGGUGUGAACGUUUGCACGUCUGAUCCUUUACUGUUUUCGUUGUAAGUUAGUCAUCAGUGAGGAAUUUCCUCAAAAGGAAUUUCCUCAGUGAUGAAAUUCUAAAAAUCUCCUAUUCACCCCCUCUAGUCGAUAUAACGCACUUUCAAUUGGUAUCAGAGCAAGGUACUCCCUUGUUCCGUGUGAUUUUGGUUUAACCACCUGGAGUUUUAGUUAUGUCGACUGCAGGCAUGUUCAAGGUGACUGCACCAUGUCCCACCUACGAAGGGAAGAACUUUCCUUUCUGGAAGAACAAAAUGCAACUGCAUCUACAAGCUAUUGAAAUGAUCUCUCGUAUAUUGUGGAAAAUGGCGUCCCCAUCGUUUCUGCCAGUGUCACUGCAGCUGAUGUGAAGAGAUUCAAGCAACUCAAUUCUCAAGCGAAGAACAUCAUCUGUGGCUAUCUGAGCCCGGGCCAGUUUGGAAGAGUAAGUGCUUUGGGCUCUACAACACUGAUCUGGGAGAGACUGUGCAAGGUAAAUGAAGGAGUAUCAACCCAGCGUGACUCUCGUGUUGAUAUUCUUCGCAAUCUCUUCAAUCGCUUAAAGAGACAUGACAAUGAAUGCUGCCAAGACACCUUUGAUUGCCUCACUAAUAUAUCAAAUGAACUGCAAGCACUGGGAGCUCGAGACAUCACUGAUCACGAAGUUGUGAAGAAACUGCUGAGAUCCUUGGAUCCUUCAUUUGACACUCUAGUUCUGAUGAUUCAAGAAAGACCAGACUACAAGAUGCUAGAUCCAGCUGAUAUUCUUGAAAGGCUAAAUACUCAUGAAUUCCAGCAAGAAGAAAAGAGAGAUCUAUAUGGACAAAGCUAUUCCAGACCACGUGCACUGAAGGCUAGAGCAAUUUCCUCAUCUGAAGAAGAAACAGAUGACAACAGUUGUGACCCUGAAGAAUUUGGACAGGAGCUCGCAAUGCUUGUGAGGAAAUUCCAGAUAUUUACACACCGAGGUCAGUUCGGUAAAUCAUCAAGAAGAGACAUGAGGAAAUCAGAAUCUGCAUCUGAGGACUACAAGAAACGGACCUGUCACAAGUGCAAGAAAUCAGGUCAUUACAUUGCUGAUUGUCCCCGCUGGGGAAAGGAAUCAAAGAAGAAGAAAUACAAGGAUGACAGUUCUGAUGACUCGAAGAAGAAGAAGAAAUCUUGAAAAUCCUCAUCUUCAAAGUCCUAUUCACACAAGAAGACUAGCUUCAGAAAGGCUCGGGCACUUAUUGGCAAGGAAAUGGAUUCCGAGGCAGAAUCAGAGGAAUGUGAUGAAGGAGAAGGCUCUGGAGAAGACUCAGAAUCCGGACAGGCUAGUCUUGCACUAGCAACCACUUUCGUCAGCAAGUCAAUCUUCAAUCUUGAAGAAAAUGAUUGCACCAUCCAUACUGAUGACUAUGCUGAUGACAUCGCUCCAACCUAUUGCUUCAUGGCAAAAGGUUCAAAGGUAUCAAAUGAUGCCUCCUCCUCUGAUUCAAGUGACUGUGAACNNNNNNNNNNGCAGUUGGAACUGGGUCAUCAACGACUUCGUCUCUGAGAAUCGAGUUCUAAUUCCCCAACUCUUUACUUUCUCUGUAUUAUGUGUUGAUGAGUUUCACUGUGACUGUUUGAAGAAUUUGAUGAAGACUUUCUCUGAAUUUCCUCAACCCCAAAUUCUUCACAAUAGUUAAUAAUCAUCUGUAUUCUGCGUGCCUGCUUACUGUGCCAUCUGUUUUCACAUUCUUCACUCUGAAAUACUGCUGGUGUGAACGUUUGCACAUCUGAUCCUUUACUGUUUCCGCUGUAAGUUAGUCAUCAGUGAGGAAUUGCCUCAAAAGGAAUUUCCUCAGUGAUGAAAUUCUAAAAAUCUUCUAUUCACCCCCCCCCUCUAGUCGAUAUAACGCACUUUCACGAACCAAAUGAGGACGCCAUCCUUACCACGGGUCCCCCGCAGUUGCUUCCGGACGGCAUUAAUAGGUUAGUCCUUCGCCAUUAUAAACAGAUCUCAACUCCUCGGUGUUCGUCAUUCGCUGCUUCUUAGAACUCCUCGAACGCCUCUUUGCAUGCCAAUUGAUUCAUAGCGGUAAUAAGCAUGGUAGUAUUGGCCGUAUCCCCAAUCAAUCAGCUCCAGUUUGAAGAACCUAGAAGGUUUCAGUCAAGUCACCCUUGCCAUAGUUACUUUUAGCCAUGGUCUGUUUCACCUUAUCCAGGCCUUCUUUCCGUUCAUUUUAACUUUGUUCGUAGAUCUAUAUCUCUCUACUUGCCACGUAGAAACUUGUUUGUAGAUCCACACUUCACCGCUUGUCGUGUAGAAAUUUAUUUGUAGAUCCACACUUCCCCGCUUGCUAUGUAGAAACUUAUUUGUAGUUCCACACCUCACCGCUUGCCAUGGAAUGCCCUCGGAUAACUCCUUUGGGUAACAAGAAAUUUCUAAAUCGCCCUCGUGCCCAAACCUGGUUCCUUAUUGGCAAGUUAAUAAAUUCUCUCAGCCACUCGACAAGCGUUUUGGCGGGUUAAUUUACCCGUGAACUUUUUCCUCUGUAGCUAUGGGUACCGUUUUUAAGGCCGACUGGCUCCCGACCAAAAUUGACGACACCUUCCUCGAGCAGUGCGUAAAGAUAGGGAACCUUGACCCGAAGGAAGUCAUUGGAUGGCGAUUUGUACUAGGCAACGAAAUUCCCAACCCGGCCGAAGGGGAAAUAGUUGUUUUUGCUGACCACCUCGAACGAGGGUUUAAGCCGCCAGGGUCAAAAUUCCUCAGAGAUGCUAUGUUUUUCAUGAACGUCCGCCUCCAAGACCUGGGCCCCAACUCGAUCAGCAACAUGUGCCAAUUCCAGGUAUUCUGUGAAGCUUACCUACGAAUGGAACCGUCAGUCACUUUGUUUUGGUACUUCUUCCACCUGAAUCGCCAGACCGAGUUCUCCAAUGGCCCUAGCUUAGAACUUGGAGGGGUUAACGUUCAACGACGCACGGACAGUCCAUUCCCAUCACUCGCCAUGCCCAGCCACCCCAAAGGCUGGGCCGAGUCUUGGUUUUAUUUCCGGGACACUUCUCCUCCGGGUGAAAACAAACUCCUAGGCUACAGGAAGGAGCGUCUGCACAUAAACUUCAAACUUCCUGACAAGCUCACCGAAGAAGAUGAAUCAGAUUUCAUUCCAGUGCUAUCCGAGUUACGAUCUUUAACAAACAAUGGCCUUACUGGAGUUGAUCUGAUCCGCUGUUGGAUGGAAUGGCGCAUCCUUCCCUUGAGUCGCCGAGACGGCUUGAUGUGCGAGUUUGAUGGUACUUUGAACCAUACCCAAUGCUACUUCCACACAACACUCACAGAGGAAGACAUUGUGAGCAUUAUCAAGAAGCAAACCGGCGAGCCUUUGUCCAAGUGUAGCCAAAUAGGGCUUAGGCCAUUUUGCAAGAUUAACCCGGCUCCCAAGGUAAAUAAUUUGACCCGCCUUUGGUUCACUCUUUCCGACUUACUCGGAUUUUGACUUGCAUAAUGACAAUUCCACCUCAGAAGGGCGACCAAUUCUGGCCACGAAGGCCGAAGAAGAUUGCCCUGAAGCAAAUCAAACCGCCUCCAAAAAGAUGUCCAAGCGUAAAAACCAAACCGAUGUUGCUGAAUCGUCUGAUGUGGACGAAUCCCAAGUCGGCGAAGCGUCUUCACAGGUAAAAUUUUAUCCUUUUUGUCUUGACGCCCUUUUACUCUAAUUUGUGCUUAUAUGUCUGCAUUUCCAUGUAUAGAAUGAUGAUAACUAAAGCCAGGAUGACGCCGUAGAGGUAAUUUCCAUUUCUUCCGACUCAACUUCUCCUUCGCCUAAGCCGGCCAGGCGAGUUUGUUGGAAAGUUCCCAUGUCUCACCCGAAUGCUUGUCUGGACCCUAAUUUCCUCUUGAAAAGGCGCAACACACUUCCUUUCGGAAAACUCGAAGCCACUCAGGGGAUUUGAUGUCCGGGUUACCAGUAAAAACCCUACCAAGAAACGGCGAAAUGAGGUACCCUCUAUCAAUUUCUACCUUCGUUUUCUUUUGGAUCACACUUGUAACUCGCUCAUAUUUUGAGAUAUUACUUUUGCAGACUUCUCCCCCUUCGUCGGGCGACUCAGUGAUGUCGGCCCUUCCGCCAAUGAUUCGCGUACAAGGCUAAAUCCUUAUAAUACUUAUGUAUUUCCUGAUGAUAAUGAUGCUUGCUUCAAAAAUGACCCUCUUUUUCUUAGAGCGCAAGCAAAGAAGAGGAAAACCGACGGCUCAACUUCCACUCCUUCUGCUCCAGAGCUUAAAGAAGACCCAGCACCGGCUCGUGUUGACCCGGCAAAAGAUAUACCUGGUGACCGAAUUGACCUUCCAAGUUCUCCCAAGCAAGGCAUGAAAACAACUAACCUGCCAAGUCCGUUGAAGGCGGCUGAAGAUCCUGAUGCUGUGGUCAUUAUUGGUACUGGCUUCUCUAAGCCGGCUUCGGCAAUCUUAUCGAAGCAUGUAUCAACAUCGUCCCAUCCUUCCACCAGACAUGAGAUCUCCAAGGCCAAACUUCCUCAAUAUGAAAAACUUGAGUUUGAUGAACUCUGCUCCGACUUCGCAAGCCGCCUGGAAACAAGUUAUGAAAUGGAGAAGAACCUGCUCCAUAUUAUGAAGAAUAAACAUGAGGUACGCCUUAAUGCAUACCGUCCUCAUUAGCCCCCAAGGGUCGGGUCAUCUUUUGAAAGAUGAGCCGGGUCUUGAUGUAGAAAAAAUCUUCGACCUGUAACCCCCAAGGGCCGGGUCAUCUUUUGAAAGAUGAGCCGAGUCUUGAUGUAGAAAAAAAUCUUCGACCUGUAAUCCCCAAGGCCCGGGUCAUCUUUUGAAAGAUGAGCCAGGUUUUGAUGUAGAAAAAACUUCGACCUGUAACCCCCAAGCGCCGGGUCAUCUUUUGAAAGAUGAGUUGGGUCUUGAUGUAGAAAAAAUCUUUGACCUGUAACCCCCAAGGGCCGGGUCAUCUUUUGAAAGAUGACCCGGGUCUUGAUGUAGAAAAAAUCUUCGACCUGUACCCCCAAGGGUCGGGUCAUCUUUUGAAAGAUGAGCCUGGUCUUGAUGUAGAAAAAAUCUUCGACCUGUAACCCCAAGGGCUGGGUCAUCUUUUGAAAGAUGAGCCGGGUCUUGAUGUAGAAAAAAUCUUNNNNNNNNNNAUUGAAAGAUUUGCCGAGUCUUGCUCGUGGUAUAAUUUUGUAUGUUUUAAAAAAUUAUACAUUAGCCCCCAAGUGUCAGGGAUGUUGCUUGCAAUAAUUCUGAGACUUGUCCCUCUAAAAUAGGUUGACAGGAAUCUAUGGCCCAAGCUGAGUCGACGUUGGGCGACUUAAAGAAAAGUUUAGCCGACCAGAAAGACGCGUGGGCUCAAGCAGAAGAAAAAUACCAGGCGAUCUUAGCUGAUAAGGAAAAGCUGAAAGCAGCCAACAAGAAAUCUCAAGCUGAUCAAGCCACCACGCUAAAGCGAGCUGAAACGGCUGAAACAAAACUGGGAGCUGUGCAACAAGAGCUGGCCGGCUUAAAGAAACAUAUUUCCAGCAUGACACAAACCAUCUUUGGUAAGAAGGAAUUCCUGGUUUCGUAUAUGUGAAAGAAAAAAUUAUUUUGAAAAAAACAAAGUACUAACCAACAUUGUCUUUCUCACGCAGGCCCGAGAGCCGCCAACCUUCAGGACGACUAUAUCUUGAAGUUAAAGGCGAUUUACACACUGACUGAGCAGUUGUAUUCUGGGAGCAUGCUGACCAUGAAGGCAGUGAUGGGCACCAAGGAACCAAUCACAUCAAUCAAAAAGAUGCUUGGCUGCUUAUCCACCCUUCCGCCUCAGAUAGGUGAGCUAACCCGAUCAGCCGCCCAGAAGGGGGCCCUGACUACCUUGAGUCGGUGUUUGGCGUAUGCUCGAGAACUGAAGCCCGAAGAGGUAGCAGCAGGCUUCCCAAAGCUCAAGGAUGACGAGUGAGAGUUCACUCAAGAUGAUUAUCAACGCGUCAUCAAGGAAUCACGCUCGGCGGCGACUCAGCUAGCAGCAAGCUUGGAUUUAUCAAAGUACCAAGCCACUUAUGAUGACAAGAACAAGAAAGUAAACCCGCCUCAUUUGUGACAACCAGCUUAACUCCUCGUCGGCCCAAGAACCCUUUUGAUUUGGAGUCGGAUCUCUCGGCAAUUUUGAACGAUGAAGACGAAUUCGCCGCUUUAUCCAAGUGUAAUUUGGUACUGGGCGAUUUACAACUUGAAGUCGGCGAGAGCUCGAGGCAAGUUGACCCGGAGGCACCAGCAGAAUAGACCUUACUGAUUUGGCCAUCUGAGACAUGUAAUAGGUCAUUGUAGAAAACAAUCCUUUGCUUAUGUCUGUUGUGGAACUCUUCUGUGACCUUUGAAAAAACCUUGUGCCGCCCUUGGGGUGCCAUGAUGCUUGACCCGCCAUGUCAGUAAAGAUUCGAUCACCAACGUGUUUGGCUAGCAAAAGCAUAUAUCAAACCAUCUCAAUGAGUAAUGGAUGAUGAUAAAUAAUAACCGACUCAAGGUGUCUUGGCGAAUUGUAUGAAGAAACCCGGCUCAACGAGACACGGCGAGUCUCGUAAAUCUGUGAAACCUUGUGGCAGUGCGAAGAAGGUGAUAGUAAGAAUUUCGUUGGCUCGUUCAAGUCGCGACAGGAUAGGACGAGUUAGAAAACUCAAGUGCUACCCAAAGGAGACUUUUUGUAUAAAAAAGCUCAAGUAUUUAGACCGGCUGAUCAGGCGCGAGUCAAGCUUCGGUGAAGCAGGUUCAAUGAACCAAUGGUUUCUCUAUUUUCCAUGUGGGGCGCUAGCCGGUACCAUGCAUGUUUUAACCAAGGUGAGUUCAUGGUCCAAAUAGUAGAUUGACUCGCCAAGAGUUCAUGGGUCCAUAUGGCGAUUUGGUCAACACACGGUCCAGUAUAACCAUUUGUAGUGCGGUAAUUUUUCGCUAGCCAAAUGGAUAGUCAGGCUGAUCUUAGUGAGAGGAAGCCCCCAAGUGACCUAUGAUUAGGGGAAAGACCGGUCAUAGGAUUGUAGAAGCAUAUACGCUCUUACCACAAAACGACUUGGGAGCUGAUAGCCCCCAAGUAAGCCGGCCUAAUCCUCAGAAUCAUAUAAGGCGCCCAUGUUUGAAUCGUGCGCUUGUCGCGACUUGAUCCUCUUUGGCUUAUCGAUACCCAGUGUUGUAAUAAGUGCAGCAUGGCGACUUAUGCUCUCUGGUAUUGAUAGCGUCCAUGCUUGGGCGACUUCUUGAAGGACAAUAAAGAUCCAUGCUUUCAAGAAGAUGAAGUGGCAGGAAAACCCAAAAUUCAUGGGUAUCGACUUUAUUGCUUUAUAUAAACAAAGGACUUACAAUUUCCAAAGGUGGGAGAGAGGUAAAAGGGGAGCCAAUACCUCAAGUGUAGUAAGGCCGCAGAUGGGCUAUGUUCCAGGGGCGAGUUGACUCAACCUCCGUGGUUGGCUGAUCAGGCCGAAGAUCCACCAAAUAGUAUGACCCAUUGCGAAGAUUUUUGGUGACGACAAACGGUCCUUCCCAUGGCGGUGACAACUUAUACAUGCGAGUGCGAUCUUGGAUCAACUGGAGCACUAAGUCGCCCUCCUGAAAAGCUCGGGUCUUGACCCGGCGGCUAUGAUAACGCCGCAAGUCUUGCUGAUAGAUAGUCGAUCGGGAGGCAGCCAAAUCGCGGGCUUCCUCCAAAGCAUCCAAAGAAUCUUGACGUGCCAACUCAUUAUCUUGCUCCACAUAAGCGGCGACUCCGGGCGAGUCAUGCCUAAUGUCACUUGGAAGAACGGCUUCUGCUCCGUACACCAAGAAGAAAGGAGUAAAACCCGUAGAAUGAUUCGGGGUGGUUCGAAUGCUCCAUAAUACCGAAGGCAACUCCUCAACCCAACACCCUCGGGUGCGUUCCAGGGAAACCAUAAGUCGGUGUUUCAUUCCCCGCAGCACUUCCUGAUUCACCCGUUCUGCCUGCCCAUUAGAUCGUGGAUGAGCAACCGCAGACACAUCAAGCCGGAUAUGCUCCCGGUUGCAAAACUCCUGCAUCGCCCCUUGUGAUAAGUUGGUACCGUUAUUAGUGAUAAUGUUGUGUGGGUAUCCAAACCGGAAUAUCAACUUUUACAAGAAUUUGACGGCCGUUUCCGCAUCACAGCUGUCAACAGGCUCUGCUUCGACCCACUUGGUGAAUUUAUUGACCGCUACCAGUAGAUGAGUCUUUUUAUUGGAUGACAUCUUAAAGGGACCAACCAUAUCUAACCCCCAGACCGCAAAAGGCCAAGUGAUGGGGAUCAUCCUUAAUUCUUGAGCCGGCACAUGAACCUGUCGUCCAAAACGUUGAGAGCCAUCACAUCAACGAACUAUCUCUUCUACAUCUGCAUGAGCCGUCAACCAAAAGAACCCAUGUCGGAGCGCCUUGGAAACCAGGGAACGUGACCCGACGUGAUGCCCGCAAUCUCCUACAUGGAUUUCGUUGAGAACUGUGCACCCUUCAUCAGAAGAAACACGUCUUUGAAAUACCCCAGAAGUACUUCACUUGUAUAACUCGCUGUUGAUGACGACCAUGGAUUUGCUCCGACGAACGAUUUGAUGGGCCAACACCUCAUCCGAAGGUAACUCGCCUCGUGUGACGUACGCCAAGUAAGGAAGAACCCAAUCCGGCGUAACACACAGAGCCGCCACAAACUGAGACUCAGGAUCUGGUAUCGCCAAUUCCUCUUCUAAAGGCAACCUCACAGAAGGAUUAUGCAGAAUAUCCAGAAAGACAUUAGGAGGAACCGACUUACGUUGCGAGCCGAGACGCGAGAGGGCAUCAACUGCUUCGUUGAGUCGCCGGUCGAUAUGAUCGACUUGAUAACCAUGGAAAUGACCCGCCACAUCAGACACAACCCUUCUGUAAGCCGCCAUCAGGGGUCCCGGGAGUCCCAUGUACCUGAAACUUGUUGUGCCACCAGAUCGGAAUCGCCCAACCACCUGACACGUGUGAGGUUCAUCUCCUUGGCGAGUCACAAACCAUGAAGUAGAGCUUCAUACUCCGCAGCGUUAUUGGUACACGGGAACAUGAGUCGGAUAACAUAACAUAACUUGUCUCCCUGGGGUGAAAUCAACACCACGCCAGCCCCCGAGCCCUCCAAUUUCCUAGACCCAUCAAAGUAGAUGGUCGAGUACGUGAGAUCAGGCCUGUCUUAGGGAAUCUGCAACUCGGUCCAAUCAUUGAUGAAGUCAACCAAUGCCUGGGACUUGAUAGCCGUGCGAGGCGUAUACCGCACGUGGUGUGGCCCGAGCUCAAUUGCCCAUUUGGCGAUUCGUCCCGUUGCUUCUCGAUUCUGGAUGAUGUCCCCAAGAGGAUCGGAGCUAACCAUCGUGAUAGGAUGUUCUUGGAAAUAAUGUUUUAGCUUCCGACUCGCCAUAAACAACCCAUAAACCAACUUCUGCCAAUGUGGAUAACGUUGUUUGGAGAGGGUUAGGACCUCGCUGAUAAAAUAUACCACGCGUUGAACCGGGUAUUCCUUUCCUUCUUCCUUCCGUUAAACAACCACUGCCACACUCACCGCCUUGGUAUUCGUCGUGAUGUACAAAAGCAUAGGCUCCUUUUCAGUCCGAGCGGCCAGAACCGGCGGGUUGACCAGUUGCUGCUUCAGGGCUUCAAAAGCUUCAUUGGCCUCGUCCGUCCAAACAAACCGAUCAACUUUCUUAAGCAACUAUAGAGGGGAAUGGAUUUCUCCCCGAGAUGGCUUAUAAAGCGACUCAAGGCCGCAAUACGACCCGCCAUGCGUUGGACUUGAUUAAUAUUCGCUGGUUUCCCAAGCGAGGUGAUUGCUUCGAUUUUGUCCGGGUUGGCCUCAAUGUCGCGUUCUCACACCAAAAAACCCAAAAGGUUUCCUGCAGGAACGCCAAAGACGCAUUUGAUGGGAUUAAGCUUCAUCUGAUACACAUGCAGAUUUUUAAAGGUUUCCUUAAGAUCCUCCAAGAGCAUCUCCUUCUUGCGAGAUUUAACCACGAUGUCAUCAACGUAAGCAUGGACGUUGCGUCCGAUUUGGUCGCGGAGACAGUUUUGGAUACAACACUGGUAAGUCGCCCCAGCGCUCUUGAGCCCAAACGGCAUGGAUCAUAGCAAAAAGCCCCAAAUGGGGUUAUGAAGGCCGUCUUCUCCUAAUCUUCCACAGCCAUCUUGAUCAGGUGAUAUCCGGAGUAGGCGUCCAAGAAACACAAACGCUCGCAUCCCGCAACUGAGUCAAUGAUUUGAUCAAUGAGGGGAAAGGCGAAAGGAUCUUUUGGGCAAGCUCUGUAGAGGUCGGUGUAGUCGAUGCACGUGCAAAAAGUGUCGUUCUUCUUGAGCACCAGGACCGGGUUAGCCAACCAUUUAGGGUGGAAUACCUCAACGAUGAAUCCGGCAGCCAAAAGGCGGGCGACUUCUUCUCCGAUCGCCUUGCAUCGCUCCUCAUUAAAUCUACGAAGAUAUUACUGAAUCGGCUUUGCUUUAGGGUCAACAUUAAGAUGGUGCUCAGCGAAUUCUCUCGGUACACCAGGCAUGUCAGAAGGUUUCCAUGCGAAGAUGUCCCGAUUCUCACGGAUGAAUUUGAUGAGCGCGCUUUCCUAUUUGGGAUCCAGACCCGCCCCGAUAGUGAACUGCUUGGACGAGUCGCCAGGAGUGAAGUCCACCAUCUUAGUGUCAUCUGUCGGCUUAAACUUGAGGAGCGGCUCAUCAUCAGUUGUUAGCUUCUUGAGAGGCGACAUAUCCGCCGGGUCAACAUUGGCUUGGUGAUACUUGAGCUCUUCCACGGCGCAAGCGAUUUCUGCGUAAGCCGCAUCUCCUACCUCACACUCCUUUGCUAUCCUCCUGUCACCAUCGACCGUGAUGGGUCCCUUAGGGCCAGGCAUCUUGAGUUUAAGGUAGACAUAGCAGGGGCGAGCCAUGAACCGGGCGUAAGCCGGCCGCCCGAACAAUGCAUGAUAAGGGCUCUUCAGCUUGACCACCUCAAAUAUAAGCGACUCGCUCCUGUAAUUGGAUGUUGUACCAAAAGCCACAUUAAGUUUGACUCGCCCAAUUGGGUAUGCCGACUUACCCGGAACUAUACCAUGGAAAACCGUGGUUGACGGCAUUAGGUCCUUCUCCAAGAGGUUCAUCCUUCGAAAAGUAUCGAAAUAUAAUAUGUUGAUGCUGCUGUCACCAUCCAUAAGAACCUUUGAAAGGGUAUAUCCCCCGACUUGGGGGGCCAUGACCAAUGCCAAAUCGCCAGGGUUGCCGAUUCUGGGCGGGUGGUCCUCCCUACUCCAAGAGAUAGUUUGCUCAGACCAAUGGGGGUACCUGGGGAGCGCUGGCUCGGACACGCUAUACGUCCUGUGCUUCACCUUCUUGUCUCGCUUACAAGCACUGGUGGUGAAUGCAUGGUAUUGUCCGCUAUUUAAUUGCUUGGGAUUGCUGCGGAAUCCGCCAUUAUCAUCUUGCCCCUAGGGAGCCCCCUUGCUUGGGUGGCUACUGAAACACUCCGGGUGGGUUAUAUCGCUGCUGGUUAUGCACAGGGUACUAGCCACUGCUUGGUUGCGAGCCGCCCUGGGGUCCUGGUUCGGGAAAACCACCGAACUGGUUCUGACGUUGAUUAGGCGCACCGAACUGUUCCUUCCAUUGGCUCUGGUCGCCGGCUUGGCCUUUCUUGAGUGCCUCCGCUCGAAAUUCCUGCAUCACGUAGCAAUCUUCCCAAGAGUGGGUCGCCGGUCCUUCCGCCGUAGCAUGAUGCGGACAGGGGCCCUUAAGUAUCUCGUUAUAAUUGCGCGGCUUCUUGCCACAGUAACCCCUCUUCUUCUGGCGCUGGUUGCCAUUGUUAGUGUUGGUAUUGGCGAUGAAGUCUGUGGGUCCUUCCUGCUGCCUUCUCUUGCCAUUUCCACCAUGAUUAUGGUGGGUGCGUCCUUGAAACUGGGAGUGAUUCUUGGAUGACUCACCUUUCCUUGGCGGGUUAGCCUUGCUACCGUCCUCUCCUGGAUCUUUGGUAUCGUCCGCUUCGGCGUACUGGGUGCGGGUAUCCAUCAAUUCACCCAUAUGCUGGACCUUGCGCUUGAGUCGCCCCAGCUUCUGUACCAGGGGCUCAUAGUGGCAGUUUUGUUCCAGAAUCAGCACGGCCUGGGCCGCCGUGAUGUCGUCCGACGAGUGGAUGAUUUCUUCAACCCGCCGCGUCCAAUGAUGAGCCGACUCGUCACGCCGCGGAAUGCAAUGUUGUAAGUCGACGAUCGUCAUUGGUCAUUUGGAAGUUCCCCGAAAGUUUUUGAUGAAACGCUCCUUCAGUUCAGCCCAAGUCUGGAUGGAGUUGGGUGACAGGUUUUUCAACCAGGUGCGCGACGUUCCUUCGAGCAUCAUUGUGAAGUACCUAGAACAGACCGCUUCACUCACAUCGAGCAUGUCCAUCGCGAGUUCAUAACUCUCAACCCACGACGCUGGCUCAAGAUCCGGAGUGUAGUUGGGCACCUUCCUUGGUCCUUUGAAGUCCUUCGACAUUCGCUCAUUGCGCAGGGCAAGGGCCAAACACGGCACCCCGACGUGCCUGCCGCCUCCGCUGAGUGACACUGGGUGGGUUUGGAUGUGGCCUUGAUGAUCCUGGCCCGUCGCACCAACGGUGUUGCGGGCGGGAGGGUCCCGAUGGUCGAGCGGGUUACCCUGAGGUAGGUGCCGCGGUCCGCUGGUUACGGCGGGUGGAUCCUCCGGCCGGCUUCUGGUGCGGCUCGCCUGAGGGGUGGAGUGCAGCCGGUCGAGGCUGUGUGAGAAUUGUGUGUUCUGUACCAUCGCCGUUUUCAACAUCUCAAUGGCGUUUCUUGCUUCUAUUUUAGCCGGGGUGUUUCCAUAAAUUGGAAGGGACUCCAAGUGGCGAGUCGCUGCGAGCACGUGGUCCAUGGGGUUGGAAAAGUGGCCCUGAGGCGUCUGGAAGCGAGGAACGCGAUCAUCCGCCGGCUGAGGCGGUAGGUUUGUUGGCUGAGUCGGCCCUCCCCCUGGAACGGUUCCCGUCCCGGGGGUACGCGGAGUGUCAAAAAGGCGGGUAGGGUUCAGAUCAGGGGGUAAACACCCCUGGCGCCUCCUCUGAUGGACAGCGUCGGACGCGCGCUGCUGUCUUUCAAAUCGCCAGUUCUUGGUAUUUAAGCGGGUCGUCUCUGCAGUGAUCUGAGCUUGCUGGGUUGCAAUCCUGGCGGCUUCUGCCUCUGCAUCUCGCUGGGCCUUCGCCAUCUCAUCUCGUAGCUUUGCCAAGUCGGUGUUGAUCGUUCCCAGGUUUUCUACCGUCACGGGGGUUGCCAUGAGCCUCGUUAUCUCCGCCGACAGGUCCACCAGGACCACAACUGGGCUUUUGGAUGGGCCGCCGGCCUCGUUGUUGCCUGCAGGGUUUUGCUGGGACUGUGUUGCCCCCGCAAUGUAUAUGGCGAUCUGACGACGGGUCCGGUCAAGGACUUCGGGAUCCAUCGCCAGCGACAUAUCUCCAAGGCGGCCUUCAUGCACGAACUCGAUCGAGUCUGUGUCGCCCAUGGAUGACUCUUCGUCAGAGUUGACCGGUGUGGCCUCCCGAGUUGCCGACCGCUCCGGCUCAUCAGAUCUCUGCGUGAAGCCGACGAAAACUGGGCACGUCAGGCUUUAUGGCGCGACGGGACGGACAUACCUGGCCGGCUCGACGGUGUCGCUGAAGAUGUCCGGCUCAGACAUGGGUGCUCCGACCAUGCCGAUGAAGAUGUUGACCUUGCUGAAGGGGACUCUAUAGCCGGAUUCGAUCGAAUCGGCCUCGGGUCCCCAUAGCGAGUUGUCGAUGUAGUACUUUCUGCGGCGGCUCCGGGUCAUGAGCCCAGCCGCGUAGCUCCCUGACCCUGGUAGGGAUCCCUUCAAGAACUCAACUCCACCAUGCGUAGGCCCCACGGUGGGCGCCAACUGUCGUGGUUUUGUCACGACACAUUUCCUAGUGAAAGGACUUAAUGAUGGAGCCAUCGCACCUUGGUGGCGACUCAAAGGGGUUAAGCGGAAGCGGGACUCAGAUUUACCUAGGUUCGGCCCCUCGUGAGGAGGCAAAGGCCUACGUCCUGCUUUGUGUUGUAUUGAUGAUGUUUCGAUUACAAAGAGAGGGUAACUCGCCUGACCUAGCUCUCGAUGAUUUCUAAGCUGCUUCUCCUCUCCAGGGACUCGCCUUUAUAUACAGGUUGAGGCCCUAGGGUUUACAAGAGUCCAUGCCUUAAUACAAACCGUGAUUCUUUCUAUCUCUAAGUUGUCGUGCUUUCCAAGAUUGGAAACCUCCUUGGCGACUUAUCCUCUUUGUAUAUUUGGAACCGCCAUCCAGCUCCUGGGCCUUCUGGGCCAAAGCUUGCUUCGCCAAAGGAUGAGUCGCCCACUUAGUGACCCGGCCCAACUAGGGCAGGUCACACCGCAGGUAAUAUCCCCAACACUAUCCGAUGUAAUCCUCUUUGUCGGUGUGUUUGUCGAGAUCCGAUGAAUUGUGGAUUUGUGAUCAGAUUAUCUAUGAAUUAUAUUUGAGUCUUUGCGGAUUUCUUAUAUGCAUGAUUUCAUAUCCUUGUAAGUCUCUCCGAGUCUUGGGUUUUGUUUGGCCAACUAGAUCUAUGAUUCUUGCAAUGGGAGAAGUGCUUGGUUUUGGGUUCAUACCGUGCGGUGACCUUUCCCAGUGACAGAAGGGGCAGCAAGGCACGCAUCGUGUUGUUGCCAUCAAGGGUAACAAGAUGGGCUUUCAUCAUAGAUNNNNNNNNNNNNNNNNNNNNNNNNNNNNNNNNNNNNNNNNNNNNNNNNNNNNNNNNNNNNNNNNNNNNNNNNNNNNNNNNNNNNNNNNNNNNNNNNNNNNCCCCCCUUAGCGUGUGUUAUAUCGUCGUGACGCCGAUCUAAAUUGUCAACACUUUGCGCGAAGCUUGUCGAUGUAGAUCUCCUUCGAUCUCGUCAAAGCUUCCAUCAUUGCAAGAACACAACAUAUUUUAUAAAUGAGAAUAGUUGGGUGCUUAAACACACGACCCUCAUUAAUGUUAUUAUGAGGAGUCCAUAAUGCCCAUGCUAAGGCCGUAAAUCCAACCCAAGCUAGCCUCCUAACAUUCCCUCUUGUCCUCUGAAUAAGUUCAUGACGCUCUGUAAACCUUGUUGAGUUCUGUGAGCACCCCGCGACCUCCCUAAUCAUUCUCCAAGUGUAUCUCACAAUAAUGCAUCGGAAAGAAAUAUGAUCAUAGUCACAUCUUCGCCACACCACUCACAUUUAUCAUUGCUAGACCCAUGUCGUUUGAGCACUUGGUCCUCACUAGGAAUUCACUUCUGUGCCACUUGCCAUAUGCCGGAAUUCUAGCUUUCCAAAUUCCCAUCAACUCAUAUCUCGGUAUUGUUUUGAAAAUAUCCUUAUAAAGUGAUCCCAUCGAGAAUUGGCAUGACGGCUUGUGUUCCAUGAGACUACAUCCGCACACAUGGACACUCGAAGAUGUAUCAAGUCGCUACGCAUACACUGCCAUUCCUCCCAUUGGAUAGUAUCAAGAGCAAGUCUAAAGGAUGGUGUCCAUCGCUUCUCAUCCCAACACUCAUGUUGGCUUUUGAACGUGCGUAUGCAGCCGUACAAGCGUGCCUACGCGAUUCUUGUUUCGGCCGGCUACUUGACGGAACUUGCGUAACUAGCGACACGAAUAAAACUGAUCGAUGGAUUUGAUGGCUAAAGGCCCGUGUCGAGCCUUUGCUUUGUAUUGCUUUUCGUUUUUCUGGUGUUACAAUCAACACCCCUGGGGUGUCUUUUAUACACGUCCACAAGGGACUAUGAAAAUAGACUAGGACUAGGAAUCCUAAUACCACUAGGACUCGGUUUGGCUUUCUUUCCUAAUCCUAAAGAAACAACAUGAUUAACUUCUACAACUACCAUAGCUUCAGGAUGCUCGGAGAUAGCAAAUAGUCAAGGAUAUUAUUCACAUAAUGGGUUUUCCCAGCACCACACGUCCAACCAAAGUUGAGUUCGGUGGCCAUCCCUCACUUCAAAUUUUGUUCAAAGGCUAAGUAAGUGUUGCACAUUCCCCACAACUUUUGGAAACUCGAUGUCAUUGUUGCGAUUUGGAAACAACAAUGACGGCGAGUGACGGUUGUGACCCUGGUCAUAUGGUUGCUCUGGAGACAUCGAAACGACAUCGUCUUCAACGGGGUUGCACCAUCGGCAGAGGCAGUCCUCAGGCGGAUCGACGUUGAGGGCCAGCAUUGGAAGGCAGCGUCGCUCCUGAGAGAAGAUAAUUCCUUCCCUACUAGGAUUGAUAGGUGGACAGACGAAGUAGUCGCUAAUGUGUUGAUGAAUGGCUUUCAUAACUGUGGAUAGGUUGUAAAAACAUGUAGCCGUCUUGGCUAUUUCUAUCUAUGAUCUCGAUACGUCAAACUUUGGCGUAUCCUUGAAAAAAUUAUGGCGAGUGAUAGUGGGGUCAUAACAAGGGUUUGUAGAAAGCUCUCCAACAUGAUUGAGGGGUUCAAUGUGUUGUGUUUGUUGUGGAGUUGGAGUUGUUGUGUCGGGGGCAAUGUUGCGACCAUGACAAUCGAAGAGUGACCAACCUAUGAUGGACGGGCUCAACUCAAGCCGUGUGCAUCUCUCCAAUUGAGCUUAUCAUGUUUCAUGACUAUCAGUGUUAGGGGUAUUGUAACUUGGUUGACCCGAUUUUUUUGUAAUUAGCUGGACCGUUCAUUCUCACUUUCUUCUUAAUAAUUAUUUUUUAUGUACCUAAAUAAUUAUAGUUGGAGAAAACUAGACAACUAUAAUUAUUUAGGUACAAAAGGGUGGUAAAAAAUUAGUGUAAUUUACCUCGUUUCACAAAAUAUAUCCAUCAUGUAUUCAAACGUGGGAACACUAGUCUCAAGGUGAGAGAUAUUGUCGACCGAUUUGGUGGCACAUGAUCAUUUUUCUUGUAAGAACGUCACCGCUUGUAAUGGCAUCCAAUUAAUGCCCUUAUUUCCUCCGCUCCUUUUAAGUGACUGGACAUCUGCAUUGAAAGAUUGCACUGUGCCGUUUUGCGGGCAUAAAAGGGAAAUCGCCCCAAAUAGGCCAUGAUCAAUUGAAGCAAACAAACAACAUCAAUUCCAUGUCAGGGCCCGGGGCCUCCCUCUNNNNNNNNNNNNNNNNNNNNNNNNNNNNNNNNNNNNNNNNNNNNNNNNNNNNNNNNNNNNNNNNNNNNNNNNNNNNNNNNNNNNNNNNNNNNNNNNNNNNUUGCACAAUCUCACGGUCGAAGGAAAAGAUACUUGACUUUAGAAAAGCAUUAGCAUACGAACAAUACGAUCUAGUGCUAGGCUUAGGAUUGGGUCUUGUCCACCACAUCAUUCUCCCAAUGAUGUGAUCCAGUUAUCAAUGACAUCCAAUGUCCAUGAUCAGGAAACCAUGAUCAUCUAUCGACUAACGAGCUAGCCAACUAGAGACUUGCUAGGGACACAUUGUGAUCUAUUCAUUCACACAUGUAUUACUGUUUCCUGUUAAUACAAUUAUAGCAUGAACGAUAGACGAUUAUCAUGAACAAGGAAAUAUGAUAACAACCAUUUUAUUAUUGCCUCUAGGGCAUAUUUCCAACACCUACCUACCUAUGGAUUGAAUAAGAUCCCUCAAGUAAGUUGUCAUCGGUGCAAGCAAUAAAAAUUGCUCUCUAAUAUGUAUGAUCUAUUAGUGUGUGGAAAAUAAGCUUUAUACGAACCUAUGAUGAGGAAGACAUAAAAGCGACAGACUGCAUAAUAAAGUUCUUUAUCACAGGAGGCAAUAUAAAGUGACGUUCCUUCGCACUAAGAGGACACGCAUCCAAACCUCAAGAGUGCAUGUCAACCUCUGCUUCCCUCUGCGAAGGGCCUAUCUUGUACCUUUACUUUUUGCCUUUGAAAGAGUCAUGGUGAUCUGCACCAAUUCCUUAUCUCGCCUUUAUCUUGGCUAACGUCAUAUGCUUGGGAAAGAUCUGUAUUCAUAUGUCAACUUGGAGGUAGGCAUUCAUGAAUUAUUAUUGUUGACUUUAACCUUGAGGUAAGCAGCUGGGAGGCAAAACUAUAAGCCCCUAUCUUUCUCAGUGUCCAGCUGAAACUUUGAUAUCAUGAGUACCACGUGAGUUGUAGCAAUUGUAGAGAACAAAAGAAUGAUUGAGUAUGUGGAUUGGCUUUACAAGCUCUUAUUUGACUCUUUCUGAUGUUGUGAUAAAUUGCAAUUGCUUCAAUGACUAAAGCUAUUGGUUGUUACUUCUCGGUAAGGUUCUUGAUCCAUGCUUUACUUUGUGAAGGAAUUAUCACUUUAGCAUGAGAGAUUAUAUGUUGGUAUUGCUGUUCUGAUCUUGAUCAUGAUGCAUGCAUGUUCGUAUCUUGUUUUGUCGACACCUCUGUCCCUAAACAUGUGGACAUAUUUAUUGAGCUCGGCUUUCACUUGAGGACAAGCGAGGUCUAAGCUUGGGGGAGUUGAUACGUCCAUUUUGCAUCAUGUUUUCAUGUUGAUAUUUAUCGCUUCUUUGGCUGUUAUUUCACUUCACGGUACUAUUCUUAUGCCUUUUCUCUCUUAUUUUGCAAGGUUUACAUGAAGAGGGAGAAUAACGGCAACUCGAAUUAUGGCCUGAAAGUGGAGCAAAGUUGAGAUACCUAUUCUGCGCAACUCCAAACGCCGUAAAAAUCAACGAGGAUUUUUUUCCCGAUUUAUCAAAAAUACUGGGCCGAAGAAGUGCCACAGGGGCACCAGGGGGUGCCCACAAGCCUGCACGGCGCGACCACCCCCCCAGGCCGCGCCAUGGGGGCUUGUGGGCAGCCCACUGGCCCACUUNNNNNNNNNNUCGUAAAAAUCAACGAGGAUUGUUUUCCCGAUUUAUAAAAAAUACUGGGACGAAGAAGUGCCAGAGGGGCACCAGGGGGUGCCCACAAGCCUGCACGGCGCGGCCACCCCCAGGCCGCGCCAUGGGGGCUUGUGGGCAGCCCACUGGCCCACUUGCUCCCCUCUUUUGCUACAUGGAGGGUUUUGUCCAGGAAAAAAAAUUCAAGGAGGAGCUUUUUCGUUGUUUUGCUGCCGCCACGAGGCGGAACUUGAGAAGAACCAAUCUAGAGCUCGGCAGGACGAUCCUGCCGGGGAAACUUCCCUCCCGGAGGGGGAAAUCNNNNNNNNNNGCUCUCAUCGGACUCGUCACCAUCAACAUCUUCAUCAGCACCAUCUCAUCUCCAAACCCUAGGUCAUCACUUGUAACCAAUCUCCUUCUCACGACUCCGAUUGGUACUUGUAAGGUUGCUAGUAGUGUUGAUUACUCUUUGUAGUUGAUGCUAGUUGGAUUAUUUGGUGGAAGAGUUUAUGUUCAGAUCCUUGAUGAUACUCAUUACCUCUCUAAUCAUGAAUAUGAUUAUGCUUUGUGAGUAGUUACUUUUGUUCCUGAGGACAUGGGAUAAGUCAUGCUAAUAGUAGUCAUGUGAAUUUGGUAUUCGUUCGGUAAUUUGAUAUGUUGUAUGUUCUUUUUCCUCUAGUGGUGUUAUGUGAACGUCGACUACAUAACACUUCACCAUUAUUUGGGCCUAGAGGAAGGCAUUGGUAAGUAGUAAGUAGAUGAUGGGUUGCUAGAGUGACAGAGGCUUAAACCCUAGUUUAUGCGUUGCUUCGUAAGGGGCUGAUUUGGAUCCACUAGUUUAAUGAUAUGGUUAGACUUUGUCUUAAUUCUUCUUUCGUAGUUGCGGAUGCUUGCGAGAGGGGUUAAUCAUAAGUGGGAUGCUUGUCCAAGUAAGGGCAGUACCCAAGCGCCGGUCCACCCACAUAUCAAACUAUCAAAAUAAUGAACGCGAAUCAUAUGAACAUGAUGAAACUAGCAUGACAGAAAUUCUCGUGUGUCCUCGGGAGCGUUUUCCCUCCUAUAAGACUUUGUCCAGGCUUGUCCCUUGCUACAAAAGUGAUUGGGCCACUUGGCUGCAUCGUUGCUACUUUUAUUACUUGUUGCUCGCUAUGAAUCAUCUCACCACACAAUCACUUGUUACCGACAAUUUCAGUGCUUGNNNNNNNNNNNNNNNNNNNNNNNNNNNNNNNNNNNNNNNNNNNNNNNNNNNNNNNNNNNNNNNNNNNNNNNNNNNNNNNNNNNNNNNNNNNNNNNNNNNNUGAGCCUAGCAUGUGCAGACAUGGCCUUGGAACACAUGAGACCGAAAGGUCGAUCAUGAGUCAUAUAGUUGAUGUGAUUAGCAUAGAGAUUCUUACCACUGAAAUUAUUCUCGACUCACGUGAUGAUCGGACUUCAGAUAGUGGAUUUGGAUCAUGUACCACUCAAAUGACUAGAGAGAUGUACUUUUUGAGUGGGAGUUCUUAAGUAAUAUGAUUAAUUGAACUAAUUGUCAUGAACAUAGUCUAAUGGUCUUUGCGAAUUACGAUGUAGCUUGCGCUAUAGCUCUACUGUUUUUAUAUGUUCCUAGAGAAAAUUUAGUUGAAAGUUGAUAGUAGCAAACUUUGCAGAGUGAGUCUGUAAAACUAAGGAUUGUCCUCGAUGCUACUUAGAAGGCUUAUGUCCUUAAUGCACCACUCGGUGUGCUGCACCUCGAGCGUCGUCUGUGGAUGUUGUGAACAUCGGACAUACACAUUUCUGAAUACUAUGCGAUAGUUCAGUGCAAAAUACUUAAUGGCUUAGAAGCAAGGCGCCGAAGACGUUUUGAAACGUCACGGAACAUAAGAGAUGUUCUAAAGAGAUGAAAUUGUGAUUUCAUGCUCGUGCCCUUGUUAAGAGGUAUGAGACCUCCGACAAGAUUCUUUGUCCACGAAGUAAAGGAGAGAAGCUCAAUCGUUGAGCGUGUGCUCAGAUUGUCUGAGUACGACAAUCGCUUGAAUCAAGUGGGAGAUAAUCUCCCAGAUGAGAUAGUGAUGGUUCUCCAAAGUCACUGCCACCAAGCUGUGAGAGCUUCGUGAUGAACUAUAACAUAUCAAGGAUAGAUACAAUGAUCCUUGAGCGAUUUGCGAUGUUUGACACUUUGAAAGUAGAAAUCAAGAAGGAGCAUCAAUAGUUGAUGGUUAGCAAAACCACUAAGUUUCAAGAAAAGGCAAGGGCUAGAAGGGAUACUUCGUGAAACGGCAAAAUAGUUGCUGCACUGAUGAAGAGACCCUAGAUUAAACCCAAACCCAAGACUAAGUGCUUCUGUUAUGAGCGGAAUGGUCACUGAAGUGGAGCUACCCUAGAUGCUUGGUAGAUAAGAAGGCUGACAAAGUCGAAAGAUGUAUAUUUGAUAUACAUGAUGUUGAUGUGUACUUUACUAGUACUCCUAGUAGCUCGAGGGUAUUGGAUACCGGUUCGGUUGCUAAGUGAUUAGUAACACGAAAUGAAAGCUACGGAAUAAAGGAGACUAGCUAAAGGCGAGGUGACGAUAUAUGUUGGAAGUGUUUCCAAGGUUGAUAUGAUCAAACGUCGCACGCUCCCUCUAUCAUCGGGAUUGGUGGUAAAACCUAAAUAAUUGUUAUUUGGUGUUUGCGUUGAGCAUGAACAUGAUUGGAUCAUGCUUAUUGCAAUACGAUUAUUCAUUGAAAGAGAAUAAUAGUUAUUCUAUUUGCUUGAAUAAUUACCCUCAAUGGUUUAUUGAAUCUCGAUCGUAGUGUUACACAUAUUCAUAAUAUUAGUGCCAAAAGAUACAAAGUAAUAAUGAUAGUACCACUUAGUUGUGGCACUGCCACUUGAGUCAUGUUGGUGUAAAAUGCAUAAAGAAGCUCCAUGCUGAUGGAUCUUUGUACUCACUCAUUUUUGAAACAUUUGAGACAUGCAAACCAUACCUGUUGGUAUAAAUGCAUGAAGAAACUCCAUAGAGAUGGAUCAUUUGGACUCGCUUGAUUUUGAAUCACUUGAGACAUGCAAAACAUGCCACAUGAAACAAGAGAGUAACUUGUUGGGAGUAAUGCAUUUUUUAUGUGUGCAGUCCAAUGAGUGCUAAGGCACGCAAUGGAUAUCAUUAUGUUCUUACUUCACUGAUGAUUUGAGUAGAUACAGGAGUAUUUACUUGAUGAAUCACAAGUCUGAAAUAUUGAAAAGUUCAAUUCUGUUUCAGAGUGAAGUUCGUUGUAACAAGAGGAUAAACUGUCUAUGAUAUGAUCAUAGAGAUGAAUAUCUGAGUUAUGAGUUUUGGUACGUAGUUAAGACAAUGUGGAAAUUGUUUCGCAGUUCAUGCCACCUGGAACACCGUAGUGUGAUGAUGUGUCUAAACGUCAUAGCCACACCCUAUUUGAUAUGGUGCAUACUAUGAUGUCUCUUAUCGAAUUACCACUAUCGAUUAUGGGUUAUGCAUUAGAGACAACCGCAUUCACUUUAAAUAGGGCACCGCGUAUUUCCGUUGAGAUGACACAGUAUACACGGAGGUUUAGAGAAAUCUAAGUUGUCGUUUCUUGAAAGUUUGGGGCUGUGAUGCUUAUGUGAAAAAGGUUUCAGUCUGAUAAGCUCGAACCCGAAGCGGAUGAAAGCAUCUUCAUAGUAUAUCCAAAACAGUUGGAUACAUCUCCUAUCUCAGAUCCGGAAGCAAAGUGUUUACUUCUAGAAACGGAUCCUUUCUCGAGGAAAGGUUUCUCUCGAAAGAAUUGAGUGGGAGGGUGGUAGAACUUGAUGAGGUUAUUGAACCAUCGCUUCAACCAGUGUGUAGCAGGGCGCAGGAAGUUAUUCUUGUGGCGCCCACACUAAUUGAAGUGGAAGCUGAUGAUGGUGAUCAUUAAGCAUUGGAUCAAUUUACUACAAACCUCGUAGGUCGACAAGGUCGCAUACUACUACAGAUUGGUACGGUAACCAUGUCUUGGAGGUCAUGUUGUUGAACAACAAUGAACCUAUGAGUUAUGGAGAAGCAAUGGUGGGCCCGGAUUCCAACAAAUGGCUGGAGGCCAUGAAGUCCGAGAUAGGAUCUAUGUAUGAAAACAAAGUGUGGACUUUGGAAGUACUACCUGAAGGCCGCAAGGCUAUUCAGAACAAAUGGAUCUUUAAGAAGAAGACGGACGUUGACGGUAAUGUGACCGUUUAUAAAGCUCGACUUGUGACAAAGGGUUUUUCACAAGUUCAAGGAGUUGACUACGAUGAGACGUUCUCACCUGUAGCGAUGCUUAAGUCCGUCAGAAUCAUGUUAGCAAUAGCUGCAUUUUUCGAUUAUGAAAUAUGGCAGAUGGAUGUCAAAACGGCGUUCCUUAACGGUUUCCUUAAGGAAGAGUUGUAUAUGAUGCAACCCGAAGGUUUUGUCGAUCCUAAAAAUGCUAACAAAGUGUGCAAGCUCCAGUGAUCCAUUUAUGGACUGGUGCAAGCAUCUCGGAGUUAGAAUAAACGCUUUGAUGAGGUGAUCAAAGCAUUUGGGUUUAUACAAGUGGUUAGAGAAACUUGUAUUUCCAAAGAAGUGAGUGGGAGCACUAUAGAAUUUCUAAUAAGUAUAUGUGGUUGACAUAUUGUUGAUCAGAAGUAAUGUAGAAUUUCUGUAAAGCAUACAAGGUUGUUUGAAAGGAGUUUUUCAAAGGAAUACCUGGAUUGAGCUACUUGAACGUUGAGCAUCAAGAUCUAUGGAGAUAGAUCGAAACGCUUAACAGAAGUUUCAACAAGAUGCAUGCCUUGACAAGUUUUUGAAGGAGUUCAAAAUAGAUUAGCAAAGAAGGAGUUCUUGACUGUGUUGUAAGGUAUGAAUUUGAGUAAGACUCAAAACCCGACCACGGCAGAAUAAAGAGAAUAGACGAAGGUCGCCUUCUAUGCCCUAGCCGUAGACUCUAAAGUAUGCCAUGCUGAGUACCGCACCUGAUGUGUGCCUUGCAGCAAGUCUGUUAAGAGGUACAAAUAGUGAUCCAAGAUUGAAUCACUGAUCAGCAGUCAAAGUUAUCCUUAGUAACUAAAUGGACUAAGGAAUUUUUCUCGAUUAUGGAGGUGGUUGAAGAGUUCGUCGUAAAGGGUUACGUCGAUGCAAGCUUUAACACUAAUCCGAAUAACUAUGAGUAGUGAAACGGAUUCGUAUAGUAGAGUAGAUAUUUGGAGUAUUUCCGCAUAGCACGUAGUAGCAACAUCUAUAAGAUGACAUAAAGAUUUGUAAAGAACACAAGGAUCUGAAAGUUUCAGAACCGUUGACUAAAACCUCUCUCACGAGCAAGACGUUAUCAGACCCCAUAACUAUAUGGGUGUUGGAUUCGUUGAAAUCACAUGGUGAUGUGAAGUAGAUUAUUGACUCUAGUGCAAGUGAGAGACUGUUGGAAAUAUGCCCUAGAGGCAAUAAUAAAUUAGUUAUUAUUAUAUUUCUUUGCUCAUGAUAAUCGUUUAUUAUCCAUGCUAUAAUUGUAUUGAUUGGAAACACAAUACUUUGUGGAUACAUAGACAAAACACUGUCCCUAGUAAGCCUCUAGUUGACUAGCUCGUUGAUCAAACAUGGUCAAGGUUUCCUGACCAUAGGCAAGUGUUGUCACUUGAUAACGGGAUCACAUCAUUAGAGAAUCAUGUGAUGGACUAGACCCAAACUAAUAGACGUAGCAUGUUGAUCGUGUCAUUUUGUUGCUACUGUUUUCUGCAUGUCAAGUAUUUAUUCCUAUGACCAUGAGAUCAUAUAACUCACUGACACCGGAGGAAUACUUUGUGUGUAUCAAACGUCACAACGUAACUAGGUGGCUAUAAAGAUGCUCUACAGGUAUCUCCGAAGGUGUCCGUUGAGUUAGUAUGGAUCAAGACUGGGAUUUGUCACUCCGUGUGACGGAGAGGUAUCUCGGAGCCCACUCGGUAAUACAACAUCACACACAAGCCUUGCAAGCAAUGUAACUUAGUGUAAGUGGCGGGAUCUUGUAUUACGGAACGAGUAAAGAGACUUGUUGGUAAACGAGAUUGAAAUAGGUAUGCGGAUACCGACGAUCGAAUCUCGGGCAAGUAACAUACCGAAGGACAUAGGGAAUGACAUACGGGAUUAUAUGAAUCCUUGGCACUGAGGUUCAAACAAUAAGAUCUUCGUAGAAUAUGUAGGAUCCAAUAUAGGCAUCCAGGUCCCGCUAUUGGAUAUUGGCCGAGGAGUCCCUCGGGUCAUGUCUACAUAGUUCUCGAACUCGCAGGGUCUGCACACUUAAGGUUCGACAUUGUUUUAUGCGUAUUUGAGUUAUAUGGUUGGUUAUCGAAUGUUGUUCGGAGUCCCGUAUGAGAUCAUGGACGUCACGAGGGUUUCCAGAAUGGUCCGGAGACGAAGAUAGAUAUAUAGGAUGACCUCAUUUGAUUACCGGAAGGUUUUCGGAAUUACCGGGAAUGUACCGGGAAUGACGAAUGGGUUCCGGAUGUUCACCGGGGGGGGGGGGNNNNNNNNNNNNNNNNNNNNNNNNNNNNNNNNNNNNNNNNNNNNNNNNNNNNNNNNNNNNNNNNNNNNNNNNNNNNNNNNNNNNNNNNNNNNNNNNNNNNNNNNNNNNNNNNNNNNNNNNNNNNNNNGUGCCACACCAGCCCUUAGUGGGUUGGUGGGCAAGCCCAGAGAGGCCCCUGCGCAGGGAGAUAGAAAAUCAAAAGAGAAAAAAGGGAAGUGGGGAGGAAGGGAAGGACUCCACCUUCCAAUCCUAGUUGGACUAGGAUUGGAGGAGGACUCCUCCUCCCCCCCAUCGGUCGAACCCCUUGGGGAUCCUUGAGCCCCAAGGCAAGGCCCCUCCCCUUUACCCUAUAUAUACGGAGGUUUUAGGGCUGAUUUGAGACAACUUUUCCACGGCAGGCCGACUACAUACCUCCACGGUUUUUCCUCUAGAUCGCGUUUCUGUGGAGCUCGAGCGGAGCCCUGCUGAGAUUAGAUCACCACCAACCUCCGGAGCACCUUCACACUGCCGGAGAACUCAUCUACCUCUCCGUCUCUCUUGCUGGAUCAAGAAGGCCGAGAUCAUCGUCGAGUUGUACGUGUGCUGAACGCGGAGGUGCCGUCCGUUCAGCACUAGAUUGGAGCGGAUCGUGGGACGGAUCGCGGGACGGUUCAUGGGACGGUUCACGGGGCGGAUCGAGGGACAUGAGGACGUUCUACUACAUCAACCGCGUUUAGUAACACUUCUGCUGUGCGAUCUACAAGGGUACGUAGAUCUGAAAUCCCCCUCGUAGAUGUACAUCACCAUGAUAGGUCUUCGUGCGCGUAGGAAAUUUUUUGUUUCCCAUGCGAUGUUCCCAACAAUAAUAACCAUUUUAUUAUUGCCUCUAGCGCAUAUUUCCAACAUCGGCCAUCGUAUCCUUGUAUGCAAGCAAACGUUGCUCGGAGUUGACACGCAUGGUCUUCCAACGAAUGUGCAUUCCGAAUCCAACAUUAUGCCUACCAUCAAACUCAACAACAUCACUUGUGUCCAUCCAAUCCAAAUCCUUUCGGACUUGUUCCAACAAUUUAGCAUAGCUAGGAGCGAAAUCGAACACCAUGUCAAGCUCAUCCUGGUCCGGAUCAAUAUUGCCUUUUAAAAAGGCAUCCUUGUCCACGUGAUGAACAUAAACACAUGUUCUUUCCAUCCCUAAACAACACAACAUACAAUAUUUUCUAUAAGCAAUCAUCCAAAUACUACAAAAUCUGCUUAAUAAAAAUAAAACCUAUUCCUAACAUCCAAACAUCCAUAAUCCUAACCCCAUCUUACCCGUAAGCCUAACACAACCAUAAUCCAAACAUCCAAACAACCCUAAUUCUAACCCCAUCAUACCCCUUAUCCUAAUAUACAAACAAAUGCAACAAUAUCAUAUACAUCCCAAAUUUCAUGAAGAACUAGGGUUUCCUCACAUUUGCAAACAAGUCACCAAAUGAGAUUUCUUUUGGGAUGAGAAGGAGGGGAUCGGGGGGGGGGGUUACCUUAAGGGAGGGAUUUGACACGAAAUGCCCGGACCAAACCUUCAAAUCUGUUGAUUUGGUGAGGGGGUUUGAGGAAGGGGCGACAUCAACUUGAGUUGUGAAGACUCUGGUGAAGGGGGUGAAUGAGGAGGGGGUGGGGGAGGAGGCCGGGCCGUGGCUGGAUAAAUGAAGGUGUGGCACCUAAGGGCUCGACGCCACAAUUCCAAUGUGCAACGCCUAAGCGUUAGGCGUCACAUUGUUGGGGGUGGGGCCUCCAGCACCAACAUGGACAUGGGUGUGGCACCGACGUCUUAGGCGUCACAUAGUGUAGUGUGUCUCCUAGGAGUCGGACACCACACAAAAGAGUCAGCUCGGUGAUUUUUUUCCGUGAAGGGUUCAGUUUGUGAGUUCUUUCAGCCCAGGGGCCAGAAUUGUCAAUUUUGCCUAUCUAACACCGCCGACCCAUGGACUUGAGUUCCCUCUGCUGGAGAGGCUAUCCAUCUCUGGCUUCCGCUUCGACAUGGAUGAUCUUAUCCAGCGCUGCCCUCACCCGCGCGUACUAGAGAUGGGAAACAACUGGGGUCUCGGUAACAUCAGAGUCCACUCACCAACGAUCGAGGAGCUUGUCGUGGACUACACGUGUCAUGUGAGUGGUAUCAACAGCAUGGAUCACUCAUUUGAAAUCACCUAACUUCCUGGCCAGUCACCCAUCCUCUCACUAAUCCAACCCAAGAACGCUUAACUUUCCGGUUCUAUCUCCACUACUUUCCAAGUCUCCACUUGUAGUUUUCUUGACAAUAGUAAGCUAUCAAUCCUAUUAACCCUUAGGUCUUGAUGUCACAUGAUUUAAUUUUUUGAAUUCUAAACAAUUAUUAAAACAUACAACAAUGUUUAAUAAACAACAAUAAUUAAUUGAAAACCUUAAAAAAACUUGAAAAAAGGAAAUUUUCAAAAAAAACUCAAAUAAUUCUUAAAAAGCAUAAAAACAAAAAAAUAACUAAAAAGUUCAAAAUAAAACAAGUAAUAAUAAUAUUAUUGAAUUGCAAUGAAAAUCAAAUAAGUAAUAAUAUUAUUUUAUUCAUUUUUUUGCCAUUUAUUCAUUUAAUAUGGCAUAAUUAAUAUCUUUAAAUCUAUAAAUCAAAAUUCAAAAAAUAAUAUAUCCAUUAUUAUCACAAAAAUGUGAGGAAUCCAAAUAUGACACCCUUUUCAAAAAUAAAAUUAGAAACAACUAACAUAGCAAUAAAGUAAUAUUAACUAAUUAGAAAAACAAAACUAUUGUCAAACAACAAAAACUAAAGUUAAUUAUAUUAAAUUGGCUUAUAAUGGUGCAUAUUGAAUGCACAAAAAGUGUGAAGUUGAAAUAAGAUUAGAAAAAUGCAAUGGCUUUGUAAGAGAUGAGUAUUCGUCGAGAAUAGUGAUACUUCGAAAGAGAUAGUCCAGUUUGUAAACGAAGUGCAUCCGGUUUUUGCCUUAACCCUUCCAACUUUUUAGCACAUGUCAUGUGGGUGAAAUGAUGAUACCAUGCCAAGUUUUAGCCUUUUUCGAGUUGAUUUGUAGCGUUCUUCAAUUUCAGAAUCAUUUAGCUAAAAAAUCAUAAAAUGCAUGAAAAGUAGCAAAUGAAGUUAGAAAGGGUUGAAAUUUGAAGAUGUGGCUUAGAAUGGUGCAUAUUGAAUGCACAAAAAGUAUGGAGUUGAAAUAAUAUUAAAUAACGAAAUGGCUUUGUAAGAGAUGAGUAUUCGUCCACAAACCUCAUACUUCGAAAGAGAUAGUCCAGUUUGUACACGAAGUGCAUCCUGUUUUUAUCUUAACCCUUCCAACUUUUUAGCACAUGCCAUGUGGGUGAAAUGAUGAUAUCAUGCCAAAUUUCAGCCUUUUUGAGUUGAUUUGUAGCGCUUUUCAAUUUCAGGGUCAUUUAGCUCAAAAAAAAUCAUUAAAUGCAUGAAAAGUAGCAAAUGAAGUUAGAAAGGGUUGAAAUUUGAAGAUGUGGCUUACAAUGAUGCAUAUUCAAUGCACAAAAAGUCUGGAGUUGAAACAAGAUUAAAAAAUGAAAUGGCUUUGUAAGAGAUGAGUAUUCGUCUAAAACCGUGAUGCUUCGAAAGAGAUAGUCCAGCUUGUACACGAAGUCCAUACGGUUUUUGCCGUAACCCUUCCAACUUUUUAGCACAUGCCAUGUGGGUGAAAUGAUGAUACCAUGCCAAGUUUCAGCCUUUUCCGAGUUGAUUUGUAGUGCUUUUCAAUUUCAGGGUCAUUUAGCUCAAAAAAAUCAUUAAAUGCAUGAAAAGUAGCAAAUGAAGUUAGAAAGGGUUGAAAUUUGAAGAUGUGGCUUAGAAUGGUGCAUGUUUAAUGCACAAAAAGUCUAGAGUUGAAAUAAGAUUAGAAAAAUGAAAUGGAUUUGUAAGAGAUGAUUAUUCGUCCAGAACCGUGAUACUUCGAAAGAGAUAGCCCAGUUUGUACACGAAGUGCAUCCUGUUUUUGCCGUAACCCUUUCAACUUUUUAACACAUGCCAUGUGGGUGAAAUGAUGAUACCAUGCCAAGUUUCAGCCUUUUCCGAGUUGAUUUAUAGCACUUUUAAUUUCAGGGUCAUUUAGGUCAAAAAAAUCAUUAAAUGCAUGAAAAGUAGCAAAUGAAGUUUGAAAGGGUUGAAAUUUGAAGAUGUGGCUUUAAAUGAUGCAUACUUAGGGCACAAAAGGUGUGGAGUUGAAAUAAGAUUAAAAAAUGAAAUUGCUUUGUAAGAGAUGAGUAUUCGUGUACAAACUUGGCCAUCUACUUUAGAGUAUGAGGGUUUUGGACGAAAACUCAUAUGUUACAUGAGCAUUUCAGUUUUGUUAACUUGUUCCAACUCCAGACUUUUUGUGCAUUCAAUAUGCACAAUUCCAAGCCACAUCCUCAAAUUUCAACAAUUUCUAACUUCACUUGCUAUUUUUCAUGCAUUUAAUGAUUUUUGAGGUAAAUGACCCUGAAAUUAAAAAGCACUAUAAAUGAACUCUAAAAAGGUUGAAACUUGGCAUGUUAUCAUACAUCACAAUGCUCCAGAAAUUUUGCUCACAUCAUAUUUGAACACGGAAAUAAACAAAAAUACUCAUCCAAGCUAGAGAUCCACAUGCAGUACAUAAUAUAUAAUAGCUAGAAAUAAAAGUGUUCGCCGUUGCGAACACUACUCGUCUAAAUCAGAAUAUCCCCAAAUUGGUGGUGGUGGUGGUGCUUGAUGUACGAGGUGACACUAGUCAUAGUUCAUGAUUCGAAUCCUGCGGUACAACUCAUGUGCAACGUACGCAUCUUUUGUUGUAUACUCAAUGUUGAUACCGUCAAGUGGGGUGCUACGGCAACAAAAGACCUUCCCCGACAACGGCGCCAGGAAUCCUUCUGAUGCUGGCUACGCCUACAGGGACUUCCUUGGAAAAUAUGCAAAGGAUUCCCUCGGGGCCAUGGAGCCUUGCGUUGAUGUUUCCUUGAAGAGGAAAGGGUGAUGUAGCACUGUGGCAGUAAGUAUUUCCCUCAAUUUGAGAACCAAGGUAUCGAUCCAGUAAGAGGAUCGCGUCAAGUCACAAGUACCUGCACAAACACAAAGAGCUUGUACCCAACUCUAUGAAGGGGUUGUCAAUCCCUUAUAGAUUGUUUGCAAAGUGAGAACUGAAAGCAAAAAGUAAACAAAGCAAAGUAAAAGUAAAAGUGGAGACGAUAGUUGUGAAUAGACCCGGGGGCCGUAGUGUUCACUCGUGGCUUCUCUCAUGAAAGCAAGUAUACAGUGGGUGAACGAAUUAUUGUCGAGCAAUUGAUAGAACCGCGCAAACUCAAGACAUUAUCUAUGGCAAUGAUCAUAUCUAUAGGCAUCACGUCCAAAACAAGUAGACCGAUACUUUCUGCAUCUACUACUAUUACUCCACACUUCGACCGCUAUCCAGCAUGCAUCUAGUGUAUUGNNNNNNNNNNNNNNNNNNNNNNNNNNNNNNNNNNNNNNNNNNNNNNNNNNNNNNNNNNNNNNNNNNNNNNNNNNNNNNNNNNNNNNNNNNNNNNNNNNNNAUGAGAUCAUCGUGGAGCUAGUGGGAGCCACCAUGGGUAUCCAGACCCCGCUGAUGGUUAUUGGCCAGAGAGGUGUCUCGGUCAUGUCUGCCUGUCUCCCGAACCCGUAGGGUCUACACACUUAAGGUUCGAUGACGCUAGGGUUAUAGGGAAUUGUUAUACGAGAUUACCGAAAGUUGUUCGGAGUCCCGGAUGAGAUCCAGGACGUCACGAGGAGCUCCAGAAUGGUCCGGAGGUAAAGAUUGAUGUAUAGGACGGAUGGUUUCGGACACCGGAAGUGUUUCGGGCAUCAUCGGUAACGUACCGGGACCACCGGGACCACCGGAGGUGGUCCCGGGGGACCACCGAAGGGGGGCUGCGACCCCAAGAGGUAAGAUGGGCUAAGUGGGGGUGGGAACCAGCCCCUAGUUGGGCUGGUAUGCCUCCCCACUCAGCCCAUGGCGCACGGGAAAGGAAAAGAGGGGGGAACCCUAAUUUAGGUGGGCCUUAGGCCCACCAGAGGGGUGCGCCACCCCUCCCCCUUGCCCUGGCCGCCACCCCUUCCCCAUCUGAGGGCUGCCGCACCCCUUAGGGGUGGGAACCCUAAGGGCUGCGCCCCCUCCCUCUCCCCCUAUAUAUAGAUGAGGUCCGGGGUUGUUUGAGACACGGUUUAAUCUCUCUCUCGCAUCCCUGCUUCUCUCCCUCCUCCUCUCUGCCGGCGCUUUGGCGAAGCCUUGCCGGGAGACCUCGUCUCUCCACCAACACCACGCCGUCGUGUUGCUGGUCUUCUUCCUCAACCUCUCCCUCCUCCUUGCUGGAUCANNNNNNNNNNNNNNNNNNNNNNNNNNNNNNNNNNNNNNNNNNNNNNNNNNNNNNNNNNNNNNNNNNNNNNNNNNNNNNNNNNNNNNNNNNNNNNNNNNNNGGAUGGUACAGAAACACCAGAGGCUUGACUCGUUGAGUUGGGUCGCUACACCUAAACAGCUGAAUAAUGGUGAGUACCACAUUUUUACCACCAACGGCUGCAAAAAGGAUAGGGAGCGUAAGUAGACAUCCAUCAACAUGAUUGAGCCAACAUUCCCUAGAUAUCUCAACUCGUCCGAGCAACCAAUUGUUUGGAGCCAUGAGGAUCAACCGCCUCGGGUUGAUAACCCGGGAGAUCUAGCUUUGGCAGUAGCACCUCAGGUUGGUGGAUACACCCUCACAAAAGUCCUCAUGGAUGGAGGGAGCAGCAUCAACAUUUUAUAUUAUGACACUUUCCGGAGGAUGAACCUGCAGGACAACACUUUGCAAACUUCGUCCAUAGUUUUUUGUGGAAUCAUUCGUGGGAAGUCAGCAUGCCCAGUUCGGCGGAUCAAGCUUAAUGUUGCUUUUCGGGAUGAACAUAAUUCCAGAUGUGAGCCCCUAAUGUUUGAGGUGGUGAAAAUAAAGAGUCCUUAUCAUGCUCUCUUUGGAAGGCUGGCUUAUGCCCGGUUCAUGGCCCGUCCUUGUUAUAUCUACCUUAAGCUCAAUAUGCUGGGUCCUAAAGGCACCAUAAUAGUGGGAGGUAGAAUAAAGAUAGCUCAAGAAUGUGAGGAAGGAGAUGUUGCUUAUGCUGAGUCGGCCUGUGCUACUGAAAAGAUAAAAUCCCUCACAGACAACUCUGGUAAAGCUUCUCUCAAGUAAGCCACCAGUUUGAGUAAUCCAACCCGGCCAAUUUCUUUUUGCCCUAUCACACUAGGAGCUACCGUCUCAUUAUCUUUUGUACCAAUCCCCAAAUUCUGUACAUACUUCUAAAAUAUUUGAAUCUAAUAAAGCUUGCUUUUAGCAAAAUUGAGCAUGAGUUUUUUACCACCCAGUAUGUUAGCUGGGGGCUUCAAAGUUCAAAUAAAUUAUUAUGGUCAAUAAAAUUAAGUCGGCUUAUCUCGGUGCUACCUGCCCCGAGUUGUUUAGCAGUAAUAGCAUUGUCUUCUGCAAUCCUAUGUCAGGCCUUUCUAUUUUGAUAAUAGGUCACUUGGAGGCUUCGAACUCAAAGAGUUCAGCCUCUUACCCUCUUGAUCGUCAAAGACGCCACAAAAUUAUUAAACCUGUUGGUAUUUUUUGGCGACUCUGAAGAAGGUGACUCUGUGUACUCUUGAUUGAUCAUUCCAUUAUGGACCCUGAAUCGGCAAGGUUAAAACAUGGGUAUAUCAUGUGAGAACUGACAUGUUGAAAGCUAGGAUAAAUCUUGGGUUAUUAUGCCUGCUUCGUUGAACCAAGUCUAGGCCUCAAAAGUUAACAUUUUAUUUUUAACCGCGUCUCACUAAGCCGGUUUGCGAGUCUUGACUAAUACUCUGCAUGAUAUAUUAUUUUUUAGAAACUUUUUGUAGAGAGUACCAUUUAAAAACUAUCAUAAAAACAUGAUUAUUACAUGUUCCAAAUAUUUUGUUUUUAAAUAAAUUUUAUUUUCUCCUGCAAUAAUGGCGUAAGGAGAUGGAACAGCGUUACCACAUCAUCAUGGAAAACCGGGUCAUAAGAGAUAUAGCUAUAAAGUUUCUGAUGGUUGGCUGAAAUAAACACGCUCGAAGGCGUGACCACAUGCAUCUCAGAGUUGUCGCUACCCUAUUACAGACUCACAUCAAGAGUCAUCAAAAUCCAAAAAGGAAUUUACCAGAAGAUAAAGUUUUUAUGAUAGGCGAGUUAUUUAUGACCCACCAUCAGUUUACGCCGUUGGCACAUUCCGCACCCGAUUCUUCCGACUCGUCGUCAUCAUCAAUAUGAUCCUGGCCUUGUUGGAUCCACCGAAUUGAUCUCGGAGAUUCAAAAUCUGAAGCGGUCCCAGUUGAAGUAGAAGAUCUGAUGUUAGAAUCCGUCUUUUUCUCAUAAUGAGGUGGAAUGAGCUCCAGAUGCUCGUCUUUAGGUACUAGAACACGCUCAUUAUCAGUGGUAUAUGUCGGGUGAUACGUCUCAAAACGUAUCUAUAAUUUUUGAUGGUUUCACGUUGUUAUCUUGUCAACUUUGGAUGUUUUAUUACCUUUUAUAUCUUUUUUGGGACUAACUUAUUAACUCAGUGCCAAGUGCGAGUUCCUGUUUUUUCUAUGUUUUUGACUCUUUUCAGAUCUGAUUUUGGAACGGAGUCCAAAUGGAAUAAAAUCCCCGAAAUGAAUAUUUCCAGAAUGGAAGAAGAUUGGGAGGCUUGAGGCCAAGCAAGUGGGCCCACAGGGGGCCCACAAGCCCUGUUGCCGCGACCAGGGGGGAGGCCGCGGCAACCAAGCUUGUGGCCUCCCUGGCGCUCCCCUGCCCUAGGUCUUUGGCCUAUAAAUUCCCUAAAAAUCCAGAAAAAAUCAGGGCGUCCACAAAAACACUUUUCCGCCGCCACAAGCUUCCGUUUCCGCGAGAUAUCAUCUGGAGACCCUUCCCGGUGCCCUGCUAGAGGGGACUUUGGAGUUGGAGGGCUUCUUCAUCAACAUCAUCGCCCCUCCAAUGACUCAUGAGUAGUUCACUUCAGACCUACGGGUCCGUAGUUAGUAGCUAGAUGGCUUCUUCUCUCUCUUGGAUCUUCAAUACGAAGUUCUCCAUGAUCUUCAUGGAGAUUUAUCCGAUGUAAUCCUCUUUGGCGGUGUGUUUGUCGAGAUCCGAUGAAUUGUGGAUCUGUGAUCAGAUUAUCUAUGAUAUAUAUUUGAGUCUUUGCUGAUUUCUUAUAUGCAUGAUUUGAUAUCCUUGUAAGUCUCUCCGAGUCUUGGGUUUUGUUUGGCCAACUAGAUCUAUGAUUCUUGCAAUGGGAGAAGUGCUUGGUUUUGGGUUCAUACCGUGUGGUGACCUUUCCCAGUGACAGAAAGGGCAGCAAGGCACGCAUCAUGUUGUUGCCAUCAAGGGUAACAAGAUGGGAUUUUAUCGUAGAUAUGAGAUUGUCCAUCUACAUCAUGUCAUCUUGCUUAAGGCGUUACUCUGUUCUCAUGAACUUAAUACACUAGAUGCAUGCUGGAUAGCGGUCGACGUGUGGAGUAAUAGUAGUAGAUGCAGAAAGUAGCGGUAUACUUGUUUUGGAUGUGAUGCCUAUAGAUAUAAUCAUUGCCAUAGAUAACGUCACGACUUUGCGCGGUUCUAUUAAUUGCUCGACAGUAAUUCGUUCAUCCACCGUCUACUUGCUUUCAUGAGAGAAGCCACUAGUGAACACUACGGCCCCCGGGUCUCUUCACACCUAUCGUUUCCACUUUUGCUUUUACUUUGCUUUGUUUCUUUGUUGCUUUCAGUUCUCACUUGGCAAACAAUCUAUAAGGGAUUGACAACCCCUUCAUAGCGUUGGGAGCAAGCUCUUUGUGUUUGUGCAGGUACUUGUGAUAUUCCUUCAUUGGAUCGAUACCUUGGUUCUCAAAAUUGAGGGAAAUACUUACCGCCGCUGUGCUACAUCACCCUUUCCGCUUCGAGGGAACACCAACGCAAGGCUCCAAGGCCACGGGGGAAUCCUUUGCAUAUUUGCCUAGGAAGUCCCUAAAGGCGUAGCCGUAGCAGAAGGAUUCCUGGUGCCGUUGGUGAGGAGUAUCAAGGCAAGAAUAGUCUCCCGUCAGCACGCUUGUUUCUGGCGCCGUUGGAAGGUCUUUUGUUGCAGUAGCACCGGGUAAUGAUGAGAGGUAUCAACCAGCUCUGCCAGAAUGGUUGCAAGGGGUCGGGUCUCCUUCAUGACACGAGCUAACGGGGGGAUAACUCCGGAGUAGGCUCAUCAAGCCUACUCCUCUAUACUUCAGUGUAGAGAGGGGCGAAAGCUUCCUCAAUGACCGGCUCCUCCUGGCCGGCUAUAAAGUCCAUGCUGCCUAAGAGCGUAGCCGUCUACUCUCUGGCCGGCUGGCUAGCCGCCAUCUGGCUGAAGGGCACCUGUCGCAUCGAUCCCCAUGAUGUGACGGGGCCUUCGAUUAAAGGCGAAAGUACCUCAGCACGGGUACGAUGGAGAAGCAUACACAUGGCUACCGUGGCGGCGGCCGUACUGCUAACCGGUGCCGGCUCCGACCCAUCAACAGUGUAAAGUACCCGCAUGCCACUACCAACUCCAUUACCUGGCCCGGCGUGGCUACAGUAGAGACGGCCGUACCGCUGACCGACGCCGGAUCCUGCAAGACGACGUCCGUCGUACCGCACGCACCCUGCAUUGGGAACACGCACCAAUCCAAUAGGCUAGCCGGUGGGUCCCAGGGCCAGAUGGGACCUUGCAGCCGCCGGGCCUCUCGAGCGACAAGACUAAUCCUCAAUGGCCCCCCUAGCCGGCCUGAGAGGCUGCCAGCCGACCCCCCCUAUUGUACCUAUUAUCCAUUUUGUAGGCCGGUGGGUUCGUCUAUAACCCCCCGGCCCCCCUCCAUGCAGAGGGCCAGCCAUUCUCACACCCACACACAUCACACAGGAGAGGCAGAUAGCGAGCCGGCUGCUCCUUCUUCCUCCUCCAUCGAACAGCUCAAGGAGCAUUUUGUAAUCACCUUGGUUCAUCAGCCAUUCCGAUAGGACUAGGGGUAUUAUCUCCCAUGGAGAGCCCCGAACCUGGGUACAUCGUGUGUCUUGCAUUAUUAGCUACCAAUCUCGUUCCCGGAGUCCACCGGUGUCCCUUCAGUCCCAACCACUCUCGAUAAGCCUACCCAUGGCAUUUGUCGUGAGAAAACGACGAUAGUUGGCGCCCACCAUGGGGCCGUCUGCGGCACCGGUCUGAGUUACGCUCGGGCGGGACCCUUCGCCAACCCUACCGGAUGCCUCGCGUCUCGACUGAUCAGCACACCCAUGGAGGCUGCCCCUGCGGAGGUUUCUGUGGUGUUGAUCGACAACUCAGCCCGUCUCGUCGGCUCUGCCAUUGAGAUCACCAACGAGCCUCUCGGUGACGGCGUUGCCCCUGACGUCGCUCGCCUCUGCGUUCUCUUCGACAACCUACGCCUCGAUGAUGAGCCUCGCCAACUUGGCAGGGACAUCGACAUCGAUGCCCUCUGCACACACUUCAACAAACUCAGUCUCGAAGAUGCUCCUGCACACGACGAGUACCUGAUACGUCUCCAACGUAUCUAUAAUUUUUUAUGGUUCCAUGCUAUUAUAUUGUCAAACUUUGGAUGUUUUGUAUGACUUUUAUAUCUUUUUUGGGACUAACUUAUUAACUCAGUGCCAAGUGCCAGUUCCUGUUUUUUCCGUGUUUUGACCCUUUUCACACGAGAAUAUUAAAUGGAGUCCAAACGGAAUAAAACUUCCGAAAAGAUGUUUUCCGGAACAGAAGAUACGCAUGGGGCAUGAGAACCAAGGCAGAGGCCACCAUGGGAGGCCACAAGCCCCCUAGGCGCGUCCAGGGGGACCUGCGCCUAGCAGGCUUGUGGCCCCCCUGUGGCUCGUCUGCCCUACUUCUUCCGCCUAUAAAUCCUCGAAAAAUCCAAAACCACGAGAGAGAUCGACGAAAAUACUUUUCGGCCGCCGCAAGCUUCUGUCCCCGCAAGAUCCCAUCUGGGGCACGUUCUGGUGCCCUUCCGGAGGGGGAUUCGGAUACGGAGGGCUUCUUCAUCAACACCAUUGCCUCUCUGAUGAUGCGUGAGUAGUUCACCCUGGACCUUCGGGUCCAUAGCUAGUAGCUAGAUGGCUUCUUCUCUCUCUUGGAUCUUCAAUACAAAGUUCUCCAUGAUCUUCAUGGAGAUCUAUCCGAUGUAAUAUUCUUUUGCGGUGUGUUUGUCGAGAUCCGAUGAAUUGUGGAUUUCUGAUCAGAUUAUCUAUGAAUCUUAUUUGAGUUUCUUCUGAUCUCUUAUAUGCAUGAUUUCAUAUCCUUGUAAUUCUCUUCGAGUUGUGGGUUUUGUUUGGCCAACUUGAUCUAUGAUUCUUGCAAUGGGAGAAGUGCUUAGUUUUGGGUUCAUACCGUGCGGUGACCUCACCCAGUGACAGAAGGGGUGGCGAGGCACGCAUCGUGUUGUUGCCAUCAAGGGUAAAAGGAUGGGGUUUAUAUCUAUUGCAUGAAGUUAUCCAUCUACAUCAUGUGAUCUUUCUUAAGGCAUUACUCUGUUCGUCAUGAAUUCAAUACACUAGAUGCAUGCUGGAUAGCGGUCGAUGUGUGGAAUAAUAGUAGUUGAUGCAGAAAGUAUCGGUCUACUUGUCUCGAAUGUGAUGCCUAUAUGUAUGAUCAUUGCCUUAGAUAUCGUCAUGACUUUGCGCUGUUCUAUCAAUUACUCGACAGUAAUUUGUUCACCCACCGUAAUAUUUGCUAUUUUGAGAGAAGCCUCUAGUGAACACUAUGGCCCCCGGGUCUACUUCACAUCAUAUUUUCAGCCUUACACUUUUACUUCAUUGCACUUUCCGCCUUCAGAUCUCACUUUGCAAUUAAUCUUGAAGGGAUUGACAACCCCUUUAUAGUGUUGGGUGCAAGCUCGUUUGUGUUUGCGCAGGUACUCUGGACACUUGGCUUGAUUCUCCUACUGGAUUGAUACCUUGGUUCUCAAACUGAGGAAAAUACUUACUGCUACUAUGCUGCAUCACCCUUUCCUCUUCAAGGGAAAAACGAACGCAAGCUCUAGAGGUAACAAGAAGAAUUUCUGGCGCCGUUGCCGGGGAGGAUCAUGUCAAGAAUAGUCUCCCGUCAACGUGUCAAUUUCUGGCACCGGGGAUUAUUCUAAGUGAAGCUUAUCCAAGUAAGUGUCGCAAACUCAUCUCUUGAAUUUACUUUUUUUUGCCUCUAGUUUUCCUCUCCCCCACUUCUGAAAAAAACAAAAAUUUACAAAAAUAUUUUCCUUUUUCGUUCGCCCUUUUCCUUCGCUUGCUUCCUGCCUGCUUGAGUGGGAUAGUCUACCUUUCCUCAUGGCUAGACCUACCGCUUCGAACGAUACUCCCGAGAGCGAAGUUCUCAAUUUUAAACAAAAUUAGGAAGAAGACUUAAAUGACGCUUGGUAUAGGAUUUGCAACACUCAGAGUAGAUCUACUCGUAAGCAAUCUACUACCGUCCUACUUCGCAGCUUUUAUGUGGGUAUUUACCCUUGGAAUAGGUAUGUUCUUGAUACCAUCGUAGGUGGAAGUUUCUUGGGUAGCCAUACCGUUGAUUCUUACGGUGCUUUGAUAAAUCUGGUAGGCUCACCCCCACUCAUGGUUAAUGGAACCAACUUAACUUUGGAACAUGUGAUGCGUAGGUUGGAUAUCAUUGAAAAUAAAGUUGCUACGAUUGAACUCAUUGAGAAUUUGGAUAAAAAGAUCCACAAUCAAAUCACUCAGUACGGAUCCAAGGUGGGAAUGGCUUUGAAAAAUCUAAAGGAGAGGGAACCCACAGUUAACAAAAACUAGGUCAUCAUUCCGCUAGGAUUGGCAAACUAGAGGAUGUUAUAACCAACUUGGGUUCCGCUUUUGCCGCUGUGCAGAACACUCCAAUUUUUACCCACAAUAAGGCCACCAAGUUUGUUUUUGUUCCUAAAAAUAGUGGUGAACCAUCUAGUAAUAUAGAUGAAGACCUUAAGAUGAUGAGGGCUAUUUAUGGUUUGAGCACCAAAGACGAGGAUAUGUGAUUCUUUCACCUUAUGCCUAGCUAAGGGCGUUAAACAAUAACGCUUGUUGGGAGGCAACCCAAUGAAUUUAUAUUUGAUUUUUGCUUUCUGUUUUGUUGCGUCCACACCAUCAUAAUUCUGUUAUGAUUGUGUCUUUUGUGUUUGAGCCAAGUAAAACCUUUAUGACUAGUUUGGUGAUGGUUGUUUGAUCCUGCUGGAAAAAGACAGAAACUUUUCGCUCACGAAAUUAUUUUUCAUUUUAAUCCAUAAAGAGAUUUUGAGUUGAUUCUUUUUGUUGCUGGUUGAUAUGGCAAUUGCCCAAACUGUCGUAAUGUUUCAGAAUUGUUGAGAUACCAGAAGUAUACGAAGUAUACAGAUUGCUACAGACUGGUCUGUUUUUGACAUAUUCUGUUUUUGUUGUGUUGGUUGCUUGUUUUGAUGAAACUAUGUAUAGUAUCGGGGGGGGCGGGUACUGAUACGUCUCCAUCGUAUCUACUUUUCCAAACUCUUUUGCCCUUGUUUUGGACUCUAAUUUGCAUGAUUUGAAUGGAACUAACCCGGACUGACGUUGUUUUCAGCAGAAUUGCCAUGGUGUUGUUUUUGUGCAGAAAUGAAAGUUCUCGGAAUGUCUUGAAACUUUACGGAGAAUAUUUAUGGAAAAUAUGAAAAAUACCUGUGCAAAGAUCCACCGGAGGGGACGGGCCAGUGGGCCACAAGCCCUGUAGCCGCGGCCUCCCCUCUGGUCGCGGCUACGAGGCUUGUGGGGCCCACGUGCCUCUGCCGCCCCCAAUUCCAGCGCUAUAUAUUCCCUUUCAUCCCGGAAAAAAUCAAGAGAGAAGAGUUCAUUGCGUUUCACGAUCCAGAGGCGCCUCCACAUCCCGUUCUUGCCCUGGAGGGCAGAUCUGGAGUCUGUUUUGUGCUCCGGAUCAAGGAGAUCGUCGCCAUCGUCAUCAUCAACCUUCUUCCCUCUCCAAUUCCAUGAAACUCUUCAUCGUUCGUGAGUAAUCUAUUCAUAGGCUCGCUGGGCGGUGAUGAGUAUGAUGAGAUCUAUCAUGUAAUCGAGUUAGUUUUGACGGGGAUUGAUCCCUAGUAUCCACUAUGUUCUGAGAUUGAUGUUGCUACUACUUGGCUAUGCUUAAUGCUUGAAACUAGGGCCCGAGUGCCAUGAAUUCAGAUCUGAACCUAUUAUGUUGUCACCAAUAUAUGUGUGUUUUAGAUCCGAUCUUGCAAGUUGUAGUUACCUACUAUGUGUUAUGAUCCGGCAACCCCGGAGUGACAAUAACCGGAACCACUCUCAUUGAUGACCAUAGUUUGAGGAGUUUAUGUGUUCACCAAGUGCUAAUGCGUUGGUCCGGUUCUUUAUUAAAAGGAGAACCUUAAUAUCCCGUAGUAUCCAUUUGGACCCCGCUGCCACGGGAGGGAUGGACAAUAGAUGUCAUACAAGUUCUUUUCCCUAAGCACGUAUGACUACACACGGAAUGCAUGCCUACAUCACAUUGACGAACGGGAGCUAGCCACAUAUCUCUCCGUGUUAUAACUGUUGCAUGAUGAAUGUCAUCCAACAAAUCACUGAUCCAUUGCCUACGAGUUUGUCCCACUGCUAUUGUUACUUGCUGCUGCUGUUACUUGCUUUGCUCUGCUGCUGUUACUACGGUUGCUGCUACUGUUACUUGCUUCUACUAUUACUUGCUUCGUCAUGCUGCUGCUGCUACUACUGUUGCUACUACUGUUACUUGCUGUUGCUGUUACUUGCUACUGUUGCUAAUUGCUACUCCUAUCACUACUGCUGUUCCUUGCCACUACUGUUACUCGUUACACUGCUGCUACCUGCUACAAUACUUUUCUGGUGCCAUUGAUACUUCAGUUAGGAAUAAUCUGUCGUCAACAGAUUCUUUCCUAGCACCGUUGCUAUCAUACUACCUUUGCUGCUUAUAUACUGCUUGCAGAUACUAAUCUUUCAAUUGUGUUUGAGCCAACAACUCAACUGCUAAUACUGGAGAAUAUCCUUUCAUUCCCAUCGUGUCGAACCAACAAAUUUGGGUUGAAUACUCUACCCUCAAAACCUGCCGCGAUCCCACACGCUGGUGGGCCAUUGCAAGACAAUUGCUAAUUGUUGAGCAACUGGAAACAACUCUUUUUUGGCACCGUUGCCGAGGAGGAAUAGCUAUAUUCUCUGAGUCACUUGGGAUUUAUAUCUUGUGAUCACUAUGAAGAAUCGGAAAGAUCUGAGAACCAAAGUCUUGCCCUCAACUCUGAGGGGAGGUAAGGAACUGCCAUCUAGCUCUGCACUUGAUUCACCUUCAGUUAUGAGUAAGUUUGCGACACCACCUCGUGCUAGAAAUCUUGAUAUGUCGCGUGUGCUAGAUGAUGCUAGAGAUGCUACUGCUAUUGAUGAUGCUUAUGAUGAUACUAUGCCUGAUACUGCUAGAGAUGCUAUGCGUGAUACUGCUAGAGAUGCUAUGCCUGAUACUGCUAUCCAUGAUGCUAUGCUUGAUGCUGCUUUGCCUGAUGAUGCUAGAGAUGCUAUUUUGCCUGAUUAUGCUAUGCUUGAUACUGCUAGAGAUACUACUUUGCCUGAUAUGCCACUAGGGGUAUUCCUUGAUGCUCAUAUUGCUAGAGUUAUUGCCAAUGCUCGUGAUGCUUCUGAAACUCUCGAUACUAUUGAGAUAGAACCUGCUUUUGCUCCUGCUAGAUCUAGCUCUCCUAGAUAUGAAUUGCCUGAUAUACCUGAGGGUUAUGUUAUGGAGGGAGAGAUAGCUGAGGAUUUUCUUGCGUGUAAGGAUGGCUAUGACGCUGAGAAAUUACUUCUCAAGUGGAAGGAAAAAUCUCUGAAAGCUAGGAUGAAAUACAACCCGAAGUUUGCCACUUCACCUAUCUUUAUCACCGAUGAGGAUUAUGAAUUCUCUGUCGACCCUGAGAUAAUCUCUCUUGUCGAAUCUGAUCCUUUCCACGGUAAUGAGUUUGAGACGGUCGUAGCCCAUCUUACCAAACUACACGAUAUAGCCACCCUUUUCACUAGUGAGGAGAAGAUCCGCUACUACUAUAUCCUUAAGUUGUUUCCUUUCUCUCUAAAGGAUGACGCUAAAUCCUAGUUCACUUCUCUUGCUCCUGGAUGUGUGAGUAGUCCCCAGGAUAUGGUCUAUUACUUCUGUGAGAAAUAUUUCCCUGCCCAUAAGAAGCAAGCUGCCUUGCAGGAAAUAUACAACUUUGCUCAACUCAAAGAAGAGUGUCUCCCACAAGCUUGGGGGAGGCUCAUCCAGCUACAGAAUGCUUUGCCUGAUCACCCUCUUAAGAAGAACGAGAGACUUGAUAUCUUCUAUAACAGACUUACCGAUGCUUCUAGAGACCACCUAGAUAGUUGUGCCGGUUGUGUUUUUAGGGAACGAAUUGUAGAACAAGUUGAGAUCCUACUGAAUAACAUCUUGAUCAACAAUAAUGCUUGGACUAUUCCCGAACCACCUCCUAAGCCAUAUCCCAAGAAAAGAGGUAUUCUAUUCCUCAGUCCUGAAGAUAUGCAAGAAGCCAAGAAAUCUUUGCAAGAGAAAGGCAUUAGAUCUGAAGAAAUCAAAAAUCUACCGCCUAUCGAAGAGAUCCAUGCUCUCGAUAACCCGAUACAAGUAGUAGAGGUGAAUUCUCUGCGUAGAUUCAAUGAGAGUGAUAUUCCUUUUGAUAAACCUGCUAGCCUAUGCUUUGAUGAAUUUGACAACUUUGUUGCCAAACAACAAAGUUUCAAUGAUUAUGUUAGCAGACAAUUGGAACAACGUACUCACAUGCUUAGUCAUUUAAGUGCUUGUGUAGAGAGAAAUGUCAAUGAUCUGAAGCUUCUGAGUAAACAUGCCUCAAUGAUUACUACUCAGGUAGAACAAGUACUUAAAGCUCAGAAUGACGUGCUCAAUGAAUUAAUGACAACUCUGUCAGAGUCAUUACUAGAGGAGGCAAAAUGACUCAGGAACCCUUGUAUCCUGAAGGCCAUCCUAAGAGAAUUGAUCAACAUUCUCAAGGUAUUAAUGCUCAUACACCCAGUCAUCCUAAGAAUAAGAAGAAGGAUGAUAGAAACCUACAUGUCAGUUCACCAAAUACUGUAACACCUGAAGAACCAAAUGAUAUUUCUGCGUCUGAUGCAGAAACACAAUCUGGUGAUGAACAUGAACCUGGUGACAAUAUGGACAGCGAUGUUCAUAAUAAUGCUCAACCUAGCAAUGAUAAGGAUGUGGAGAUUGAACCUACGGUUAAUCCUGAUAACCCACAACCUAAGAGGUACGAUAAGAAUGACUUCACUGCUAGGAGGCAUGGUAAAGAAAGGGAGCCAUGGGUUCAGAGACCCAUGCCCUUUCCUCCUAAGCCAUCCAAGAAAAAGGAUGAUGAUGAUUUUGAGCGCUUUAUUGAAAUGUUGAGACCCGUCUUUCUGCGUAUGCGGUUAAUUGAUAUGCUCAAAAUGUCUCCAUAUGCCAAGUACAUGAAAUAUAUCGUGACCAAUAAACGGAAGAUACCAGAUCUUGAGAUCUCCACCAUGCUUGCCAAUUACACUUCCAAAGGUGGAACUCCUAAGAAACUUGGUGAUCCCGGAGUGCCCACUAUACCUUGCUCCAUUAAAGGAAACUACGUAAGAACUGCCUUAUGUGACCUUGGAGCCGGUGUUAGUGUUAUGCCUCUCUCUCUCUUUAUCGUAGACUUGAACUGGAUAAGUUGACACCCACUGAAAUUUCUCUGCAAAUGGCCGACAAAUCAACUGCUUUCCCUGUCAGCAUUUGCGAGGAUGUGCCUGUUGUGGUUGCUAACGUUGCUAUCUUAACGGACUUUGUUAUCCUGGAUAUUCCUGAGGAUGAUGCCAUGGCGAUCAUUCUUGGAAGACCAUUCUUAAACACUGCAAGGGCUGUUAUAGAUUGCAGCAAAGGCAAUGUCACCUUCCAUGUCAACGGUAAUGAGCAUACAGUGCACUUUCCAAAGAAACGAUAUCAAGUACAUUGCAUCAAUGCUAUCGAAAAAACAUCAUCGAUUCUUAUUGGGAGCUUUGAAUUCCCUAUUCCUCGUGUUAAGAUGAAGUAUGAUUUGCUUGUUGGGGAGAUUCAUGUCCCCAUUGAGGUGACUUAGUGGCUAUUCGACAAUUCUCUGUUUCCUUUUGCGAUUCGAAAAGGUUUUGUCGAGGGGAUUUGAUCAACCCCAUUGACGGAUUUCUUUCGAUGACCAUGAAAUGGAUGAAUCAAGGAGUCACAUACCUCUGUUUUAAGCUUUCACUUUCUGUUGUUUAGAAGGAAAAAUGAUAGAUUUAGUUUAGUUUUUCCUGUUUUCUGUUUUAGCGUCCCAGAGAAAAGUAUCCCGAAAAUAGAAGUUCUACGAUGGCCCUGAAAAUCAAAUAUGAUUUUUUCUGGUUUUUUUGAAAAAUACUGGGACUGAGAGCUGGCCUGGGAGCCACACCAGUGGGCCACAAGCCCUGUAGCCGCGGCCUCCCCUGGCCGCGGCUACCAAGCUUGUGGGGCCCACAGGGACCCCCUCCACUCAUUCUAGCUCCCAUCCUCUUCUUCUACCUCCAGAAAAAAUCGUUUUACAGCUCCAACCCGUGCUCUUGCUCAUUUGGCUGUGAUUUUCGAUCUCCUUGCUCAAAGCACCAUUCUACGAACCGUUUUGGGGAAAUUACUCCUUGGUAAGUGACUCCUCCAUUGGUCCAAUUAGUUACUCUAGUGCUUUAUCCUUCGCGUAUUCUUUCUACCUUGGUGACCCUGUUCUUGAACUUGAAAUGUUGAUUUUAGUUCGUCCCAAGUAGUUUUAACGCGUGAUACGGUCUCUAGGCACUAGUAGGAGUAGUUGCUACAAGGUUUGGUUGGUCUUUAUUCACUUUUCUCUUGAACUUCAAAAAUUUCAGCAAAAAUAAAUUAUGUUUAGGAGGAAGUUUCAUGGUGGUUCCUCAAGUAAGAAGGGUCCCCGUCUUUCUAUUAAGGAGCCCGAUCCUUAUGAACUAAGGGACGCACCGGUACAACCAUGUGAAUGGCCUUCCGAUGAGUUCAUGAUCGAAGCAGGCUUCAAGGAUGAGUUUGAUACACUUGUCCACAAUGCCGAGUUAGAAGAAUUCCUCUCAGAUAAAUGUGAACAGUAUGCUAUGCUCACUGCCUCUUUCAUGCGUAGAUUUAAAUUUUUAGUUGGCCGUGACUCAUCCAUACUGUUUGAUCUGUAUGAUAAAUCCUACACCAUGGAUUUGGAGGAUUUCAAUAGGAUUUGCAAGAUACCCGAUGGGGGUAGUCUUAAUGAUCCUGCUAAGUCUUCGGUUAGAUAUUUUUUUUCUCUAGUAUAACUGUUGGAGAAACUAGAGACAUCACGCAAGCUACCAUAGGAAGCAUUCAUUUCCCUGCCUUGCACUACUUUGCCCUCUUCAUAGGUAGAUGCAUUAACGGCAAGGUUGAACAUUGUCACCUAUGCGCAUCCGACCUUAGUAUCCUUAAGAGCGCAAUAACAGGUGACAGGAGCUUCAACAUGGGAGCUAUAAUAGCAAGGAGGCUGAAUAAUAAUGCCAUUGAUAUUAGUUUACCGUGAGACCUAUGUGUCACUUGCUUAUGUGGUUAACUUGUGAUCUUGCUGAAAUUCUGGUUAUGAGUUAGACAUAGUUGCAACAUCAAGAUCAAACAGAGUUUGUCAAAGUUUUUCGUUCUCUUUUAGUUUGUCAACUGAGUUGCUUGAGGACAAGCAAGGUUUUAAGCGUGGGGGAGUUGAUACGUCUCCAUCGUAUCUACUUUUCCAAACUCUUUUGCAAUUGUUUUGGACUCUAAUUUGCAUGAUUUGAAUGGAACUAACCCGGACUGACGCUGUUUUCAGCAGAAUUGCCAUGGUGUUGUUUUUGUGCAGAAAUGAAAGUUCUCGGAACGUCUUGAAAAUUUACGGAGAAUAUUUCUGGAAAAUAUGAAAAAUACCUGCGCAAAGAUCCACCGGAGGGGACGGGCUAGUGGGCCACAAGCCCUGUAGCCGCGGCCUCCCCCCUGGUCGCGGCUACCAGGCUUGUGGGGCCCACGUGGCUCUGCCGCCCCCAAUUCCAGCACUAUUUAUUCCCUUUCGUCCCGGAAAAAAUCAGGAGAGAAGAGUUCAUCGCGUUUCACGAUCCAGAGGCGCCGCCACAUCCCGUUCUUGCCCUGGAGGGUAGAUCUGGAGUCCGUUUUGGGCUCCGGAUCAAGGAGAUCGUCGCCAUCGUGAUCAUCAACCUUCUUCCCUCUCCAAUUCCAUGAAGCUCUUCAUUGUUCGUGAGUAAUCUAUUCGUAGGCUCGCUGGGCGGUGAUGAGUAGGAUGAGAUCUAACAUGUAAUCGAGUUAGUUUUGACGGGGAUUGAUCCCUAGUAUCCACUAUGUUCUGAGAUUGAUGUUGCUACUACUUGGCUAUGCUUAAUGCUUGUCACUAGGGCCCGAGUGCCAUGAAUUCAGAUCUGAACCUAUUAUGUUGUCACCAACAUAUAUAUGUGUUUUAGAUCCGAUCUUGCAAGUUGUAGUUACCUACUAUGUGUUAUGAUCCGGCAACCCUGGAGUGACAAUAACCGGAACCACUCCCGGUGAUGACCAUAGUUUGAGGAGUUCAUGUGUUCACCAAGUGCUAAUGCGUUGGUCCGGUUCUUUAUUAGAAGGAGAACCUUAAUAUCCCGUAGUAUCCAUUUGGACCCCGCUGCCACGGGAGGGAUGGGCAAUAGAUGUCAUACAAGUUCCUUUCCCUAAGCACGUAUGACUACACACAGAAUGCAUGCCUACAUCACAUUGACGAACGGGAGCUAGCCACAUAUCUCUCCGUGUUAUAACUGUUGCAUGAUGAAUGUCAUCCAACAAAUCACCGAUCCAUUGCCUACGAGUUUGUCCCACUGCUAUUGUUACUUGCUGCUGCUGUUACUUGCUUUGCUCUGCUGCUGUUACUACUAUUGCUGCUACUGUUACUUGCUUUGUCAUGCUGCUGCUGCCACUACUGUUGCUACUACUGUUACUUGUUGUUGCUGUUACUUGCUACUGUUGCUACUUGCUACUGCUGUCACUACUGCUGUUCCUUGCCACUGUUGUUACUCGUUACACUGCUGCUACCUGCUAGAAUACUUUUCUUGCGUCAUUGAUACUUCAGUUAGGAAUAAUCUGCCGUCAACAGAUUCUUUCCUAGCACUGUUGCUAUCAUACUACCUUUGCUGCUUAUAUCCUGCUUGCAGAUACUAAUCUUUCAGGUGUGGUUGAGCCGACAACUCAACUGCUAAUACUUGAGAAUAUCCUUUCACUCCCAUUGUGUCGAACCAACAAAUUUGGGUUGAAUACUCUACCCUCGAAAACUGCCGCGAUCCCACACGCUGGUGGGCCAUUGCAAGACAAUUGCUAAUUGUUGAGCAUCUGGAAGUAGGUACUAGCCAUGGAAAAGUGAGAAUACAGUAAUCUAACACCAAUAUAAAUAGAAAUCAAGUUUGCUACAGUACCUCAAGAGGUGGUAGUUUGUUUUCUUGUGCUAAUAAUAUCACGAGUUUCUGUUUAAGUUUUGUGUUGUGAAGUUUUCAAGUUUUGAGUGAUGUUCUCAUGGCCAAAGGGAUAAAGAGUGGAAAGAGCUCAAUCUUGGGGAUGCCCAAGGCACCCCAAGACAAAUUCAAGGACACCAAAAAGCCUAAGCUUGGGGAUGCCCCGGGAAGGCAUCCCCUCUUUCGUAUUCAAUCCAUCGGUAACAUUACUUCGAGCUAUAUUUUUAUUCACCACAUGGUAUGUGUUUUGCUUGGAGCGUCUUGUAUCGUAGGAGUCUUUUAUUUUUGUUGUGUCACAAUCAUCCUUGCUGCACACCUUUGGAGAGAGACAUGCACUCAUCCUGAUUUUGCUAGAAUACUCUUUGAGCUUCACUUAUAUCUUUUGAGUUAGGCAAUUUAGCUCACAUGCGCUUCACUUCGAUCUUUUAGAGCACGACAGUGUUAUAUUUUGGAGAAAUAAGGACUCUCGAUCUUCACUUAUAUCUUUUUGAGAGUGAUCUCUCUGAGUAACUUGGUAGUUGGCUUGUGCUAUGAAAGUAGUCCCAAAGGUGAUAGGAAUCCAAAGAGCAUACGAUGAAACUUCCAUCUUCUUGUUCAUUGAUUAGAAAGAGAAGUUUGAUUCCUCUCAAUUAGUUUUGAGAUAUGGAUUUGGUGAUACUAAGAGUUAUGUUAGUAGGGUGUUGUGAAUCUAGAAAUACUUGUGUUGAAGUUAGUGAUUAACGUAACAUGCACGUAUGGUGAACCGCUAUGUUAGGAAGUCAGAGCAUAAUUGAUCUAUUGAUUGUCAUCCUUUGUGUUGCGGUCGGGAUCGCGCGAUGGUUAACACCUACGAACCCUUCCCCUAGGAGUAUGCGUUUAGCACUUUGUUUUGAUUACUAAUAAAAACUUUCGCAAUAAGUAUGGGAGUUCUUCAUGACUAACGUGAGUCCAUGGUAUAGAUGCACUUUCACCUUCCACCAUUGCUAGCCUCUUUAGUGCCGCGCAACUUUCAUCGGUGCACAAACCCACCAUAUGCCUUCCUCAAAACAGCCACCAUAAGUACCUACUAUGGCAUCUUCAUAGCCAUUCCCAGAUAUAUUGCCAUGCAACUCCCACCGUUCCAUCUCAUGACUUGUGCCGUCACUUUCAUAUUGCCAUUGCAUGAUCGUAAGAUAGCUAGUGAGUCAUAUGCCAAGCUAGAUCGUUGCACAUCCCGGUACAUUGCCGGAGGCAUUUCCUAUAAGAGUCAUCAUUGUUCUAAGCAUUGAGCUUUUAGUAAAUUAAAGUGUGAUGAUCAUCAUUAUUAGAGCAGUGUCCCAUGUGAGUAAAUAAAAAAAAGGCCAAAGUGGCCCACAAAAAAAUAUAUAUGGAAAGAGGCCAAAGAGCCCCCAAAAAAGGAAGAGAGAAAAAGAGAGAAUGGACAAUGCUACUAUCUUUUUCCACACUUGUGCUUCAUAAUAGCACCAUGUUCUUCAUGAUUGAGAGUCUCUUGAUUUGUCACCACCAUAUGCUAGUGGGAAUUUUCGUUAUAUAACUUGGCUUAUAUAUUCCAAUGAUGGGAUUCCUCAAAAUUGCCCUAGGUCUUGACGAGCAAGCAAGUUGAAUGCACACCCACUAGUUCUUCUUUUGAGCUUUCACAUACUUAUAGCUCUAAGUGCAUCCAUUGCAUGGUAAUCCCUACUCUUUCACAUUGAUAUCUAUUAAUGGGCAUCUCCAUAGCCCUUUGAUACGCCGAGUCGAUGUGACCAUCUCCUCCUUUUUGUCUCACAACCUCCACCACACUCUAUUCCACCAUAGUGCUAUAUCCAUGGCUCAUGCUCAUGUAUUGCAUGAGAGUUGAAAAAGGUUUGAGAACGUAAGAGUGCGAAAACAAUUACUUCGCCAAUACCGGGGUUGUGCAUGAUUUAAAUUAGUUGUGUGGGGAUGAUGGAGCAUAGCCAGACUAUAUGAUUUUGUAGGGAUAACUUUCUUUGGCCUUGUUAUUUCGAAUGUUUAUGAUUACCUUGCUAGUUUUCUUGAAGUAUUAUUGUUUUCAUGUCAAUAGCAAGCUAUUAUUUGAAUCUUACGGAUCUGAACAUUCAUGUCACAUGAAAUAAGUUACAAAGGACAAAGAUGCUAGGUAGCAUUCCACAUCAAAAAUUCAGUCUUUAUCACUUCCCUACUCGAGGACGAGCUGGAGUUAAGCUUGGGGAUGCUUGAUACGUCUCCAACGUAUCUAUAAUUUUUGAUGGUUACAUGCUAUUAUCUUGUCAAACUUUGGAUGUUUUGUAUGCCUUUUAUAUCUUUUUUGGGACUAACUUAUUAACUCAGUGCCAAGUGCCAGUUCCUAUUUUUUUCGUGUUUUUGACCCUUUUCAGAGGAGAAUAUUAAACGGAAUCCAAAAGGAAUAAAACUUCCGAAAAGGUUUUUUCCGGAACAGAAAAUACGCAGGGGGCGUGAGAACCAAGGUAGAGGCCACCAGGGGAGGCCACAAGGCCCCUAGGCGCGGCCAGGGGGGCCUGACUCUGUGACAACAGACCUUCCCCUGCAACGGCACCAGAAGAAUGCUGCUAGCACUCCCCGGCAAUCGAAACUAGAAGAAUAUUGUUGACGGCCCACCAGCGCGUGGGAUCGAGGCAGUUUUCGAGGGUAGAGUAUUCGAACAAAAUUUGUUGAUACGCCAGUAGGAGGUGAGACGAUACUCUCAAGUAUUAGCAGUUGAAUGUGUCAGAUUCAACCAGACGUGAAAGAUUAGUAUCUGCAAGCAAAGUAUCAUCAGCAAAGUAGUAUGAUAACAACGGUGUCAGAAACGAUCUGUUGACGGCAGACUAUUCCUAACGAUUGUAUCAAUGGUGCCAGAAGUUGCCCGUUGACGGAAAUUGUCUGUUCCCGUCAACGCCGAGCGAACAAAAAUUGUAACAGGUAGCAGCAGUGAAACGAGUAACAGCAGUGGCAAGGAACAGCAGUAGUGACAGCAGUAGCAAGUAGCAACAGUAGCAAGUAGCAGCAGAGCAAGCGACAGUAGUAACAGCAGCAGUGGGACAAACUUGUAGGCAAUGGGUCCGUGAUUCGUUCGGAUGAUAUUCAUCAUGCAACAGUUAUAAGACGGAGAGAUAUGUGGCUAGCUCCCGUUCGUCAAUGUGAUGUAGGCAUGCAUUCCGUGUGUAGUCAUACGUGCUUAGGGAAAAGAACUUGCAUGACAUCUAUUGUCCAUCCCUCCCGUGGCAGCGGGGUCCAAAAGGAUACUACAGGAUGUUAAGGUUCUCCUUUUAAUAAAGAACCGGAACAACGCAUUAGCACUUGGUGAACACAUGAACUCCUCAAAGUAUGGUUAUCAUCAGGAGUGGUUCCGGUUANGCCGCAAGCUUCUGUCUCCGCAAGAUCCCAUCUGGGGCACAUUCUGGUGCCCUGUCGGAGGGGGGAUUCGGAUACGGAGGGCUUCUUCAUCAACACCAUUGACUCUCCGAUGAUGCGUGAGUAGUUCACCAUAAACCUUCGGGUCCAUAGCUAGUAGCUAGAUGGCUUCUUCUCUCUCUUGGAUCUUCAAUACAAAGUUCUCCAUGAUCUUCAUGGAGAUCUAUCCGAUGUAAUCUUCUUUUGCGGUGUGUUUUUCGAGAUCCGAUGAAUUGUGGAUUUAUGAUCAGAUUAUCUAUGAAUCUUAUUUGAGUUUCUUCUGAUCUCUUAUAUGCAUGAUUUCAUAUCCUUGUAAUUCUGUUCGAGUUGUGGGUUUUGUUUGGCGAACUUGAUCUAUGAUUGUUGCAAUGGGAUAAGUGCUUUGUUUUGGGUUCAUACCGUGCGGUGACCUCACCCAGUGACAAAAGGGGUAGCGAGGCACACAUCAUGUUGUUGGCAUCAAGGGUAAAAAGAUGGGGUUUAUACCUAUUGCAUGAACUUAUCCCUCUACAUCAUGUCAUCUUGCUUAAAGCGUUACUCUGUUUGUCAUGAACUCAAUACACUAGAUGCAUGCUGGAUAGCGGUCGAUGUGUGGAGUAAUAGUAGUAGAUGCAGAAAGAAUCGGUCUUCUUGUCUCGGACGUGAUGCCUAUAUGUAUGAUCAUUGCCUUAGAUAUAAUUUGCCCUUCCGACCCGCUGCAUGCCACCCUUGUCGAGCUGACUACUCCCAUCGCCCCAACGGCUAAUACAACGCUGACUAGGGCUGAGGUGGAAGAGGCUCGCAAACAACUACUAGUGGAGGGCACCGCCCUUGCCACCUCCAAGCGCUGGAUGAAGGCGGCACGGCGUGAGUACAACUCCGCUUAUGGCUUCACCCCAGCCGCUGACGGACCCAGCCGGCUCGGCGACCUCCGCUGUCGCGGUCGGGUUGUUGCCGAAAUCCUAGGCGGCCAGCUACCCAUCUAUGACACUCCUGCGGCAAACAUGCGGGCCGCCCAGGCGGCCCAUGAAGAGAUGGAUGCCCUGCAGGGCGAGGAGCGGGUGCGUUAAGAAAAGUGCGUCAAGGACCUCCUCACUGCCGCCAAGGAGCAACAGGAUCGCCUCGAUCCUGCCCGUGCUUUCUCCGUAUCUCCGGCCUUCGACAUCGAAGGUUAUGAUGUCCCCAACGACCGUCAGCAAGCUCAGCAUUCUUCCUCCCAUCGUAAAUCCGACCAGAAGGCCGAGGGAAGCCGUGAGUAGCAUUCCCAACGCCGGAGAGAGCAUCACGCAGUAUCUAGCCGGCUCGGCGAGCCGGCUGGAACUAGAGGAGGCUCAGUUCAUGAAGUUCCCCCGCCUGAGCGGUGGGAGAAGGCCAGCACACCCGUGCCCGCAAUCCGGCCUGAGCUCGCGGCUUGGAUCGGCCCUCGCGUCCUUCGCAGCAAGAGCGAUGCUCGCACACGCAUCGACCUUCUGGCGCAGUCGGCCCUCCUGGAGGAGGAGGGUCCCAUUGGUCCGACGUGCUUCGGUCCUCGGAUCCGAGGGGAGGCGUUCCCGUCCGGCUUCACCGUCCCCCGCGAUACUACGAAAUACAACGGCUCUGGCAAGCCGAAAGACUGGCUGAUCGACUACAUCACUGCAGUCGGCAUUUCUCGGGGCAACAAGCGUGUUGCCGUCUGCUACGUGACACUCAUGCUGACCGGCUCGACAAGAACUUGGCUUAACAGUCUGCCAGCUGGCAACAUCAACUCUUGGGUUGACUUUGAAGAUGCUUUCGUCCGCAACUUCACUCGCACCUACAAGCGCCCUGGCCACGCCCGUGAGCUGGCCAUGUGCGUUCAGAAGCCCGACAAACCCCUCUGUGACUACAUCAUGCACUCGACGGAGUUGCACAACUCCUGCGAAGGAGUGCAUGAAGUACAAGCCAUUCAAUACUUCACUAAAGACUGUCGAGACGACACCCUUCUCAAGCACAAACUCAUGUGCUGCGAACCUACCUCUUUGGCAGCACUCAUGGACAAGGCGGAUAAAUACACUACUGCCAACUCUGCCAUGAGGAUCAAGGUCAGCGCGACGGACAAACCCGACCAACCGCCGGCUACAACUAAGCCGGUGGCGACAACUGAGGCGGGCAAAACAACAAGCGCAAGGCGGAUCAGCAAGACCCGUGAGCUUGAAGCAAGCAGGUGGCAAACAUGGAGGAAGAGCAGCCGGCUGCGCAAGACGACGCUCAGCAACAACGAACCGGCAAGAACACCUGACAGCCCAAGCUCACAUUCGAGUAGAUGCUCGACGCGCCUUGCAAGAUGCAUUCCGGGGCAAAGCCAGCCACCCACACACUCCGGUAGUGCAGCUUCUCACAGCGCCUGGCCCGCUGGCGGCUCCCCCGGGGGUGGCUCCUCGAGGUCCGACUCCCGGGCCGGGUCCGGCUCCAGCUCAACCGCCCCCAAUGACGGCCGUCUUCAUGACCAAUUCCCCAAGAAGGACGGGCCUACAUCGUCUUUACCAGCGAGGGCGAUGACAAGCAUAGUGAGCGUCAGCGCCGACAUGAGGUGAAUGCAACGGUCCUCUCGGUUCCCCAAUACACGCAUUGGUCUAAAAAGCAAAUUACAUGGAGCCAGGCGGACCAUCCCGCGGUGAUGCCGAAUCCUGGCACAUACGCGCUCGUCCUCGUCCCCACCAUCGCCUCCAAGAGACUCACAUGUACGUUCUCGCAGGUGCUCGUCGACGGCGGUAGCAUCAUGAACAUCCUCUACCGUGACACCAUGCUCGAGCUCGGGCUGAAGGAGAAGGACCUACAACCGACCAGGACUGUCUUCCACGACAUUGUGUCGGGGCAGUCUUGCUCGCCUAUCGGCAAAAUCCAGGUGGACUUCCUCUUUCGCGACAAGUCGCACUUCCACCGCGAGCCGGUCUGGUUCAAGGAGGUGGACCUCAACAACCCGUACCAUGCGCUGCUAGGAAGGCCGGCGCUGGCCAAGUUCAUGGCUAUCCCCCAUUACACCUACCUCAAGAUGAAGAUGUCGGGUCCCAAGGGCAUUAUCACUGUUGCCGGCAACUCCAAGAAGUCAAUCGAGUGUGGGUGCAACAGCAGCCGGCUGGCCGAGGCACUGGUGAUUGCACAGGAGAAGAGGCAGCUCAACCGGCUCAUGGCUGAGGCUACCGAGCAGCCGCCCGUGCCAACUCCUCCGUCCCAAUCAGACGGCGAGGCCUCAUUCGAGCCGUCCAAGGGAACCGGGCAAGUGCCACUCGACCCAGCCAACCCCAAGUAGUGCGUGACCAUCGGCGCCAACCUUAGCCCCAAAUAGGAAGGUGAGCUCGUCGACUUCCUCAGUGAGAAUCGAGAUAUCUUUGCAUGGUCCCCCAAGGACAUGUCGGGAGUUCCAAGGAACUACGCCGAGCACAAGCUUCAUGUGCAACCUAAUGCAAAGCCGGUCAAACAACCUUUGUGCCGCUUUGCUGAGGGGAAGCGACACACAAUCGGAGAAGAGAUCGCUUGGCUACUUGCAACCGGCUUCAUCAUGGAAGUUUCCCACCCGGACUGACUGGCCAACCCAGUCCUGGUGCAGAAGAAAAACAAAACAUGGUGCAUGUGUAUCGACUACACAAGCCUGAAUAUGGCAUGUCUGAAGGAUCCCGUCGCCCUGCCACGGAUAGAUCAAGUGACUGACUCCACGGUCGGCUACGAUUUGUUGUCCUUUGUGGACGCUUAUUCCGGCUACCACCAGAUCAAGCUGGACCCGGCCGACCGGCUCAAGACCUCCUUCAUCACACCUUCUGGAGCCUACUGCUACACGAUGAUGACAUUUGGCCUAAAGACUAUAGGCGCCACCUUCCAGCGUUGCAUGCAAUAAUGCCUCCUGCCGCAAAUCGGCAGGAACAUACACGUCUGCAUCGACGAAAUCGUCGUCAAGACCAAGAAGUAUUUCAGUCUCCUUGACGAUUUGUCGGAGACCUUUGCCAACUUGCACGAGUACAAGAUCCAUGUCAAUCCAGAGAAGUGCGUAUUCGGAGUACCAACCGACAAGCUCCUGGGUUUCUUCGUGUCGGCUCGCGGCAUCGAAGCUAACCCCGAGAAGACCAGAACAAUCGAGUGCAUGGCCAAGCCGGCUCAACUCCUCGACGUCUAGAAGUUUGCCGGCUGCCUAGCAUCCCUCAGCCGGUUUGUUAGACGGCUGGGUGAGAAGGCACUACCACUCUAUCAGCUGAUGAAGAAGACAACCAAAUUCGAGUGGAAUGAUCAAGCGGACGAAGCAUUCCGCGACCUCAAGUGCGUGAUCUCCAGCACGCAAAUCUUGGCCACGCCGGCGGAGAGGGAACCCAUCCUCAUCUAAAAUGCGACAACCAUGCGCGUGGUCAGUGUCGUCUUGGUGGUGGAGCGAAAGGAGGAGGGCAAUGUGCUGCUGGUCAGCGCCCUGUCUACCAUCUAAGCGAAGUCUUGUCCGCCUCCAAGCAAAACUACCCCAUUUUCAAAAGAUGUGCUAUGGCGUGUAUUUUGCCACCAAGAAGCUGAAGCAAUACUUCCAGGAGCAUGCCAUCACGGUGGUGAGCACAACUCCACUUUCAGAAAUCAUGGGCAACUGUGAUGCUAUGGGCCAGAUUGCCAAGUGGUCCAUCUCCAUGGCCGACCAUGACAUCCGCUAUGAGCUGUGCACCGCCAUCAAGUCUCAAGUGGUGGCCGACUUCCUCGUCGAUUGGGCCGAGACCCAGUUCCUACCACCGCCUCCUGACUCCACACAUUGGCGGAUACAUUUCGACGACUCCAAGAUGCGAACCGGCCUGGGAGCCGGCAUUGUCCUGACGUCCCCGAAAGGGGCCAACUCAAAUAUGCUCUGUAGAUACACUUCGCCUCCUCCAACAACGUCACCGAGUACGAGGCACUUGCACACGCCCUCUGACUUGCUAGAGAGAUCGUCAUCCAGCGGAUUCUUUGCUUCAGCGACUCUGACCUCGUGGUGCAGCAAGUCUUUCGCGAGUGGGAUGCCAGGGACGCCAACAUGGCCAGCUACCGCUUCCCCAUCCAGCAGCUUAGUGGCCCUUUCGAGGGCUGCGAGUUCCAUCAUGUCCCCCGAGCAGACAAUGAGGCAGCAGAUACAUUGGCACAAAUGGGCUCCACAAGGCAAGCAAUCCCGACCGGCGUCUCCCUCGAACAGCUGCACAAGCCUUCCAUCAAGCCGUCUCGAGCGUCGUCAUCGAUCUUCGUGCCUGCAGACCCGUCCGUCCCAAUGACUUUAGGUACGAAGACGCUUCAUCAACUCCGCCGGCUCGGCCCGUUCUGCCAGCUCCGUCAGCUUUGCUGGCUCCGGUUACCUUGCCGACACCAACUACUCUGCCGGCUAUGCCAAACCUCGAACCCAGUCGGCUCAACACCCAGUGGGUGGCCGUCAUGGAGGUUGAUGGCAUGCCGGCUUCCACGACGACACCAGAGACAGAAGGUCUCGAACCCAGGACCACAAUGACAAACUCGGGGGCCUCAGCGGCCCCUGGCCUUCAGGCCGAGCCAGAAUCGGCUCGUGUGUCAGCUCCCACAUGGGCACACCCCAUCCUGUCUUUCCUCCUUUGCGGUGAGCUCCCUUAAGACAAGGUGGAAGCACGGCAAAUCCAGUGCCGAUCUCUCACUUACGCCAUCAUCAACCGUGAACUGGUUCGACACAGUGUAACAGGCGUACUUCAACGCUGCGUCGAAUCAGAGAAAUGAAAAUAAAUUCUCAAGGACAUACAUCAGGGUGAGUGCGGGCAUCACGCCGCCUCCAGAACCCUGGUGGCCAAGGCGUUCCGCCAUGGAUUCUAUUGGCUCACGACCCUGGAAGAGGCCACCACUCUGGUCGACAAGUGUGAAGGAUGCCAGUGCUUCAACACGCAAAGCCACUUGCCGGCCUCAGCUCUAAAGACCAUUCCCCUCUCAUGUCCCUUUGUCGUCUGGCGUUGGACAUGGUAGGCCCAUUCAAGACCGCUCGAGGCCGCAUGCCGCAUCUCCUGGUAGCCGUUGACAAGUUCACCAAGUGGAUUGAGGCCAGGCCAAUAAAGAAGCUUGACGGUCCCACGACCGUCAGGUUCAUCAAGGACAUCACCGUCCGCUAAGGUGUCCCCCACAGCAUCAUCACCGAUAAUGGCACCAACCUCGCCAAAGGUGCAAUGGCGCUCUUCUAUGCCAAGGAGGGCAUUCGGUUCGACCUUUCGUCGGUUGCCCACCCGCAGUCUAACGGCCAUGGGAAGGGCAAACAACCUGAUCUUGGCCGGCAUCAAGCCAAGACUCGUGGCACCGAUCGUCAGGUCAGCCGUCUGCUGGAUCAAAGAGUUGACGGCUGUGCUGUGGAGCCUCCACACCACACCGAACCGGUCAACUGAUUUCACGCCAUUCUUCCUCGUCUACGGGUCCGAGGCAAUCAUCCCCGCGGAUGUCGAGUUCGACUUGCCUCGCGUCACCCUGUACACGGAGGCAGAUGCAAAAGAGGAAAGAGAAGACGGUGUCAAUCUACUCGAGGAGGCACGGGAGCUGGCCCUGAGCUGGACGGCCAUCUACCAGCAGAAGAUGAGACACUACCACAUCAAAAAGAUCAGGCCUCUCUCUUCCCAUGAGGCGGACCUAGUACUUAGAAGAAUCUAGCAAACAGCCGGCCAACACAAGCUCUCUUCCCCAUGGGAGGGACCCUUGAUCAUCAGCAAGGUGCUGCACAACAAUGCGUACUAUCUAAUAGAUGCUCAGAAGCCGCAGAAGCGCAAAAGAGACGCCUCCGGCGAGGAAACGGAGCAUCCAUAGAACGCGGCACUGCUUCGCCCGUUCUAUUGCUAGAACAAGAGAGAAAAUGUGUACGUAUGUAUCCUUUACCCUUUUGGGGUCUCAACGAAUGCAAUGGGUGUCUCAAGAUAGCACUUGGGGCAUACCUAUUUGAUUUCAUAAAAAGAGUUGUCAUUAGAAGAGUGGGCUUCCCGAUCUGACUCCUCGGGCUCGGGGGCUCGCUAGCCGGCCCAAGCCAACUUCCUAGUCGUAGUUGAACAUAUAGUGCAUGUCGAGCCGAAACCCUUACCACCUUGUGCAAGCUAGAGACCGGCUCCGGACUGUCCGGCUAACAUGAUUGUGGAAUGGAAGGCUGGUUGCACGUAAAAUUUGACUACAAAGAGGUUGUCGGCUCAGGUUGGUCUGAUCGCUUCCGAUCUUCAUUUCUAGCUAGCCUGUGCUAACUCGCUCCAAGUCUAAGUAUCUCCGCGACUUCAAGAAAUUCGAGGAUGGCGCCUUCGUAGGCAGAAGCCCCAUCCUAGUCACAAACCGGCUCCCUGCUGUCGGAUUGGCGGGGUGGAUGCUGGAGGAGGCAAGCUGUUGGAUAGACGGAAGCCAAAGGGGAACGUAAGAUAAAAAAGCGAGUCGGCAAGCACAACCUUCGCAGGCACAAUUCAAGCAAACAAGCAUAUAUUAUAUCAAAAGACAUGUAAAGGCCGACGACCAAAGUUCAUUACAUUACACCCCAAGUGCGUGGAACUGUUGGAUUAACAAAAAAUGCAGAAAAGUAGAAAAAACUUUAUUUGGUGGUGGCUCCACCCUUGGCUCCGACAUCGCCGGCAGCACCGGAGGUCGAGGAGGCUCCACCCAUGGCUCCGACAUUGUUAGCAGCACCUGAGGUCGACGCGGCUCCACCCUUGGCAUUGGCAUCACCAGCGGCACCUGACGUGGAGGCGCCGUCGUCUGCUCGGGUGCCUUUGGCACUGCCCUUUGUGGCGGAGUCAACAUAGGCCUCGCCGCUCAAGUCGGCAUCCUCGAAUGCCGUCUCAUCGGAGCUGCCAUCAGGGUCGGCAAGCUAGCCCAUAAUGACCCUCCGGGAUCAGGCUUCUGUCAGCACUCCGCUCCAGGGAAUACUCAUUCCAUGGGCAAAGGAGGCAAUGCCGCUCGGCCGCACCUGCAGCUCGUCUUCGACGGCGGCUGACACGUGUCCAACGUAUCUAUAAUUUUUGAUGGUUACAUGCUAUUAUCUUGUCAAACUUUGGAUGUUUUGCAUGCCUUUUAUAACUUUUGGGACUAACUUAUUAAUUCAGUGCCAAGUGCCAGUUCCUGUUUUUUCCGUGUUUUUGACCCUUUUCAGAGAAGGAUUUUAAACGGUGUCCAAACGGAAUAAAAUUUUCGAAAAGAUUUUUUCCGGAACAGAAGAUACGCACGGGAUGUGAGAACCAAGGCAGAAGCCACCACGGGAUGCCACAAGCCCCCUAGGCGCGGCCGGGGGGGCCUAGCAGGCUUGUGGGCCCCCUGUGACUCGUCUGCACUACCUCUUCUGCCUAUAAAUUCCUGAAAAAUCCAAAACUGCGGGAGAGAUCCACGAAAAUACUUUUCCGCUGCCGCAAGCUUCUGUCUCCGCAAGAUCCCAUCUGGGGCACGUUCUGGUGCCCUGCCGGAGGGGGGAUUGGAUACGGAGGGCUUCUUCAUCAACACCAUGACCUCUCCGAUGAUGCAUGGGUAGUUUACCAUAGACCUUCGGGUCCAUAGCUAGUAGCUAGAUGCCUUCUUCUCUCUCUUGGAUCUUCAAUACAAAGUUCUCCAUGAUCUUCAUGGAUAUCUAUCCGAUGUAAUCUUCUUUUGCGGUGUAUUUGUCGAGAUCCGAUGAAUUGUGGAUUUAUGAUCAGAUUAUCUAUGAAUCUUAUUUAAAUUUCUUCUGAUCUUUUAUAUGCAUGAUUUCAUAUCCUUGUAAUUCUCUUCGAGUUGUGGGUUUUCUUUGGCCAACUUGAUCUAUGAUUCUUGCAAUGGGAGAAGUGCUUGGUUUUGGGUUCAUACCGUGCGGUGACCUCACCCAGUGACAGAAGGGGUAGUGAGGCACGCAUCAUGUUGUUGCCAUCAAGGGUAAAAAGAUGGGGUUUACAUCAUUGGUUUGAGUUUAUCCCUCUACAUCAUGUCAUCUUGCUUAAGGCGUUACUCUGUUCGUCAUGAACUCAAUACACUAGAUGCAUGCUUGAUAGCAGGGGAUGUGUGGAGUAAUAGUAGUAGAUGCAGACAGUAUCGGUCUACUUGUCUUGGACGUGAUGCCUAUAUGUAUAAUCAUUGCCUUAGAUAUCGUCAUGACUUUGCGCGGUUCUAUCAAUUGCUCGACAGUAAUUUGUUCACCCACCGUAAUAUUUGCUACUUUGGGAGAAGCCUCUAGUGAACACUAUGGCCCCCGGGUCUACUUCACAUCAUAUUUUCAGCCUUUAACUUUUACUUCGUUGUACUUUCCACCUUCAGAUCUCACUUUGCAAUCAAUCUUGAAGGGAUUGACAACCCCUUUAUAGCGUUGGGUGCAAGCUCGUUUGUAUUUGCGCAGGUACUCUGUACACUUGGAUUGAUUCUCCUACUGGAUUGAUACCUUGGUUCUCAAACUGAGGGAAAUACUUACUUCUCCUGUGCUGCAUCACCCUUUCCUCUUCAAGGGAAAACCAACGCAAGCUCAAGAGGCAACAGAAGGAUUUCUGGCGCCGUUGCCGGGGACUUCUGGCCCCGUAGCAGAAGGAUUUCUCGCGCCGUUGCCGGGGAGGAUCAAGUUCUAGGUGAAGCUUAUCCAAGUAAGUGUCGAAAACUCAUCUCUUGCAUUUACUUUUUUGCCUUUCGUUUUCCUCUCCCCCAGUUUUGAAAAACAAAAAAUUACAAAAAUAUUUGCCUUCUUCGUUUGCCUUUUUCGUUCGCCCUUUUAUCUCGCUUGCUUUCUGUUCGCUUGUGUGCUUGUUUGCUUGUCGAAGUCACCAUGACUAAAAACACCAAACUCUAUGACUUCUCGAAUACUAAUAAUAAUGAUUUUAUUAGUACUCCGAUUGCUCCCGCCACUAGUGCGGAAUCAUACGAAAUCAAUGUUGCCUUGCUGAAUCUUGUUAUGAAAGAGCAAUUCUCCGACCUUCCUAGUGAAGAUGCCGCAUCCCAUCUUAAUAUCUUCAUUGAGCUUUGCGAUAUGCAGAAUAAGAAAGAUGUGGAUAAUGAUGUGAUUAAAUUGAAGCUUUUUCCUUUCUCGUUGCGAGAUCGAGCAAAAACUUGGUUUUCAUCUUUGCCCAAAAAUAGUAUUGAUUCUUGGAACAAGUGCAAAGAUGAUUAUAUAUCCAAGUAUUUUCCGUCGGCUAAGAUUAUCUCUCUCCGUAAUGAUAUCUUGAAUUUUAAGCAACUUGAUCAUGAACAUGUUCCACAAUCUUGGGAGAGAAUGAAAUUGAUGAUUAGAAAAUGUCCCGCUCAUGGCUUGAGUCUUUGGAUGAUUAUACAAAUCUUCUACGCUGGUUUGAAUUUCGCUUCUAGAAAUAUCUUGGACUCCGCCUCAGGUGGAACAUUCAAGGAAAUCACAUUAGGAGAAGCCACGAAACUCCUAGACAAUAUCAUGAUAAACUACUCUCAGUGGCACACUGAAAGGUCACCUACUAGUAAAAAAGUACACGCUAUAGAAGAAAUUAACUCGUUGAGUGCUAAGAUGGAUGAUUUAAUGAAUUUUGUUGCUAGUAGAAGUGCUCCUUUAGAUCCUAAUGAUAUGCCCUUGUAUUCCUUGAUUGAGAGUAGCAAUGCGAGCUUGGACGUUAAUUUUGUUGGUAGGAAUAAUUUUGGCAACAACAAUGCUUUUAGAGGAAACUAUGUUCCUACGCCUUUUCCUAGGAACCCCUCUAAUAACUUUGGCAACUCCUACAACAAUACUCAUGGAAAUUACGAUAAAUUACCCUCUGAUCUAGAUAGUAAUAUCAAAAAGUUUAUCAACUCGCAAAAGAUUUUCAAUGCGUCCAUAGAGGAAAAACUACUCAAAAUUGACGAUUUGGCUAGGAGCGUUGAUAGAAUGUCUAGUGAUACUGAUGCUUUGAAAGUUAGAUGUGCUCCUCCCAAGAUCAACAUGGAUGAAACUUUGAAACCCAUGCGUGUUUCCAUGAGUGAGAGCAAAGAAAGAACCGCCCAAAUUCGUGCUAGACAUGAAUGGCUUAAAAAGGCGUGUUCUCGUGAUAAGAAUCACGAAGAUCUUAAAGUGCUUGGUGUGACUCCCAUUGAAUCUUUGUUCUCUCGUGUCAAACCUAAUGAUGAUGGGGCUGGAUAUGAAUCUACUUUGGUUGAAAAACGCCUCAAUGAUUCGGAGUCCAUCUAUCUUGAUGCUAAAAGCAUUGAAAGUGGAGUAGAAGAAAUCAAAACUUUGAGUAGUAAUGAAAGUACUACUUUGGAUUUCAAGGAAUUCAAUUAUGAUAGUUUCUCCUUGAUUGAAUGCAUUUCCUUGAUGCAAUCCAUGCUAAACUCUCCACACGCUUAUAGCCAAAACAAGGCCUUUACCGAUCAUAUCGUUGAAGCUAUGAUAAAAUCUCUUGAAGAGAAACUUGAGUUGGAAGUUUCUAUUCCUAGAAAGCUUCAUGAUGAGUGGGAACCUACUAUCAAAAUCAAAAUCAAAAACUAUGAAUGCAAUGCUUUGUGUGAUUUGGGUGCUAGUGUUUCCGCGAUUCCAAAGUCUUUAUGUUAUGUUCUAGGCUUUAAUGAGAUUGAGGAGUGUUCUCUUAAUUUGCAUCUUACGGAUUCUACUGUCAAGAAACCCAUGGGAAGGAUCAAUGAUGUUCUUAUUAUUGCAAAUAGGAACUAUGUACCCAUGCAUUUCAUUGUGCUUGAUAUUGAUUGCAAUCCUACAUGUCCUAUCAUUCUUGGUAGACCUUUCCUAAGGACUAUUGGUGCUAUCAUCGAUAUGAAGGAAGGGAAUAUUUGAUUUCAAUUUCCUUUAAAUAAGGGCAUGGAGCAUUUUCCUAGAAAGAAAAUAAGAUUGCCUUAUUAAUCAAUGAUGAGGGCUACUUAUGGUUUGAGCACCAAAGACGACGAUACGUGAUUCUAUCGCCUUAUGCCUAGCUAAGGGCGUUAAAAAAUAGCGCUUGUUGGGAGGCAACCAAAUGAAUUUAUUUUUUUCUUUCUGUUUUAUUGCGUCCACACUAUCAUAAUUCUGUUAUGAUAGUUUUUUGUGUUUCUUUUUGUGUUUGAGCCAAGCAAAACCUUUAUGAUUGGUUUGGUGAUGGUUGUUUGAUCCUGCUGGAAAAAGACAGAAACUUUUCGCUCACGAAAUUAUUUUUCGUUUUUAUUCCGAAAGAGAUUUUGAUUUGAUUCCUUUUGCUGCUGGUUUAUAUGCCUUUUUCCCAGGCUGUCGUAAUGUUUCAUAAUUUUUGAGGCACCAGAAGUAUACGAAGUAUAAAGAUUUCUACAGACUGGUCUGUUUUUGACAGAUUUUGUUUUUGUUGUGUUGGUUGCUUGUUUUGAUGAAACUAUGGAUAGUAUCGGGGGUACUAGCCAUGGAAAAGUGAGAAUACAGUAAUCUAACACCAAUAUAAAUAGAAAUCAAGAUUGCUACAGUACCUAAAGUGGUGGUAGUUUGUUUUCUUGUGCUAAUGAUAUCACGAGUUUCUGUUUAAGUUUUGUGUUGUGAAGUUCUCAAGUUUUGGGUGAUGUUCUCAUGGACAAAGGGAUAAAGAGUGGAAAGAGAUCAAGCUUGGGGAUGCCCAAGGCAUCCCAAUCUAAAUUCAAGGACACCAAAAAUCCUAAGCUUGGGUAUGCCCCGGGAAGACAUCCCCUCUUUCGUCUUCAAUCCAUCGGUAACAUUACUUGGAGCUAUAUUUUUAUUCAGCACAUGAUAUGUGUUUUGUUUGGAGCGUCUUGUAUCGUAGGAGUCUUUUCUUUUUGUUGUGUCACAAUCAUCCUUGCUGCACACCUUUUGAGAGAGACAUGCACUCAUCGUGAAUUUGCUAGAAUACUCAUUGUGCUUCACUUAUAUCUUUUGAGCUAGACAAUGUUGCUGUGUGCUUCACUUAGAUCUUUUAGAGCACCGCUGUGCGUAACUUGGUAGUUGGCUUGUGCUAUGAAUGUAGUCCCAAAGGUGAUAGGUAGCCAAAGAGGAGACAAUAACACUUCCAUCUUCAUGUGUGUUGAGUAGAAAGAGAAGUUUGAUUCCUCUCAAUUAGUUUUGAGACGUGGAUUUGGUAAUAUUAAGAGUUAUGUUAGUAGGGUGUUGUGAAUCUAGAAAUACUUGUGUUAAAGUUAGUGAUUCCCGUAACAUGCACAUAUGGUGAACCACUAUGUUAGGAAGUCGGAGCAUAAUUGAUCUAUUGAUUUCCAUUCUUUGUGUUGCCGUCGGGAUCGCGCGAUGGUUAACACCUACUAACCCUUCCUCUAGGAGUAUGCGUUUAGCACUUUGUUUCGAUUACUAAUAAAAACUUUUGCAACAAGUAUGUGAGUUCUUCAUGACUAAUGUGAGUCCAUGGUAUAGAUGCACUUUCACCUUCCACCAUUGCUAGCCUCUCUAGUACCGCGCAGUUUUCGCUGGUGCACAAACCCACCAUAUGCCUUCCUCAAAACAGCCACCAUACCUACCUACUAUGGCAUUUUCAUUGCCAUUCCGAGAUAUAUUGCCAUGCAACUCCCACCGUUCCGUCUCAUGACUUGUGCCGUCACUCUCAUAUUGCCAUUGCAUGAUCAUAAGACAGCUAGCGAGAUGUUUCAACGUCAUACGCCAAGCUAGAUCGUUGAACAUCCCGGUACACUGCCGGAGGCAUUUCCUAUAGAGUCAUCAUCGUUCUAAGCUUUGAGCUGUGAGUAAAUAAAAGUGUGAUGAUCAUCAUUAUUAGAGCAUUGUCCCAUGUGAGGAAAUAAAAAAAUAGAGGCCAAAGUUGCCCACAAAAAAAGAGAUAUGGAAAGAGGCCGAAGAACCCAAACAAAAAAAAGAAAAAGAAAAAAAGAGAGAAAAUUAGAGAAGGGACAAUGCUACUAUCUUUUUCCACACUUGUGCUUCAUAAUAGCACCAUGUUCUUCAUGAUUGAGAGCCUCCUCGUUUUGUCACCACCAUAUACUAGUGGGAAUCUUUAUUAUAUAACUUGGCUUGUAUAUUCCAAUGAUGGGCUUCCUCAAAAUUGCCCUAGGUCUUCGUGAGCAAGCAAGUUGGAUGCACACCCACUAGUUCUCCUUUUGAGCUUUAACAUACUUAUAGCUCUAAGUGCAUCCAUUGCAUGGUAAUCCCUACUCUUUCACAUUGAUAUCUAUUAAUGGGCAUCUCCAUAGCCCUUUGAUACGCCGAGUCGAUGUGACCAUCUCCUCCUUUUUGUCUCACAACCUCCACCACACUCUAUUCCACCAUAGUGCUAUAUCCAUGGCUCAUGCUCAUGUAUUGCAUGAGAGUUGAAAAAGGUUUGAGAACGUAAGAGUGCGAAAACAAUUACUUCGCCAAUACCGGGGUUGUGCAUGAUUUAAAUUAGUUGUGUGGGGAUGAUGGAGCAUAGCCAGACUAUAUGAUUUUGUAGGGAUAACUUUCUUUGGCCUUGUUAUUUCGAAAGUUCAUGAUUACCUUGCUAGUUUACUUGAAGUAUUAUUGUUUUCAUGUCAAUAGCAAAUUAUUGUUUUUAAUCUUAUGUAUAGGAACAUUCAUGUCACAUGAAAGAAGUUACAAAGGACAACUAUGCUAGGUAGCAUUCCACAUCAAAAAUUAAGUCUCUAUCACUUCCCUACUCGAGGACGAGCGGGAGUUAAGCUUGGGAUGCUUGAUACGUCUGUAACGUAUCUAUACUUUUUGAUGGUUCCAUGCUAUUAUCUUGUCAAUCUUUGGAUGUUUUGUAUGCCUUUUAUAUCUUUUUUGGGACUAACUUAUUAACUCAGUGCCAAGUGCCAGUUUCUGUUUUUUUCGUGUUUUUGACCCUUUUCAGAGGAGAAUUUUAAACGGUGUCCAAACGGAAUAAAACUUCUGAUUUUUUUUCCGGAACAGAAGAUACGCACGGGACGUGAGAACCAAGGCAGAAGCCACCAGGGGACGCCACAAGCCCCCUAGGCGCGGCCAGGGGGGCCCGCGCCUAGCAGGCUUGUGGGCCCCGUGUGGCUCGUCCGCCCUACCUCUUCCGCCUAUAAAUUCCUGAAAAAUCCAAAACCGCGGGAGAGAUCCUUGAAAAUACUUUUCCGCCGCCACAAACUUCUGUCUCCGCAAGAUCCCAUCUAGGGAACGUUCUGGUGCCCUGCCGGAGGGGGGAUUCGGAUACGGAGGGCUUCUUAAUCAACACCAUGACCUCUCCGAUGAUGCAUGAGUAGUUUACCAUAGACCUUCGGGUCCAUAGCUAGUAGCUAGAUGGCUUAUUCUCUCUCUUGGAUCUUCAAUACAAAGUUCUCCAUGAUCUUCAUGGAGAUCUAUCCGAUGUAAUCUUAUUUUGUUGUGUGUUUGUCGAGAUCCGAUGAAUUGUGGAUUUAUGAUCAGUUUAUCUAUGAAUCUUAUUUGAGUUUCUUCUCAUCUCUUAUAUGCAUGAUUUCAUAUCCUUGUAAUUCUCUUCGAGUGAUGGGUUUUGUUUGGCCAACUUGAGCUAUGAUUCUUGCAAUGGGAUAAGUGCUUGGUUUUGGGUCCAUACCGUGCGGUGACCUCACCCAGUGACAGAAGGAGUAGCGAGGAACGCAUCGUGUUGUUGCCAUCAAGGGUAAUAAGAUGGGGUUUACAUCAUUGGUUUGAGUUUAUCCCUCUACAUCAUGUUAUCUUGCUUAAGGUGUUACUCUGUUUGUCAUGAACUCAAUACAAUAGAUGCAUGCUGGAUAGCGGUCGAUGUGUGGAGUAAUAGUAGUAGAUGCAGACAGUAUCGGUCUACUUGUCUCGGACGUGAUGCCUAUAUGUAUGAUCAUUGUCUUAGAUAUCGUCAUGACUUUGCGCGGUUCUAUCAAUUGCUCGACAGUAAUUUGUUCACCCACCGUAAUAUUUGCUACUUUGAGAGAAGCCUCUAGUGAACACUAUGGCCCCCGGGUCUACUUCACAUCAUAUUUUCAGCCUUUCACUUUUACUUCGUUGCACUUUCCGCCUUCAGUUCUCACUUUGCAAUCAAUCUUGAAGGGAUUGAUAACCCCUUUAUAGCGUUGGGUGCAAGCUCGUUUGUGUUUGCGCAGGUACUCUGGACACUUGGCUUGAUUAUCCUACUGGAUUGAUACCUUGGUUCUCAAACCGAGGGAAAUACUUACUGCUCGUGUGCUGUAUCACCCUUUCCUCUUCAAGGGGAAACCAAUGCAAGCUCAAGAUGCAGCAGAAGGAUUUCUGGCGCCGUUGCCGGGGACUUAUGGCGCCGUAGCAGCGGCCAACUCCAGUUCCAUGCUGGCGCGCUGCGCCGCGAGCAUGCCCAAGUUUAGGUUGCGAUACCAGGACUUGGCAAGGCGAAGCACCAUAUAUGCCCCAGCUUGUGCAGCUGACGCACACGAGGCGUCCAGCUGGGAAGUUCCUACCUCGAGCCAUCAGGACAGCCGGCUCAUUGACGCUGGCUCCACCGUGUCCGGCCAAAGGGCAUUCACCAUCGCCAACCCGGACUCCUGGAGCGAGGUCAGGGACUGCAACAGCUCCCACAUAUGGGCCCUGGCGGCAAGGGCCACCUCCUCCGCGGUCUAGCCGGCACUAAUAUUCACCAUGGCGCCGGCGGCACGUCGUUCUUUGCGAUGAGCCUCUACAGCCGUGUCCACCGCAUCUCAAUUCCCUAGAAAGAGAUGGUGGGGGGCAAUGGCGGGGUCAUGGCGUAAAGAAGGAGAAAAAAGAAUUCAACAAUAAAAAGACAAGAUGAGGCAGGGACGACUCACGGUUGAGAAGGAUGUCGACUUCGCCCGCCUCCUCCUCAACCUCGCGGUCCUGGACCGCACACUCCUAAGCCUGGCGAGCGAGCUUGUUCCCCAGGGCCUGUGUCGCCUUAACUUCCUUCGCCAGUUGAGCUUUCAUGUCCUUCAUGGCGGCGUCCUGCUGCGCCUUUUCGUCAAGGCGCAGCUUCUCCAAACGUUCAAGCUCGAUGGCUUGGGAGGCAUCCUUCCGCAACAUGUUGUCGUUGUGUCCGACGCGCAGCCGCUCCAGCUCCGUUUGAUGGGCCGCCUCGUGGUCCUUCUUCUCCAUCUGGAGAAGCUCUACUUCCUGACGUAGCCGGCCGCCCUCACCGCGCAAGGCGUCGCGCUCCGUGACGGCUCGGUCGAGCCGGCCUUGAAGGUCGCCUGUUUGUUCUAUGUAAUGAUCAUUGGCAUGAAUAAACAUUGCAUAACUAUGCGCUUUUAUACCAAUUUACCAACAAUAAUUUGUUUACCACCGUAUGCUUUUCUACCAAUUUAACAACAGUAAUAUGUUCACCCACCGUAUGUUUCCUACGGGAGACAAGCCUCUAGCGAAAACUAUCGCCCCGGGGUCUAUUCACAAAUAUAUUUACAAAAAUACUAAAUACUUCUUUGAAUUUUAUUAUUUGUAUUUAUUUUUUAUAUUUAAUAUAUUUUAGCUAUCUAUAUAUCACUACUUACCGUUUGCAAGUAACUAGUUCAAGGCGAUUGACAACCCUCUUGCUCGCGUUGGGUGCAAUUGUUUGCUAUUUUGUGUGUAGGCGCUGAACACAGGAAAAUGUGUCGUUCUUCUAUUGGUUUAAUAACCUUGGUUCUCACUGAGGAAAUACUUAUCUAUUCUCUGCUUCAUCAACUCCUCUUUGGGGAUAAAUCCAACGCAGAUCACAAUUAUCACGCGUGCGUUCCCACCCAACAUCGGCGGCCCACAUUCAUACCGAUGUAGAGCGGUCGCUCCGCAUUGAAGCCAUCCCGGAGCGGAUGUGGCAUCUCACUAGCACCGACGUUGAAGCGGUGCAUCGACCGACAGUGCCGCCCAUUGCACACCCGUGUGAGCAUGCCUCUUCGCUGCACUCAAACGCCUCUAUUAAACCCGCAUGUGUGCCAAGAAACCUAUUAUAGUAACAUGUCCAUUUGCGAGAUAGUCGGCCUUAAACACAACACCGGGAAAGCUCCCUGCGCCCGCCUGCUAUAUAAAGGAGGCCAGACGCUGGUAAAGGAUCGCACCACUCCUCCACUCCACAUCUCCCCCUUCCACCAUUUUCCCCCCCUUUCCAUGGCAUCCGACGAGUAGGAAGAGCAGUUGUCCAGUAUAAAAGUUGGUUGGGUGGCUCGCUGAGCCCUCUAGAUACGAACUAGGCAACUUGCUGCUCCUCCUCCCUCGCCGAGCUCGACAAAGAAAGUGGCCGCACCAAGCCGGCGCCUAGUUCAACAACUCUCUAUUCCAAGCCAGCUCACAGAGGAGUAGAGAGUUGCUCCAGACCGGCAUGGUGGAACUGACAUCAUGGCUGCCAUGGACGAGGCCAGGCGCCAAGCCAUCCAGCGUCGACUUUCGCGGAACCGCGUCGUGCUUGUGGACAAAGAAACUAGCUUGGAGAUUGACAAGGCUGCGGGGUUCGUGGGAGUUACCCGCAACUCUCAUACCAGUCGUGCAUGGCAAAAUUUUAGUCAUCGACUUGACUCAUUCCCGUAACCCACGGUGCCGCGCGGCGCAACGCGGCGCGGCGUGGCGAGGAGAGGCGGGCGACGGAGGAGCGCGCGUGUAUGUCUCUCUUGUUCUCAUGCUCAUACAUGUGUGAAACAUCAUCCCUUAUAAGGAGGUCCAACUCCUACCAAACUAGCAACGUGGGACUAAACUUUAGUUCCACCUCUUUCCUUGCACGAAUGGGAUAAGUGGGCCUCUAGGAUUUAUUGGAAAUUCUGAAGAAGAUCAUUGGGCUAGCCCAAAAUUAUUAAAUUCCAGCAAUCCCCCACCAGAUCCUAGAGGCACAAAAAAAUUGCCUUUGGUUCCAAAACACUGUUUAUAUACCGGUACUGCACAGGAGACUAUUAAGUUUAACUUCCACCUAGAACUAUAUGUUAUACUAGUAAGCAACUUGAAUAGUGGACUAUGCCUUGAACUGCAAGUUUUCUGUGAAUCUAGUUUCACAUAGAGCCUUGACUGAUACUAGGCUACCGUUGGUGGAGCUUAUGCGUCAUACUCCGAGGACUUUCAUAAGUUUACUAGAGAGCACCCUACUCUCAUAGAUUGCGAUGUUAACAAUCAGACUCAUGUAGGUGUGUUCUUCAAAAGAGUUCUGUAGGACAACAUCUCUGCUUCAACAAGACAUUUAGAACAUAUAAAGAUAUAUAUCAACCUUCCAUGCAUAUUAGGAAAGUAUUGCAUCUUCAUGGAGUGGUAUUAUCAAUGGUAAGGAUACUUUCCUCUCACUUGACCAACAACUUGUCUUCCACAUCUAAUUCACGGGAUCUCCGGUCACAUUGAAUAGUUUAGCACCGUGAACAACUCAUAUUGUGGGUCUCAUACCCAUCCCCUUCGAUGCAUUAUAUAUCACAUUACAAGAUAGACCCUUAGUAAAAGGAUAUGCCAAAUUUUUAGAUGUUUGGAUAUAAUCCAAUGAAAUAACUCCGGAGUUUCUCAUUUUCCUCACAGAGUUUAACCUUCACUGAACAUGUCUUGAUGACUUCAUGUUAUCCUAUGAACUACUCACUUUUGCACUUACAGUUUGAUUGUUGUGGUUCAUAAGAACACCUGGUGCAGGUUUCUCAACAAACUAUAAGUCAUUCAAGAGCCGACGAAGCCAAUCUUCUUCGCCAUAGCUGUAUCUAGUGUUGUGAGUUCUGCUUCCAUUGUUGACCUCGUUAAGAUUGUUUGCUUGCAAGACUUCCAAGAAACAGCGCCACCACCAUGAGUAAAUACAUAUCCGCUCGUGGCCUUUAUCUCAUCAGCAUGAGAGAUCCAGUUUGAGUCACUAUACCCUUCAAGUACCUUUGGGUACCGAGUGUAUUGAAUUCCAUAACUCGUAGUGCCCUUCAAAUAGCGCAUAACUCUUUCUAGAGCUUUCCAAUGAUCAUCUCCUGGUUUUGAGACAAACCGGCUCAGCUUGCUAGCAGCAAAAGAGAUGUCACGUCUCGUAGCGCUUGCUAAAUACAUGAGCGAGCCAAUUAUUUGGGAUUAUUUCAAUUGAUCUCUAGCAAUUAUUCGAUUCUUUCGAAGCAACACGCUAGCAUCAUAAGGUGUUGGAGAAGGCUUGCAGUUAGUAUAACCAAAGUGACUCAAGAGAUUUUCCACAUAGUGAGAAUGAAGCAAAGUAAUCGCACCGUCAUCACUUCUCAGCAGCUUGAUAUUCAGAAUAACAUUAGCUAAUCCUAAAUCCUUUAUCUCGAAACAACGAGAUAGGAAAUCCUUGACUUCCUUAAUAACAUUCAUAUUUGUUCCGAAAAUCAAUAUGUCUUCAACAUAUAAGCAGAGGAUAACUCCCUCGCCCCCACCAUGGCGAUAGUACACACAUUUGUCAGCUUCGUUUACAACAAAGCCUACACCUAUUAAAGUUCUUUCAAACUUCUCAUGCCACUUCUUAGGUGCUUGCUUAAGUCCAUACAAUGACUUCAAAAAUUUGCACACUUUUCCCUCAUGACCGUCCAUUAUAAAUCCAUAUGGUUGUUCCAUAUAAAUUUCCUCGUCCAACUCUCCAUUUAGGGAAGCAGUCUUAACUUCCAUUUGGUGGACGAGAAUACCAUGUGAAGCUCCUAGUGAAAGAAGUACUAGAAUAGUGGUCAGUCGAGCCAUAGGUGAGUAAGUGUCAAAGAAGUCUUCACCUUCCUUUUGGGUAUAACCUUUGGCCACGAGUCAUGCCUUGUACUUCUCAAUAGUACUAUCAGGCCUAAGAUUCUUCUUGAAUACCCAUUUGCAGCCUAUAGGUUUGCACACAUAGGGACAAUCAGUUAUCUCACAAGUUUCAUUUGCGAGGAUGGAAUCCAUCUCACUACAAACCGCUUCCUUCUAGUAGUCAGCAUCUUCAGAUACAUAAGCCUCUGAAAUAGAACUGGGAGUGUCUUUUAUGAGAUAUACAAGAAAAUCAUCACCAAAGGACUUUGUAGUCCUUUGACUCUUGCUCCUUUUAGGAUUCUCCUUGUUGUUCUCCACAGGAUCUUCAAGAUGUUGUGUUGCAAUAGUCGGUUCAGAAGGUGCACCUACAUCUUGACUCGAUAAGCUAGGCAUCUCCUGAUUUGAUGCGCUAGCCAUAUCCUUAAUGGGAAAUAUAUCUUCAAAGAAGGUCACAUCAUUCCACUCCAUGAUUGUGCCAACAUGCAUGUCAGAUACCUCAUAUUUUAUAAUCAAGAAUCUACAACCAAUGCUAUGAAAAUAUACCCCAGGAAAACAUAAUCCACAGUUUUUGGCCCAAGCUUUCGCUUCUUUGGAAUUGGUAUAUUGACUUUUGCCAAGCAGCCCGAAGUUCAUAGGUAAGAGAGUUUUAACCUUUUCUUCUCCCAUUCCUCAAAUGGAGUUAUCUCUUUGUUCUUUGUGGGAACUCGGUUUAGGACAUGACAUGCAGUCAAAAUCGCAUCCCCCACCAUGCCUUGGAGAGACCUGAUAUGACUAAAAUGGCGUUAACAAAAUCAGUUGGAGUGUGGUUCUUCAUUUCAGCUACCCCAUCUGACUGAGGUGAAUAGGGAGGCGUUCUCUCAUGGAUUAUACCAUGUUCGGCACAAAAAGAAUCAAAUUCAUUGAAAAAAUACUCUCCACCAUGAUCAGACCUAAGCCUCUUAAUUUUCUGAUCAAGUUUGUUUUCCACUUUAGCUUUAUAGAUCUUGAAGAAAUUCAAAGCCUCAUCUUUAGAUUUUAAAAGAUACAGAUGGUACCAUCUAGUGGAGUCAUCGAUUAAUGUCAUAAAAUAUGACUUUCCACCUUUCGUCAAAAACACUGUUCAUUUCACAAAGAUCUGAAUGUAUGAGUUGUAGUGGCGCAAGAUUUCUUGUUUCUGCAGUUGCAUGAGACUUACGAGGUUGCUUAGCUUGCACACAAACUUGACCCUUAGAUCCCUUGAUAGAAGUGAAGUUCAGGAUCAAGUUCAACUUGACUAGCCGCGUCAUAGAACCAAAAUUAACAUGACAAAGACGUGAAUGAAAGACAUUUGAUUCUCUAUUAUUGCAAACGUGAUUAAACCCUUUAUUACAAAACAUCUAAUAAAGAUAGUCUGAACAAGCCUCCUGACUCAUAACCUUUACCAAGAAAAGUUCCAUACUUGGAUAUAAAAUUUAUUGGACUGAAAGACAAACUUGUAGCCAUCUCAACAUAGAGGAGAUCCACUAACAAGAUUUUUAUUAUCGGAGGGUACAUAAUGCAUGUUCUUCAGCCGCAUUAUUUUUCCUGAAGUAAACUUCAGAUCGACCGUGCCAACACCACGAACAUAAGCACUUGAACCGUUUCCCGCCAGGAUGGAGGUAGUCCCUGCGGCCUGAUAUGAAGAAAACAUAGAAAUAUCACCGCAUAUAUGCACAUUAACACCCGUAUCAAUCAACCAAUCAGGAGAACGACAUAGUGAGAGAAUAGUGGGAAGUAUACCAUACCCAACAUCCUGCAUCUCAGCAUCACCAAUGAUAACAUUAGCAAUCUUGUCGCCUUUCCCAUGUUGACGCUUUUCAUAACGGUUAGGGCAACUAGGUGCCCAAUGAUGAGGAUCUCCGCAAACAUGACAAACACCUUUCUUUUUGUCAGUCUUCUUCUUGAGUGUGCUGUGAAGCCUUGUUCUUCCCAUCAAACUUUCCCUUACCAUCAAAUUUGCCCUUGUUAUUGAACUUGUGGGGUUGGAAGUUUUUCUUCUGCACCAGAUUGGCACUAGAACCUCCUUCCAUACCUCAAGCAUGUAUGUCUUGCCUUUUCUUCCACAUCAAGAUUACCAAUGAGAUCCGGAACGGAAAACUCCUUCCUCUUAUGAGUGGGAGAGGUAGCAAAGUUCCUCCAUGAAGGAGGAAGCUUAGUAAUAAUACCUCCGGCAACAAACUUCACCGGUAACAUACAAUUGAAGUUCUCAAGUUCUCCAGCAAAUGAUUGUAUCUCGUGAGCUUGUUCAACCACAGAACGCUCAUCAGUCAUCUUUAUUCAUAGAAUUGUUCCAUGAUAUACAGCUUAGUGCCAGCAUUCGAGACUCCAAACUUGGCCUCGAGCACGCUCCACAUAUCUUUCCAUUGUCAAUUGACGCAUAAGCAUCAACAAUGUUCUCACCAAGAAUACUCAAGAGAGCAUCCUUAAACAAGGUAUCAAUUUUCUGAAAAGCGAAUUCCUGUUGAGGAUCAAGAAUUCCUUCAGGUUUGCCAAGAGUGGCAUCGUAGCAGCUCAUGGUUUGAAACCAUAGAACAUCCCUUACACACCAUCUCUUAUAGUGCACACCCUCGAACAUAGGAGGCCUCAUGGAAGCAGCAAAACCACUCGGGGUAAAUUUCCUAAAAUAAGGUCUUCGGAUUGUUGGAAAUAUGAGCGAUUUACCAAGUGAUUUUACUAGCAGAAAUAGUAGAUGAAUCAUGACUACCAUAGCAAUUAUAAGACAAGCCAGUCGAUUAUACACAGAGUAUGCAAGUAGCAUAUGAAGUGAUGAGCAGGAACGAAACAUAUCUAGAAAAGAAACUAUAACAAGAAGUUGUGGCAGGAACUCAAACAAGAAGAACACGAGAACAUACUGAGUUGGAGCAGCAGCUAUAGUGGGAUUUGCGUUGACGUCGUCAUUGGCCAUGUUGCCGAAGAGGCUGUCGAUGUCGGGGAAGAAGUCGUCAUCCGGGAAGUAGUCGUCAGCGUUCGUGAUGGAAAAGCCAGUAGUCGCAUUGAGCGCUCCCCAAAAACCUUAUCGCCCUUCUCCAGUACAUGACUCAAAGAGACGGGGUUUCGGAGGCCUACUGUUCCGACCUGCGGUGCACGUCGCAAGCCGGGGCGGGGAAAAGCUAGCAGUAGCUCAGAGAUUGGAACUCGUUGGCAUGAGGAAGAUGGUAUUCUCGUGUGUCUCUCUGGAGAGGAGCGACCUGUCUUUUAUAGGCCCAUGAGAAGGAGGCAGGCACGCAACAUCGGGAGGCGAAGCAAAAGAGAUUGCAGUCAGGUUGAUAAUAGUCGAGUGACAUUACUUCGUCGGUCCAAACUAAGGAAUCUGUUAUAAAUGUUUUGAAAUAGAUAUUGUUCUCUCUUUGAUCAGGGAUUGCUAUAUGAAAAUAAGUGGAGUUUGAAAAAGGGAACGAAAUGCUCAAACCGGAACUGCUAGAGGAACGAAUUUUCAAUAGCAUAACUUGGGCUCCUAGAAUAUGGUGCCCUUGAGACAAUCUAUUUGAUUGCAGGGUUUUGUUCUGAAGCAAAGAUAUCCGCAGAGGACGGUUCGUUCGUCCUAUUCUGAUAUUCAGGACCAAGAGGUACUGCAUUCUCUGGCUGAAAUGCCAACGGAACUCUGUCUAUUCUCUAAUUCACCCGAUCCGAUAGUACCUGUUUUUGGAACGUCCAGUGCCAAAGUCAUUGAAUGGGUAAGUCACGAAUCCAAUCCCUUUGACAAAUCGGAUGUCAUAUUAUAUAUCAUAUCCUAUAUAUAUAUAUAGAAAUAUCAUAGAUACCCCGUUUCGUGACGAGGCGAGACGGGCGGCGGAGGAGGAGGAGCGUGCGUGUAUGUCUCUCUUGUUCUCAUGCUCAUACAUGUGUGGAAACAUCCUUUCUUAUAAGGAGGUCCAACUCCUACCAAACUAGCAAUGUGGGACUAAACUUUAGUCCCUCCUCUUGCCUUGCACGAGUGGGCUAAGUGGGCCUCUAGGAUUUAUUAGAAAUUCUGAAAAAGGUCAUUGGGCUGGCCCAAAAUUAUAAAAUUCUAGCACAUAAUUGGGGGGGGGGGUAUACCUCUGGGGCUCCCGAUAGUCCGAUGAGCAGGCUGCCGGACAUGAGGCAGACAAAGGGAUCCGCAGCGCUCGGCCAUAGAUUAGUGUAGGGUAUCCAUGUCGUUAGAAUGGAGCUCCACGCGACCAGACGUGCACAUAGUUUUACCUAUUUUAGUUCAAAUAUGUCCAAAAUGCAAUGAAUUUAGUCCGGUUUAUAUGAAAUCCGUUGUGUUUGCAUGAGUUUCAUCUGCUUUGUUGGAAAAGUGUUUGAAAUAUACUUCCUCCGUUCCAAAAUAUAAGACCUUUUAGGAAUUUCACUAUAAGACUACACACGGAGCAAAAUGAGUGAAUCUAUACUCUAAAAUAUGUCUAUGUACAUCCGUAUGUAGUUUAUAGUGCAAUCUCUAAAAGGUCUUAUAUUUAGGAACGGAGGGAGUAUGUGAGUAACGAUGGAUGACCGACAACACUCGAGAAUAUCAUUUUUGGUGGUGCUCCUCAGGUGCCGAGUCAUCACUUUCAAGGUGAAAACCUAAGGUCUAACUUUCGUUUUGUGCCUUAUAUUAGAGUAUUUAACCAAAAACCACCAUAAUUCAUGGAAACGUGCCUAGAAACUACUACUAUACGUUUUUGUGCCGAAAGCUACCAUUUUUAUCCUAAUCAGUGGCAAAAAACUACCAAGUGUGAAUAUUGCUCCAUUAGCCUCUUUGAAAUGCCUUUUAUCCUAAUCCGUUAACUACUCCAUUAACCUACCUGGCGCAGCCCCGCCGCCGUCGCCAUGGCCUCGCCCAAAGCGGCGGCCGCCCCGUGCCUCGCCGUCGGCAGGCCUCCUUGUCGCCGACCACGUCGCCGUCGGAUCCCGGCGUCCUGCGAACCGCCCCACGCUGCCAGUCUCCAUGCCCUCGCACCGAGCGGCGGCCGCCCCGCGCCUCGCGGCCGAAGGCCUCCCGUCGUGGACCCUGCCGUGGUUGGAUCCCACCGCCUCGCCUCCCUGGCGCAGCCUCGUUGCCCCGUGAACCGCCCCGCGCCGUCCAUCGCCAUGGCCUCGCCUCGAGCGGUCGUCGCCAGCGUCUCGCCGUCACCAGAUCCGGCAGGCGUCGCCCUGGUUCCGCCUCUCCCGGACCUCCCCGCCGCCCUGCUCAUGCCGGAGUGCUGCGUGUAGAUCGCGUCGUCUCCUCCAGAUCCGGUCGCACCGCCGCCGUACUUCAUCUUCUCCACCUCCGGUGAAGGCCGCCGCCGUCUCGAUCUCUUUCUCCGGUGACGGCAAACUUAACGGUGCUGACUUUUCCGUCCUGACAUGUGGGCCAACCCUGUCAUAAUGAGUUUAAACGAGCCAAAUGAGGCGUUUUGCAGACUUGAUUGUUUUUAGUCACAGAUUAGCAAAAAAAAAUUGAUAGUUUUUGGCGCAAAAACGAAUUGUGAUAGUUCCUGGGCACGUUGGCGUGAAUUGUAGUAGUUUUUGAUUAAAUACUCCUCAUAUUACCUUGAUGAAGGUAUUGUUUCGAGAGCUCGGUCUUUUUAAGGGAGAAAACCUAAGAUCUUGGAUCGGACGACGAUGACGCUUGUGCACCGAUUUUUUUUUAAAGGCAUCAUUUUUUAGGAUGGUUUGAGUGUCGCUGCUGCUGAGAAGAGUUGUUCACUGUGACGAGUAGUUGAAAAUGCUCUUACUAUUACAUUUUUCUUUCAAACACGUUACAGUUUACUCCCACCUCAAGUAGUUCCGAGCUACUGUACGUAGUAGCCACACACAUGGAGCGACUCACUCACCUCCAACCAAUUUAACUUUCGUGAAUCUUUGAUCGCUUUUCAUUUGGCCCAGCUCGACGUCACGCGGAUGUCCCCGAUGGAUCUCGCCGGCCACACGCCCCUCGACGACGACGAGAUGAGCAGCGUGUGAUCCUCGUCGCCCCGUCCAUCCAACCGAAGAUAAGACGCCCACUCCCUCCCCUCCACAUGGCACCCACCCUCCAAUCCCUUACUUAUUCCCGCCCCCCUCACUCCUCCAUCCCCUAGCUCCACCUCUCAUCCGCUCCUCAGCCACACCUAGAGCAUCUUAGCUCCAGCUAGCCACCAAUGGCCGCCGCACUGAGCCUCCGCGCGCCCUUCUCCGUGCGCGCUGUGGCGCCACCGGCGCCCCGCGUGGCCCUUGCGCCCGCGGCCCUCAGCCUCGCCGCCGCCAAGCAGGUGCGGGGAGCCAGGCUCCGCGCGCAGGCGACGUACAAGGUGAAGCUGGUGACGCCCGAGGGCGAGGUGGAGCUGGAGGUCCCCGACGACGUCUACAUCCUGGACCAGGCCGAGGAGGAGGGCAUCGACCUGCCCUACUCCUGCCGCGCCGGCUCCUGCUCCUCCUGCGCCGGCAAGUUGGUGUCCGGCGAGAUCGACCAGUCCGACCAGAGCUUCCUCGACGACGACCAGAUGGAGGCAGGGUGGGUGCUCACCUGCCACGCCUACCCCAAGUCCGACAUCGUCAUCGAGACCCACAAGGAGGAGGAGCUCACCGCAUAAGCUGCUUACCCUGCCUCUCUUUGCAACAAGAUCGAGCUGAUAUCAUAUUAUCUCCCAUCAUGCAUGCAUGCAUGGAUAUCGCCAGAUACACCGAUUUGUUUGUGCUCGAAUGAAUUGCUCGAUGCAUGGUUUGCUCCAGUAAUAAUGUCUUCGAAUUACUACCUUUUUGUACCGUAAGAUAUACUACUGUCGUAAUACUAGCGUGUACUUAAUUCAACGUACUGAAAUGAAUCCUGAUGGCUGAGGUGUCUCUCUGAUUAAUAAUAUCUUCUUUUUUACUUAAGAUAAGAGACUGCUGAAUGUUGGUUGCUAACGGUGGUGGUUGAUGUUGAAGUUUUGUUGCUGCAAGUUGAUUGCUUCGCCGCGUUAUGCCUUGCCUUGUUUCUCAUUUAUGUAUUUUUGAUGAUGCAUCGUCGCACUAGGUAGCUCUUGAAUUGUGUUUGGGGGCACCUUGAAAUUAAUAAACAGUAAGGUAGGUCACAAUGUCUUCAACCCCCUUUCUAGAAACCACUCUAACAUCAAAUAGAAUAUUACUCUAUUGAUUAGUACAGAGAUGCUAUAUACACUUUGUCACAGUUUGUACAGAGAUUGUAGGUGAAUGCAAUUGAAUUAAACCAUAUGUGACAUGCACCGUGAAGUCGAAACCUUGCAACAUAGUGUCAGAAAUAACAAAUCGAUGUCUUACUUCAUUAGAUGUGGAACCAUCUACCCUCGUUGUUGAUCAUCAUAAUGGUUUUAUAAACCCCCAACAUGUUGUGUUUUAAAACGAUUGUACCAUGUUCUUGUUUCGACUGCCGGGGGGAGGGCUCGUGAUGACCUACUCUUUCUCAAGUUAUCAUGUUAGUCACUUGGAUGACUUAGGCCCUGUUUGGAACUAUAAUACUCCCUCCGUUCCAUAAUAUAAGUCUUUUUAAAGAUUCCACUAAAAAACUACAUACAGAUGUAUAUAAACAUACUUUAGAGUGUAGAUUCACACAUUUUGCUCCGUAUGUAGUCCACUAGUGAAAUCGCUUAAAAGACUUAUAUUUAGGAACGGAGGGAGUAGAUUAUAAUAAUCUAGAUUAUGAAGAUAGAUUAUAUAAUCUGGUUUAUAAAAAUAAUCUAGAUGGACAUGUUUGGAGGCCGGAUUAUAUAAACUGUAAUCCAGAUUUUACAUUGCAUAAUGACCUGUCUGCCCUCUGUUUAAAAAAAAAAAAGGGUGGCGGUGGUAGGAAUGUAAUUAUCUCCAACUUUACAAGGGUAAUAGAUCAUUAGCAAUCCAUAAUCUGAUUUUAGCUGGUAUAGACUAGAUUAUGAGUUUUUAAUAAUAUAUCCAUCUAGUUUUUAUAAUCUACACCAUAAGCUGUCCUGUUUGAAGACAAAAUAGAUUAUAGAAACUGGAUUAUAUAAUCUGGAUGGUUCCAAACAGGGCCUUAGAUGGAGAUAAUGCACACCAUUGAAAAAAUUAUACUUAUAGAUAGGGUCACUUUAGUGGCUGGAAUAGUCUCGGACCUGUCACUCGUACUUCGGUCCAACAACGUACAUGCCAUUGCAAUUUACUGAGCAGGGAUUGCCGCCCGCCACUGAUUUUCUAGUCCCACAUUGGCCAUGGGGAAACCUUUUCAGUGGCGGGCGGUCGGGUACAACCUACCACUGGCAGUGAAGUUGUCACUGGCAGGCACCGGUUUCCUCCAACCAUUAGUGCACCACAUAUGUAAUUUUCUAAUUUCCUGCAUUUGUUUUUACAUUUUAGUGUGGUAUUCUUUUGUGACUUUGUUACUGUAUGAGAAUUGUUUGACCUUUGUAGUAUCUUUAUUUGCUAUAUUUUAGACAUUUUAUUAAUAAAGUUGUAUUUAAUUGAAUAUAAUUAUAUUUUUUGAACUACAACUAUAUAUUUUAAAUUACUUUCAAAGGUUCGAAGACAAAUAUUUAUGUCUCGUGAAACAAUAGUAUUGUUUCACCAAUAUUUGAGCAGUUUUUCAGCAUAUGUAGUUCAUAUUUAAUUUAUGUCCAUUAGAUAAACUAAAAAUGCAUUUAAUGCCCCAAAUAUAUCAUAUAAACCUAGAAACGCAUUUAAUGCCCCAAAUAUAUCAUAGAAAACUAGAAUAGUCCUGAAUUUGACCAAGGAACUUGUAAUGGUGUAUACCAAAAAUAAAAAAAGUUUCUGUUAAAAAAUGAUGAAAAAAUUGUGUUCCCAUUCAAACCCAACAUUUUCCCUUAGAAACGUUGAUACUUCCGUGGAGACUGUUAUUUCUACGUGAAGUGCAUCGGAUUUUUUCUGUGAGUCUCUAAUUUUGUUACCACACCUUCGGUUUCAUAUCAUGACACCAUGCAAAGUUCCAUCAUUUUCAAACUGAAUUUACAUCUAUGUAUAAAAAAAAUCAAUACUCUUAAUAGCUAGAAAUUGAUCUGAUGCUUAAAAAUAGCAAAUCAACCCAAAAGGUGAUAAAGUCUAUCAUGAGUCUUUAUGAAGUAAAUUCAACCCCACAAAAGGUGGAAAUUAAAUUCUACCCCUAAAGCAGUAAAGCAAACAUAUUGCAAAAAAUGCAAAAAAGUAGCGUGCGACCAUAAACACCCUCCAUUGAUUGAUUUUGGUCACAUUCCCGCGAGUGAGUGGGACAUGCCCGCACCUUCAACCUGCAAAUGUGGUUGCCUUAUCCCCCAUUGUCGACCUCUCCCAUCCGACUCUACCCAAUCCCUAGCUUGCAAUCACCAUUGCUGCACCCGUCGUUGUCGCCGGCGAGGGAAUCAUCGUCUUUUUCAUGGGUUGUCAUUGUUGCAACAACCCCGGUCAGCGUGGCCGAAAUGCCCACCCCAUGGCCUCCUCCACCAGCAAUGGUGGCCUAACCCGCUGCCACUAGCCUCCUCUUCCUCCAAGCCCGAUGCCUUUAACUCUCCCCAUGUCUCCUUGCGCGUCGGUGGCCCCAAUCUCCUGGUUGUAUUUUGCAAUUGCAAAGGACAUUGUAUUCGUUGUGAGAUACUUAAAUCUGUUGAAAGGAUAUCGAAUUCUAUAAGCAACAUGCUUCUUGCUUGUGGAAUGUGCAGGCUAUUCUUUCAUGGAAAAUUUGGUCUUAGGAUACUUGGGGAUAGGAAAUAGAGAAUUAAUCAAGGUAGAUUGUUGUUAAUCCAUUUUGCUUCAUAUCCUUCUAUUGAUGUAUGAUUAGCUCGUUCUUUCUAGACUACGCCAUAUACAUCAUUUCUUUAGCAAAUUUAUUUACUCCUGCUUGCAUAACUAUGUCGUAUGCAUCAUUAUGCUUAGCUCCUGCUUGCAAGAUUACUUGAGGAUAAUAGGAAGCAAUUAUGGUUUCAGAAUAAACCAAUCAGAAUAAGAAACACAUCCUCUAUACUCACAUCAUCUUUUAUACCUCAAUGCUUGUAGGUGUAGUGUUUUUUGCCCCAUGCAAAUUUGUGUUACGUCAUCUUUUAGAUACAAAUCAUGGUACCCUUGUUCCUGUCUUGACAUCAUGGUCAUGUUUUAAAAAAAGCAUUUUCUUAUUUAUGUUACACCCCACAUGUAUGUAUACAUAUAUUUCUUUUUUAUGUCUCUUUGAAGGUUGUUAGUGCCACAUGUAGGUGGGGUUGUAUUUUUUUAUUGGUGAAAGUUGUUGGUUCUACAUGUUGUGUCACCUUAUAUAAGGUGUAUUACACUUUAAAUAGUAAUGUGCAUAUCUCCAAAAUUUGUAGGGCUUCAAAAUGAGUGCCAAAAUUCUGGCGAAAUGUUGAUUUAUUUCCAUUUCACCACAUUUUGAGCACUCAAUAUUUUCAAUUUUUUUAGCAAAACUAUGCCCAACUUUUCCAAUGAUUCAUAAUUGUUUACCCUUAUUAUUUUAUAGAUGUACUGGCUAUACUAUAGUGUAUAAAUGAUGCGACGAACUAUGUGUUUUCUAUUUAAUUUCUCAACAUGAAUGUAUGCAAUCAACCAUGUAUACCCAUGAUGUGGUAACAUCAACGUAGGUGUGUGCCACAGGUGCUUAUCAACUCUAAGGAAUUCUACGUAGAUCUUGACGAGAACUUUCCACAGAGGAUUGUACGUUUUAAUUCAACAUGUGUUGUGGAUGCUGAAUUGCUCACAUAUAUAAAAUUACCCAAAAAAUGUCUAUUUUUCAUAUUUCUCCAUGCAUCCCUUGUUAUGCAAGGCUCACUUCCUACAUAAAGUGAACGUGCCAUAGAGGAGAAGGUUACAUUUGAGCUCAAGAUGAUCAUGUUAAAAAAUGGCACAACCUUCAACCUUACGGUCACCAACGAGGCACACGGAACCUUUCAGUUGCCCAUGUUGAAGAGGGAUUGCAACCGAAUAAAUGAUGCAAAAUGCGAAGGCAUUCUUGUUUUUUUAGCGAAGGCGUUCUUUGUCGUUUCUUGGCGAACAAGAUGAUGAUGACAACAUCUAUAUGUGGUUCACACCGCCCCCACCACCAUAGUUGUUCUUGGUGGAAGGAUUCGGAGUUCAUAGGCAUAGUUUUAUCAUGCACUUCAUUUAAUGCAUAUGUUAUAUCUUUUUAUAAUCAUCCAAAUUUAUUCCUCAAAUAACGGCUAUAUCAUUUAAAAUUAAAAGAGAAAUAGAGUUUAGGGGACUAGAAUCCCAAAUAGAAGAGGGUCUAUAGGUAAAACUAGUCUUUGCUAGAGAAUCUGCUAUUUUGCUUCCCAAAGCAAUGGGCAAAAGAUGUGCCAGCAAAGUCCAUCACCAGAAAAUAGCAUUCCACGAUAGUGGCUGCAUCUGGCUCGAAAUUAUUCGUAUGCCAGUUCACAACCUCCACAACUAGGAUACCCAUGAUGUUUCGAUAAUCACAUUAGGUUUCCAUCACAUUAUUGCACACAAUGUUUCCAGCCAAACGAGCCCUUUGCGAAUGGCACUUAACUCUAUCAAAUCGGCACUACUGACAUGAGGCAAAUACCAUGUAACAGUGAAUGACACUUAACUCUAUCAAAUCGGCACUACUAACAUUAGGCAAAUACCAUGUAGCAGUGAAUGGCACUUAACUCUAUCGAAUCGACACUAUCGACAUGAAGCAAAUACCACAUAGCAGCGAGAGAAAGUUGCCUUUGUCAUCACGUACAAUAGCUCCCAUCGCACUCGAUUGUGUUUCAUAACGGAAAGAAGCAUCCACACUAACAUUAACACUUCCCAUGUUAGGUCUCUUCCAUAUAUGAUAUUUUUUUCAUACAGCUGAUUUGAAGUUACUGCUCUUAUGAAAUCUUUGGCCAAAACAUUGAUAGAAACUGCUCCCUUUUAGGGUUUUGGAGAGUGUAGGAUCGAAAGUAUGUCUAGUGGAGGGGGCUUCAUUAGACUACUUGAUAAGAUAAAAACUGAACCUUUUUCCUAAUUUUAGUUGUGGGCUAGUUUUAGCAAUUAUGACUAGUCAAGUUCAUCCUACUCAUGCAUAUCUAAGAUUAUAGCAGCGGAAAGUAAAGACAUGCAAAUGUAAUGAAGAGGGUAAGGUAGGAAGAUCAAAUGCAAAGGUCGACACGGUGAUUUUUGGCGUGGUUCUGAUAGGUGGUGCUAUCGUACAUCCAUAUUAGUGGAGACUUCAACCCACGGAGGGUAACAGCUGCGAGAUUACACAAAGGGCUCCACCCACAAGGGCUCCACGAAGAAGCGGCCUUGUCCAUUCCACCAUGGCUUACGUCCACACAAGACUAACCUCACUCACGGUAGAUCUUCACGAAGUAGGCGAUAUCCUUGCCCUUACAAACUUCUUGGUUCAACUCCACAACAUGAAGUAGGAGGCUCCCAAGCGACACCUAACCAAUCUAGGAGGCACCACCCUCCAAAAGUUAAUAGAUGCAAUAGAAGGAUGAACUCCUUGCUCUUGUGCUUCAAAAGAUAGUCUCCUCAACACUCAAUCACUCUCUCAUAGAUUUUGCAUGGGUAGGAGAGAUUGAUCCCAUGGAAAGCAACUUGGGGAGGCUAGAGAUCAAGUUUCAAAUGGUUGAAUUGGAAUCUCUUGAUCUUAACACAUGCAUGAGUAGGUGGCUUUCUCUCAGAAAUAUGGAUCUGGCAAGUGGGUGUGUGUUCUCAGUGCUUCCUUUUCGAAUGCGAGGAGGUGGAGGGGUAUAUAUAGACAUCUCCCAGAAUCCAACCAUUACCACAUUAUUUCCCAAUGCGGUGACACCGAAAGGAAUCUUAGUGGUACCAAGUUGCAAUAAAUGUGGCACCUUUUGAAUUCUUGGUAGACCAAUAUAUGAAUCUCGAUGGUAAAGAUACGAUGAUCUAGACCAGUUUCCAAAUCUCGGUGAGACCAAUUCCAAUCUCGGAAAUUCUGAUUGUUGGAAUUUUCUCAACAGAAAGUUGGUCAUUGAAUCUCGGUGGCUCUCAUAUGAAAGUUUGUGGUACCGCCAGAUUAGAGUCUGGCAACGGAUCCAUUGGGUGGAAAAUUAGUAGGGCCAAGUGGAAAAUAUUGGUGGCACCGAUUUUGCUCGUUUAGCUUUGGACAGGGAUAUCUUGUGGGAGAAUGGCUUAGUAGUUUUGGUGGCUAUCUCUAAGCACUUGAGCAACCAAUUCACCGUAAUACCUCACCCCCUUUAAAUAGUAUUGGCCUUCCUAUGGACUCAAAGUGAUUUAUCACAUAUGUAAAAUGUAGAGUCUUCUUGCUUGAAGCUUGAGCUAAUCCUAUUCCUUCCUUCAUCAAGGGGUUUCUCCACACAAUCCUUUAGCCAAGGCAUCUUUGAACUUUUCUAAAAUAUACUUGGAUAACAUCAUUAGUCCAAUGAUGCAUAUGUUGUGAUCAAUUAUCAAAACCACCUUAGGGAGCAAUUGUGCUUUAAAUCUCUCCCUUUUUGGUAACUGACGACAACAUAUAGAUCAAAGCUUCAACAAAAGGUAUAAUCAAUUAUUAGCAUCGACGCUUUGAGAAGUACGUGGAAAGCAAGAGAUGCCCCUAUAUUUGUGCAUUAUUUUAUAUUUGCAUUGGAAUGCAAAUGCACAAUCGAUUAGGAUCAUGGGUCACUCUUCCAUGUCACAUAUAGCUUGGUGGUGCGCAUAAAUGAUAUGAAUAAAUAGUAAUGCACAUAACACCAAACAAGCAAGUGAAUGAUCAUCAAGUAGAUGGCUCCAAGGUAAUAACGUGGUAGCAGCAAUCAAACAAAGUAUAGAUCAAACACUUCUCCCAAACACAUAAAGUCAACCAAAAGACCAAAAAAUUGAAAAACCAAAUGAGACCAAAUAAAAUGCAAACCUCUCCCUCUCGAAGACUAUUUGAUCUAUACACUUGUCCUCCUUUGGCGACAAGUUACCAAAAAGUUUGAAGGUCUAGAACUAAUUAUCUCUCUGGCUUGAACUCCUCCGGUAGAUGAUGAUGGAGUGGAUAGGAGAGCGUCGAUGAAGGCUUUUGCACAUGUCCCUGGAGCUGGAGGUGUUGACACUAGAGGUGCAGGAGCAGGAGUUGAAGGUGCUAAAGCUUGAGCUGAUGAAGAUGGUCUUGCUUCCAGAACUGGCAUAGUUGUUGACCUAGUCUGGGUCGUGAACUGAGUAGUAGUAGGAAGAGGCGACUCUUCCUCAUCACUUCUAGAGCGGGAUAUAUGCACAGAAUCAACUUUAUGCUGGAGCUGCUCAACAGUGGUAGUCAACUCCGUUACCUUAACCUCCAAGUCAUGGAAUUUUGUCUCCACGAUCCUCUCAAGUCUCUUCUGGUUCAGCAAGAUCUCGGAAAUUUUCUUCUCCAUCCCUUGGAUGGUACUGACCAAGAAUGACAUCUGCUCAUCUCUGGUCCUGAGCUAUGCGGUUGAAGCUGGAGCAUUCCUAGCAGCCGCUGUCUCUGCUACCUCUGCUGCCGCUUGAGCUGUAGCUGAGCUAGGAUGGCUAGGGUCCAUCACAACUUCAUUAUCUUCAAACUCUGGCUGAAGUGGCAGGUGGGGACGAUCAAGUAGAUAUGCAUGCUUGCCAAUCUUGGCAUUGAUGAGCAUCUGAAUAUAUGGAGCAUAUCCACAGGAUUUCUUUUGAUCUACAGCAGUCUUCCUCACAUGCUCAACUAUCAAGUCCAUCAUUAUGAACCGGAAGUGGGUGUCUAGAUGAUCCAACAUGUUGAUGGAAUAACCUCUAAUAAUCUUAUCCUCUCCUGAUUUGGGCAUGAGGGUGUAUCUCAUAAUGGUGUUUGUAGUAGGUAUCCCUGCUUGCAAGAAAUAGACAAAUCCAAACUUGUACAUCUGCACAUAUUUAUGAGGCACUGGCUUGUACAUUUUGCCGUAGAGUUAUGAUUCAUCUUGGGUUCUGAGUACACAUCCAGAUCUCCUUCUUGUGCCUUUGGAUCACCAAUUGUAGUGGCUCACUCAUACAUAAUAGACUCAUACCGGUGACCUUCAGUCAUCCAUACAAUCCUUCCGUCAGAACAGAAAUUAGCGAUGGAAUAGAAUUGCAUGAUCAUCUCAUCAUUCCAAGCAGUCAUCUCUCUGCCAACAAAAUAUUUAAUAUCGACUAGCCUGAAGUUUUCUCUCACAUGGGGAAAAUAAUGCUCACUGGCCUUGAUAUAUUCCCAAUGGACAUAUCUCAUAUCGCUGACUGCAAGACUCUUAUCAUGAAACACACUCUCAUAGAAAUCUUGUUGCUCCUUUAUGUGAAAGCGGGGAUCAACAACAGUUCUCCGUCUCACAUCAUAUGGAUCAACUGAUCUCCACUUACUCACUCCUUGAUCUCUCCUCUUUUGUAUGUCCUGAGCAGUUGGUGAGCAACAUUGUGUAGUGGCAGAUGAGCUCAAAGCUUCAUUAGAACAGGGGCACCCUCUUCCUCUUCUACCGCAAACUCUCUGGAUGCAGAGCCUUUGUUCCUCUGUGCUGCAGGAAUGUCCUUGGUAGUCUUCUUGGGAGCUACAGACUUCUUAGGAGUUGAGAACUUCUUGGGAGCAGAAGGCUUCUUUGGCAUAGCAUCAACCAUCGGCUUUUUCUUCAUAGGAGGAGGGACCUUAUGUGGAAUUUAUUCCUCCUCCUCAUCAACAACUUCUUCUGGGUCUUCAUAUAUUGAGGUUGGCCUUCCAAUAACAUAGUCAAUUCUCUUUCUUGCUCUCGUAUGACAUGGCUUCUUUGCAAGCCUAGCUUCUGGAGCUUUCAUGUCAGAACGUAUGGCAUAUUCCUUCCUCACAGUCUUCCUGACUGCGGUCUUAUCUUUCUGCUUCUCAGGAACAGAUUCCUCUGGAAUAAAGUCAACAUCUUCUUCAUCCGAAUUGAUCUUCCUUCUGGACCUGGUAGCUGCCUUGGACAAGCUAUGGGAGCUAGGUGUCCCUGGGUCAGAAGGUGUCCUCCUAGGACUAGUGCCUGAAUCCAUCUCAGCACUUGGCUCAGUGAAGUUGUUCUGACUAUCCUCUGAUCCUGACAUACUGUCACAGAGCCAAGUAGACAAUCAAACCCUAUGAAUAGAUAUACAAGAUCUAGAAGGGAUGAGCAUCACAAAAAUCAGAAGUUUUGGAAAAAUCGAACUCUGAAAAGUUAGGUUUAACAUUUAGCAAAAAAGGAUUUGUGUUCCAUCGAGACAAAAAUUUCGGAGGCACCGAUACUGACGUACUAAUUAACAGAAACUUGGCACCCUUUUCCGUUCCACUGAAAAGGAGAACUCACUUUCACCGAGACCGUUCUCGGUAGCCCUAAAAAAUCGUUAAGACCAACUUUUCUAAAUCGGUGACACCGAGAUUCAAUCUUGCGGAUGGCUAACCCUAAGAAUUCCAUUGUUCUCUAAUCUAUGGAAUUUUUCUUCUAGAUAGGAUGAGUGUAGAAGUGGACAAAAUUCAUCAAAACCUUAAUGCACAAGAAUCAGAAUUGGAGCGCAUAAAGGGGUCGGAUCCGUACCCUAGCUUGGUGAUGUAUCCGCUACGGCAACGACGACGGUGAAGAUUCCUGUUGACAACGAAGACUCCGGUGGUGAGGGCGCACGUGAGAAUUAAGGCGAUGUCCACGGGACUAGGGCGCGGCAUCGAGGAUGUGCGUCACGCGACGUUUGAAGUGAUUUUCCAAUCAUCGGGUCCGUGAGAUAUAUAUAUCUCCUAGCUGUCGGUGACACCGAUAUGGAAUUUUUGGUGCCACCGAGUUCCACAACUGUCAACUGAAAGUGAAAAUAGGUGAGGCCGGAAAGAACAACUCAGUCAUACCAAGUUAAGAAAACCUGAUCAACCCUAGGCUUCGGUGGGACCGAGAUUUUGUGGUUGGUCACACCGAGAUGCAAUUUGGGAGGUUUUGGGAUUCAGCACUUGUCGAGACGGAUCUAUCAAGCACUUGUGUCCCUAAAGUUCUUGCUCAAAUUUUGUGUUGUAGCAUGAAUAGAAUUUGAGACGAGAAAGCAUAGAUAGCUAGAGGGAAGUACUUAGGCAUUCUUGUAUAUCCAAUUGGCCAAAUGAAAUAGAAAGACAAAUAACAACAAUUGGAUAUCCUCGAAUGAGAAAAAUAUGCAUACCAACAUGCUCACACAAUAAGGUGUCAAAUAAAACAUGGUGAACAUGCACGAACAUUCUAGCAUCUAUCAAGCACUUUGGCGAUAAGGAAUUCAUCUAUAUAUGAGUAUAUUGACAUAGGAGCCAAGUAAGAGUACUUGACAAUAGGUCAUACUCAUCGAUUAAGAACAAGUGGGGUUAUCACUUUUACAUAAAACAUUAAUGUGCUCACAUCAUUUAGGAGACGCUUAUACUCAAGUCUUAGAGUAAAGCUCCUCCUAGAUGUGACAACCCCCUAAGAGGGAUAAACUAACCUUAGGUUUUGUAGUAGAAGAUUUCAAGUAGGUGUAGUAGUGGUGCAUGCUCAUUGUUGAUAAAGAUCAUCUUUGAGUUGGGAGCAAUCCUAGUUGUUUCUUACCCUUCUCACCUACAUGGGUUAGUCCCAAAGCAAAAGGAAUGUAUGCAAGAAUAUCUAUGGACAUGGCAUGAAGUGCAUGAGAGGUGAUGUAAAAAUAUGCAUUAAUUACCUUGUCCUUUGCUUACCUUUGAGGUAAUGUGUGACUCCUUGAACUAAUGCAUAUGGUUGGAGUUGAUUGCAUAUAGUUCUUGCCAAAAUGAAUAAGAGUGAAUUUGAUUGGUAGAGUCACCCCCUCAAGAAGUUUCUAGUUCUUCAUCUUAGGGACCCACAUCAACUUGAUGGGGAUCCUUGGAGUUGUGAUAGCAGUAGAUGAGGUAGUGUUAGUUGUGUCCAUGGGAUUCCACUCGACCUUGGCUUGGGUUUCUUCCUCAAAUGAUUCAAUCUCCUCUUGAAGCUUUCCCUUGCCCUUGUGAUCUUGUGGUUGAAGGUCAUGUUGAGAGCUUGUUCCCUUGGGAAGAGUAGGAUCAUACUUUUCCUCUUGAGGAACGAACUUCGGUAUGGGAUAUAGACCUUCUUCCCAUUCAUCUCCGUUGGCAUUGAGGUAACCAACACCGUGCUUCUUCCGAUGUCCUCCUAGCUUGCGCAUAAUUUACUCGAAUUGCUAACUUUCGGCAAGACUCUUGAAGACACCUCUCUCUUCCUUUCCAUAAAUCAUUUUCUUUCUCAAGUGUAACUUGGCUAAGAGAAUCAUUAGUGGAAUCAAGAGAGCUACUAGAAACAACAUCAUUUGAUCUAACUUUAGCAUUUUGUUACUAGAUGAAGAAACUUUCUUGCAUUUGUUACUAGUGUUCUUAGGUUUGACUUGUGGAAUAAAAGUAGAUAAGAUUAAUCAUUUGAAUAGAUAAGAAUAACUCUUCUUCCGAAGAUCAUCAUUGAUUGCUCUUAGAAACUCAUGAUCUUGUCCUAAAUUUAGCUUCUCGAAGCAUAACUUCUCAUGAGUUCUUGCAAGCUCCCUUUGAUCUUCUAGAGUAGUUUCACGAGCUAACUUAAGAGUGUUAAAUACUUUAGUUAGUUGUUGAGUAUCUUUCUUAUCAUCAUCAUUCGAUUUCUCUUGACUAGCAUGAUUAUGUUCAAGUUCAUUUUCAAUGUUCUCACUAGUCUUAUCAAGGAGCAAGUCAUCUCCUCCUAACAAGUCAUCCUCAUCACUAUCAGAGUCAAAGUAAUUGGGGUGUGAUACCUUGGGGCCUUUUUCCAUGAAGUUGUUUCCAGUCCCUUCAUUUGGUGAAUCAAAUAAGUCAUAGGAGUUGGAGGAAACGAGUUCAAGACCGACAACACCUUCAUCUUGACUAUAGUCAGAGUUGGAGUGGUAGCUUCUCUCAGAUUGGUUGUCAGACUCGGAGCCGGAAAGCCUUUCACCAACAUGAUCUUGAUGUCUUGUUCUUGAGAUGCUCUUGGUGUACUUGUCCUUCCUCUCCAAUUCCUUUCCUCUCUGGGAGUGUCUUCGUUCAUAAUGAUCUUCUCUAAUCCUUCUCUUUGUGAGAGGUGACUCAUCUCUUGAGCUUCGUCUUCUAGGUGACUAUUCUCUUCUUUUGUGGGGAGCCGAGCACUCAUUGGAAUAGUGUCCUGGGUUUCCAUAGUUGUAGCAGUAUCGGUCACGACUAGACGAACGCUUCUCAUCAUGUAUUGAGCUUGAGCUUCUCUCCUUGCAUCUACUUUUGUAGAACUUGUUCAAUUUUAUGACCAUGAGGUUGAUCUCUUCAUUCGUAACAAAGUUGUCAUUUGAAGUAUCUUGAGUAUAACUUGAAACUCUGUAAGUACCGCUUGACUUGUUGUGCAACUCAUCUUUGUCCUUGAGUGACAUUUCAUGAGCAACAAUCCUUCCAAUAGCUUCAGUUGGCUUGAGAUCCUUGUAGUUUGGCAUCAUUUGAAUUAAUAUACACACGGUGUCGUAUCUUCCAUCCAAGGCUCUAAGUAUAUUCUUGAUGAUGAAUUAGUCGGUCAUCUCUUCACUUUCUAAGUCGGCAAUCUCAGCGACUCCCUCACCAUCCUUCAUCUUGAACUUGUCAAGAUGACUUUGAGGCACAUCCAACUUAGAUUCCAUGACAAAAUCAGCACCUUCGUGCAGAUGAAUCAAAGUAUCCCACGUGCAGAUGAAUCAAAGUAUCCCAAAUUUUCUUUGCAUUCUCAAGGCUUGAGAAUUUUAUUGCAACAUGUUCAAUUCUUCCGAUGUCGCAUCACGAUCCGGUUCCCUUGCUUCUCCAAAUAAAUCACCUUGCACACCAACACGAAUAACAGCCCAAACGGUAGGAUUAUGACCAAGAAUAUGCAUUUUCAUCUUAUGCUUCCAACUAGCGAAGUUUGUACCAUCGAAAUAUGCACCUCUACAGUGAUAAUUUCCCUCACUAGGCGCCAUACUCUCCUAGGUUGUGAAACCAAUGCAAUGGAGGCCAAAACUUUGAUACCACUUGUAGGAUCGAAAGGAUGUCUAGAGGGGGGAGGGUGAUUAAACUACUUGACAAGAUCAAAACUUAGCCUUUUCCCAAUUUUAGUUGUGGUCCAGUUUUAGAAACUACGAGUGGUCAAGUUCAGCCUACACAUGCAUAUCUAAGAGUAUAGAAGCGGAAAGUAAAUACAUGCAAAUGUAAUGUAGAGGGUAAGGUAGGAAGAUCAAACACAAAGGUUGACACAACUAUUUUUGGCGUGGUUCCGAUAGGUGGUGCUAUCAUACGUCCACAUUAGUGAAGACUUGAACCCAUGGAGGGUAAUGACUGCGAGAGUCCACGGAGGGCUCCACCCAUAAGGGGUCCACGAAGAAGCGGCCUUGUCUAUUCUACCAUGGCUUACAUCCACACAGGAGACAAGACUAGCCUCACUCACGGUACAUCUUCAUGAACUAGGCGAUCUCGUUGCCCUUACAAACUUCUUGGUUCAACUCCACAACACGAAGUAGGAGGAUCCCAAGCGACACCUAACCAAUCUAGGAGGCACCACCCUCCAAAAUGUAAUAGAUGCGGUAGAAUGAUGAACUCCUUGCUCUUGUGCUUCAAAAGAUAGUCUCAUCAACACUCAAUCACUCUCUCACAUAUUUGGCAUGGGUAGAAGAGAUUGAUCUUGUGGAAAAAACUUGGGGAGCCUACAGAUCAAGUUUCAAAUUGUUGAAUUGGAGUCUCUUGAUCUCAACAGAUCAGUAGGUUGCUCUCUCUCAGAAAUAUGGAUCUCGCAAGUGGGUGUAUGUUCUGAGUGCUUCCUCUAUGAAAUUGAGGAUGUGGAGGGGUAUAUAUAGGCAUCUCCCAAAAUCCAACCGUUACAACAUUAUUGCCCAACUCGGUGACAUUGAAAGGAAUCUUGGUGGUAUCGAGUUGCACUAAAUGUGGCAACUUUUGAAUUCUCGAUGAGACCAAUAUAUGAUCUCGGUGGUACCGAUACGAUGACCUAGACCAGUUUCCAAAUCUCAGCGAGACCGGCUCCAAUCUCGGAAAUUCUGAUUCUUGGAAUUUUCAUAACAGAAAGUUGGUCACUGAAUCUCGGUGGCACUGAUAUGAAAGUUGGUGGUACCGAGAGAUUAGGGUUUGGCAAAGGAUCUCUCUGGUGGAAAAUCAGUAGGGUCGAGUGGAAAAUAUUGGUGGCACUGAUUUUGCUGGUUUAGCUUUGGACAAAGAUAUAUUGUGGGAGAAUGGCUGAGUAUUUUUGGUGGCUAUCUCUAUGCACUUGAUCAACCAAUUCAUCAUAAUACCCCACCCCUUUUAAUAGUAUUGGGUUUCCUAUGGACUGAAAGUGAUUUCUCACAAAUGUAAAAUGUAGAGUCUUCUUGCUUGAAGCUUAAGCCAAUCCUAUUCCUUCCUUCAUCAAGGGGUUUCUCCUCACAAUCCUGUAGCCAAGGAAUCUUUGAAUUUUUUCCGAAAUAUACUUUGAUAAGCUCAUUAGUCCAAUGAUGCAUAUGUUUUGAUCAAUUAUCACGACCACCUUAGGGAACAAUUGUGCUUUCAGAGAGUUUCACCCCUCACAAACUGUUGUCGUUGCCACCAUAUAAACUAAGAAGCCACUACAAUCAGUUAUGAUGUUGGCAGCUCCCCUACUUUGGAUUGGUUUCUCUCUAAAACCUCAAUAGUUACAGAUCCUGACCGGUCCUCACAAACUGCCUUAUGGAUCACAUCUUUCACUCCAAGCUUUUUCCAAAUUCUAGAAGCACAACAAGAGGUGAAUAAGUAGUUAGAUAUCUUCAAACCCAACAUUGACUAGUAACAUGUAUGUGACAGCCAGUGAGCACUCCAAAGCAUGGUCGAAUUCCCCUCAGAACCUUCCAUGCAAAGGGUUUAACUUUGCGACAAACUCGAAGCCUUCAAGUAUGUUGUGUGUAAGUGUUAAACAUAAGAAAGUUGUUAAACUAAAUUGUGUUCUUAAUUUGUGCUAUAUAACUAGAUAUUGUGCCUUCUAUGAUACUACAAUUACUGUUAAACUGAAAAGCCCGCCACGACAACCAAAAAUGUUGACGUGUUCACUUGGCCUGACAAACAAUACUAGUGGCGGGCAUGUAUAAUAAACUGCCACUGGUACAAACAUUAGCAGUGGUGGACGCCCUGCCUGCCACUGAUGACUGGUUAGUAGCGACAGACACCCUUCACAAUAACCCUGCCAUUGGUAGGCAUUUUGUGUCUGCCACUGCUAGCCUGUUCUCCAGUAGUGACAAGGGUUUUCCUCCAAGACUAUAUCAUUCAUACCUAGUAUGCGUAGGAGUUAUCACCCGAUUUAAUGCAUGCAUGAUAGCAUGAAUCCUUUAGGGAUAAUUUGGAAGCAAGGUAAAGAAAAUGAGGGUAGCAAAUCCUCCCUUAUCACAUGAAUUUAAACAUCCCAUGUUAUUCACUUUAUUAAGUUGCCCCAUUUCAUUAAGUAAAAUUGUGCCCCUCAAAUUCACAAGAUUCCAAAGUUGUGGGAAUGAAAAGUACAAUGAGACGUCCAACUAAAUCAUAUAAUGUUUGUGAAUUUUGAAUCAAAGUUUUUUGAUUGUGCCACAGAAAGAACAAGAAUAUUAUUUACACUUUGUUUGAGCCAAUGCAAUUUUUCUUAUGUAAUGCAAGCAAAAUUGAAUCUGAAGGAGAAAAAUUUCCAAUAGGAUACGACUUUGGGGAUCAAAUAACACCCAUAGUAAAAAAGCAUAGGUCUAUUUAUAUCACAUCUAUAUUAUCUCACAUCUAAGUUAUGACAUCAGCGAAAGUCAAUGCUUUUCCAGCCCACCGCAUUUUCUUAUAUUUAUUUUUUUGCGACAUUUUUUCAUUCGUUUUUUUAUUGGAGCGUGCUAAAAAAUGCAAUAAGACUUGCCUAUGAAUCGAACUCAAGACUAGAUGGUGGUAGUUGAGAGCUCCCACCAGUAUAACCAUUACAUGCAUUUGAUAAAUUCUAAGCGGCAUAUCUUUAAGAAAAUACAACAGAGUUGAUAUUAGAAGAAAUUUUCAAGAAAAAUGUAAAAAAUUUUAAAUGUAAAAUAUUUCUGAAAACCAAAGAAAACUUGAAAUUUCCAAAGUAUUUUUCAAAUAUAAAUAAAGUUUGUAAUGCCAAACAUUUUUUGAAAAAUUAGAAAACAAUUUGAUAUUCCGAUUUUCUUAAAAAAGAUGACACUUUUUGAAAAAUUCCCGAACAAUUUAUAAAUCAGGUACACCUUUUAAAAUUCCAAUUCCUUUAAAAAACAUGGUUAAAUGAAUAUAUUUUUAUUGUAAUCAUAACUUUUCAACAAAUGUUUUUUUGCACCAUUAAAAGAAUGAGGGUGCAAAGAAUGUUCAUGUAGUUCACAAGAAUGUCCGUGAUGUUUAAUAAAAAUGUAUUAUACAAUGGAAAAUAAUCAUAACAUUCAAAUAAUUAUUAUUUACAAUCUUUUAAAAGAAACUUCACGCAUUUAGAAAAAUCAAAACAUUUUCUAGAAAAAAUAUUUGUCCGAUGUAAAAAAAAUGUUCACGUAUUUUUUUAAAAAUCAUACAAUUUAGAAAAAUGAUUUAAAAAAUGUUUACCAUGUAUUCUAAGAAUGCUUGGGCCUGUACUUGGAAAAAAAUAUUCAUCAUGCAUUUUUAAACAAUGGUAUGUGUGUUAAAAAAUGUUCCUAGUGUAUACAUGAAAAUGUACAAUGUGCAUUACAAAAGUUGACAUGUAUUUGUGAAAGCUAAAUUGCUCCCUAAGGUGGUUUUGAUAAUUAGUCACAUCAUAUGCAUCAUUGGACUAGUGAGUUUAUUCAAAUGCAUUUAAAAAAGUUCAAAGAUGCUUUGGCUAUAGGAUUCUGUGGAGAUACCCCUUUGAUGCAAGGAAGGAAUAUGAUUGGUUCAAGCUUCAAGCAAGAAGACUCUACAUUUUAUACUUUGUGAGAAAUCACUUUGAGUCCAUAGAAAAGCCAAUACUAUUAAAAAAGAGUGAGGUGUGAUGAUGAAUUGGUUGCUCAAGUGCUUAGAGAUAGCCACCAAAAAUACUGAGUCACUUUCCGACAAAAUAUAUAUGUCCUAAGCCACAUAAGCAAAAUCGAUGCCACCAACAUUUCCUACUCGUCCAUACCGAUUUUACACUUAGACAAAUUAUAUGCCAAACCCAUCAUCUCGGUACAACCAACAUUCCUAUCGGUGCCACCGAGAUUUGGUGACCAACAUUCUGUUGAGAUGAUUUCAAGUUUCGGAUUUUUUGAGUUUGAAUUUUGUCUCACCGAGUUUUGGAAACCAGUCUAGGUCAUCGUAUCGGUACCACCAAGAUUCUUAUAUCGGUCUCACCGAGAAUUCAAAAGUUGCCACAUUUAGUGCAACUUGGUACCACUGAGAUUCUUUUUGGUGUCACCGAGUUGGGCAAUACUGUUGUAACGGUUGGAUUUUGGGGGAUGCUUAUAUAUACCCCUCCACCUACCUCUCAUUCGUAGAGGAAGCACUCAGAACACACUUACACUUGUGAUAUCCAUUUUUCUGAGAGAGAGACACCUACUCAUGUGUUGAGAUCAAGAGAUUCCAAUCCAUUCAUUUGAACCUUGAUUUCUAGCCUUCCCAAGUUGCUUUCCACAAAAUCAAUCUCUCUUACCCAUGCCAAAUCUAUGAGAGAGUGAUUGAGUGUUGAGGAGACUAUCUUUUGAAGCACAAGAGCAAGGAGUUCAUCGUUCUACCACAUUGAUUACCUUUUGGAGGGUGGUGCCUCCUAGAUAGGUUAGGUGUCUCUUGGGAGCCUCUUACUUCGUAUUGUGGAGUUGAACCAAGAUGUUUGUAAAGGCAAGGAGAUCGCCUACUUCAUGAAGAUGUACCGUGAGUGAGGCUAGUCCUUCGUGGGCGGAAGCCGUGGUGGAAUAGACAAGGUCACUUCUUCGUGGACCCCUUGUGGGUGGAGCCCUCCGUGGACUCUCGCAGCCGUUACCCUCCAUGGGUUGUAGUCUCCACUAACAUGGACGUACGAUAACGCCACCUACCGGAACCAUGCUAAAAAUCUCCGUGUCAACCUUUGUGUUUGAUCUCCCUACCUCACCCUCUACUUUUUUUUGAUGGGAAACUGUAAGCAAAACCCCUCACAACGAGUUUUUUUUGAAAUAAUAAGAACUCAAAUUCGCGCCCGUGGGGACUUGAACGUGGGUGGCUGGGUUGUACAUCUACUCCACUAGACAAGUGAGCUAGGCUCACUUCCUUUACUCUUGCAUGUUUUACUUUCCGCUGCUAUACUCUUAGAUAUGCAUGUGUAGGGUUUACUUGACUAGUUAUAGUUGCUAAAACUGUCCCACACUUCAAAUUGGGAAACAACUAAGUUUUUAUCUUGUCAAGUAGUCUAAUCACCCCGCCUCUAGACAUACUUUCGAUCCUACAAUUUGGAAAAAUAACUAUAUAGGGGUACUGGGUUGGGAAUGAUUUGCAUGAGGAGAGUGGACAUGCAACUAUGUCGGACAUGAGCUGCAUGACUGAGUCGGGUGGGUUUACGUGUUGGGGUGGAAUGGAACUAGAUAGGGGCCGAGGCAAGUUGCGUGUUGAAAAACAAAACACAAGCUUACUUGUGCAUUAAGGGUGGACUUGCAAUUGGAAGAAGAGCUAGGUUGUGAGUGGAGGAUAGACUUACAUAUGGGACAACUACAAAUUGAGACCAAUUGCGUGUCAAUGGUUGACUUAAAACUGGGAUAAAACAAACUAUGGUUCAAGUUGCGAGUUAACGGUGGAUUUGCAACUAGGAUGAUGACAAAAAUAUAGGCUCACUUGCGAGUCAUUUGUGGGCUUGCAACUGGAAUAAAACAAACUAUGAGACUAGUUGCGAGUCGAUGUUGGACUUAUAACCGAGACAAGCAUAUAAACUAUGAUACGAGUUGAGAGUUGAGAGUAAACUUGCAAUUGAGAUGAAAAACAAAACACAUACCCAAUUGCGUGUCGAGGAUGGACUUGUAACUGAGAAAACAAAAAUAUGGGCCCGACUGCGAAUCGAGGAUGGACUUGCAACAGGGACAACAAAAAAACUAUGAUCCCACUUGUGAUUCGAGGACAAACUUGCAAUUGAGGCCCCUACAAGUACAAAGCCCUUAGUUACGAGUUGAGGUUGGAUUCGCAACUCGGGAAACUACAGGUACAGAAAGCCCAGUUGCGAGUCGAGGAUGGACUUGGAACCUUGAAAAUACGACUACAAAAAAGCCUCUGUUCCGAUUUGAGGGUGGACUUGCAACUGGGGCAACUACAUGUACAAAAAGGUCCCAGUUGUGAGUCGAGGGUAGAUUUUCAACUACGAUAACUACAGGUACAAACCUCGAGUUACGAGUCAACGGUGGACUUGCUACUAGGGUACCUAAAAUUACAACGCCUCGAGUUACGAGUCGGCGAUGGAGUUGAAGCUGGUGCACCUACAACUACAAAGCCUCGAGUUGCGAGUUGAGGAUGGACUUGCAACUAGAUUAACUACAAAGUACAAAAGAAAACCAGUUGUGAGUCAAGGGUUGACUUGCAACUAAGACAUCCACAGUUACACAAAAACCCCUAGUUGCAAAUCAAGGAUGGACUUGCAAGUGGAGCAACAAUAGGUACAAAGCCAGUUGUGAGUCGAUGGUAGACUUGCAACUUGGCCAACCACAACUACAAUACCUUCAAAAGAAGGGUGAAACUAUGAAAUUGGGAUGAAACCAACUAUGGGACCAGCUGCGUGUCGAGGGUGGACCUGGAACCGGGAUAAGAAAAAAAGUACAAGCUCAAGUUGUGAACCGAUGAUGGGGUUGAAACUCGAACAACUACAGGUUCAGUUACGAGUCGAUGAUGACUCCAAACUUGCACAACUACAAAACUAGGAGCCCAGUUGCGAGUCAUGGGUUGAUUUGCAACUAGGAUAAAACAAACUACUGGACCAGUUGCGAGUCAAGGGUGGACCUGCAACCGGCAUGAGAAACUAAACACAGUCUGAGUUGCGGCUCAAGGGUGGGCUUGAAACUGCUAUGAAACAAACUUCAUGCCUAGUUGCGAGGUCAGGAUGUACUUGUAACUGGGACAACUACAUGAAACUAAGAUAUGAGUUGCAAGUCGAGGGUGGACUUGCAACACGGACAAACUACACAAAACUACGAUACGAGUUGUAGUCGCGAGGGUGAACUUGUAACUGGGACAACUACAAAACUACGAGUCGAGUUGCAAUUCAAGUAUAUCAUUGCAAUUGGGAUGAAACAAACUACGGGCCUAAUUGCGAGUCAAGGGUGAACCUGUAACUGGGAUGAAAAACUACACAUAGACCGAGUUGCGAGUCAAGACUAGACUUGCAUCUAGGAUGAAAUAAACUACGGGCCUAGUUGUGAGUCAAGUGAGUACUUGCAACUCGGGAAAAUACACAAAACGACUACGAGUAGCGAUUCAACAGUUGACUUGCAACUCGGACAACUAAAUGAAACUACGAUAAGCGUUGCGAGUCCAGGGUAGACUUGCAGCUGGGACAACAAUAAGGCUAUGGGCUCAGUUGCGAUUCGAAGGCAAAUUUGCAAUUGGGACAACUACGAAACCAUGAGCCCAGUUGUGAGUCAAGGGUGAACUUGCAACCAGGAUGAAACAAACUACAUGCCUAGUUGCGAGGCAAGGGAGGACUUGCAACUCGGCAAGUACACAAAACUACCAUACUAUUUGGGAGUCAAGGAUGGACUUGCAACCGAAACAAUAACAAACUACGAGCCCAGUUACGAGUUGAAUGUGGACUUGCAACUAGGAUGAGAAAAACACAUAAUGAUUUAUGAGUUUAGGGUAAACUUGUAACUAGGAAAACUAAAAAUUCAUUUACGAGUUAAAGAUGGACUCUACAAAUUCUCGGUCAUGCCAAAAAAACACACAACGAAAAUGAACAAAAAAUAUAAAGGGAUCGCGCCUCCCAAGCAACGAUAAAAGUAACAUGAGAACAUGCGAGCAUAAAACAAAAUGGAACAAGAGGACGCGCGACAAGAGAGAAAGAGCUGACACGGACGCACAUGAUCGACUUUGUGCAAACAUCAAACAAAUCAGAUGAUUAUAACUUGAUAAGACAUCACUAAAUCUCAUCUAAAUAAGAUUUAGCAAAUCUAAAAAAUAUCUAGUUACACUCUCCUCUACUACACAGUCAAACUAAAAUAAACAUAUAACCCACAAAAAGCUAGUACACACAACGUAAAAGGGCACACUAAAAAAAGUCAUAUAUGACCUCACUGCUUAACGAGGAGCGAAUGAAAAACACGACACAUCAACAAUGAAAGUGAAUCAUAAGCAUAUGAAUCAGAUGAGACGUUGUUAACUCACAUUUACUCCCUCCGUACCUAAAUAUAAGUCUUUUAAUAUAUUUCAUUAGGUGUCUACAUACAAAGCAAAAUGAAUGAAUCUAUACUCUAAAACAUGUCUAUAUACAUUUGUAUGUAGUCCAUUAGUGCAACAUCUAGAAAGACUUAUAUUUAGGAACGGAGGGAGUAGAUGAGAAUUAGACGUGAGUUAACAAAAACAAUAAAAAAAGAAACCCCUGGAUCAUACCGUAGUGACCCACCAAAUGACGCACGUAGAAGUAGGUAAGUAAGUAAGUAUCUUGGAUUACCUGCGAUAGUGGGAGCAGAUAGGAGUGAAAGCUUUGAAUACUUUUGUGACAAAAUCAAGAAGCUUCUGAAGGGGUGGAUGGAAAAGCAACUGUCAACAGGAGGGAAAGAAAUCUUGUUAAAAGCAGUGGCUCAAUCCAUCCCUGUCUUCGCUAUGUCAGUUUUCUGUUUGCCUAAGGGAACUUGCAAGGAUAUCACGGAUGUAAUUGCUCAGUAUUGGUGGGGAGAUGAUGAAGAAAACAAAAAAAUGCACUGGUUCUCGUGGUGGAAACUAUGCAUCCGAAGUGUGAUGGUGGCAUGGGUUUCCGCGAUCUUCACUCUUUUAACUUGGCCCUUCUUGCGAAACAAUGUUGGAGAUUGAUCACAAGGUCGGAGUCCAUCUGUGCUCGCAUCUUGAAGGCAAAAUACUACCCAAAUACAGACUUGCUACACGCUGGACCAAAGAGCGGAUCUUCGUUCACAUGGCAAAGCUUGAUGGCGGGCUUGACUGCGUUUAAAAGAGGGUACAUUUGGCGAAUUGGUUCGAGGGAAAAUGUAAGUAUAUGGAAUGAUCCAUGGAUACCCUCAAGCCCGGACAGAAGGGUGAUAACUCCUCGGCGGCAGAUUCUGAUUUCGAGGGUGGUAGAGCUCAUUGAUCCAGUCACCGGCCAAUGGGAUGAACAAUUGAUACGAGACAUCUUUUACCCAGUCGAUGCAAACAGAAUCUUGCAGAUACCUUUAAAUUUUCAAGCAUUUGAUGACUUCAUUGCGUGGCACCUCACAAGGAAUGGUAUUUUCUCGGUGAGGAGUGCUUAUCAUGAACAAUGGUCACAUAAGCUCAGGGGUCAAUCCCUUGUGAAUUCAGUGUCCACCAGUACUAUGCAGGCAGCUAUUUGGAAGAAGCUCUGGGAGUUACAAGUGCCAUGGAAAAUACAGAUUUUCUUUUGGCGGGCGUUGCGUGGAAUUGUACCACUAAAAUCCAUUCUUGCUAAUAAGCACAUCCCUAUUGAUGGGGAGUGUCCGGUGUGCCAUAGGGGACCUGAAGACAUGCGGCAUAUGUUAUUCCAGUGUGAUUUGGCGAGAAGGUUGUGUGCUGGACUAGGGCUGAUUGAUCGUAUUGAACAAGCAGUUCAAGUGGAUCGCUCAGGGUCAGCCAUCUUAGAAUUUCUCCUACUAGAGCUGGACCAACCAAUGUCGAUCAUGUCAAGUAUUAAUGACAAAGAGGUAAUAGCGGCUGGCUGCUGGUAUCUCUGGUGGCUCCGCCGGCGACACACCCAUCAUGAUUCUUGCCCUCCAUCCUUCAGGUGGCAUACCUCAAUUCUAGCAAUAGUGGGAAAUUACAUAAAAUCUUUAUCAAAGAAGAGGGAACCGGUGGAACACAAGUGGAAGAGACCAGAGGCAAGAUUUAUAAAGCUAAAUGUGGAUGCUUCAUUCCAUUCAGAUGAAGGAUCGAGUUCUACUGCAGGUAUCUUACGAGAUGAAAAGGGUGGCUUUAUUGCAGGGUUUUGCAGAUUCAUUCCCUUUGCAGCUGACGUUGUCACGAUUGAAGCAAUGGCAAUGCGAGAUGGUUUACAUUUGGUGAACUCCUUGGGCUUUAACAGGGUAGAAGCGGAAUCAGAUUCUUUGAGCGUCAUCAAGUGUUGCCAAGGGCAAGAUCAGUGGUGGGAUGCAGCAGCGGCUGUCUUUGCUGAGUGCAUAGAUAUGGCUACAUCUAUAGGAAAGGUCAUCUUUUCUCAUUGUUUUCGUGAAGCUAAUUCAGUAGCUCAUGAGCUAGCAAAGUUUAGUUUCUGUAAUAAAGUUGAGCACAAUUGGACUAAUGAACCUCCUGAGUUCUUAGUUAGCCAAUUGAUGAAUGAUGUUUUGAUUAUUUGAGUUAAUAAAGCUAGCCAUGAUGGCCUUUCCUCAAAAGAAAAAAGGAAACGCAUGUACGCGACACUAGAUGCAGCAACAAAAUAAUCCAUGAUUAAGAUUUGAAAAAAUGUAAAACAAACAGAUGAGAGUAUGUUUUUCAUGAAUAUUAAAAAAAAUGGAAAACAAGAAAAUACAAAUAUAAAUAAAAGAAAACCAGGAAACUAAAAUACUUGAUAAUUUGAAACAAAUAAUAAAACAGAAAAAAGAAAAAGAAAAAGAAGAAACAACAAAAGUAAUGCGGCAGCCGAUAUAGGCUACAGCCCAUAUAACAAGAAGAACCUAUAGGUACGAGGGCAGCUACCUAACAUACCGUUGGCGAUCCUAAAAAAAGUGAUCCUCAAACGCAACAUUCGUUUCUUCAAAAACAGGGUUGGGGGGGGGGGGAUAACAUAGUGUAUGAAACAGAACUACUAGACGGAUGAAAAAAGCAAAUCAAUCCGUGGUUGGAUGAUUGGAGAGACAGUGAUAUCCCAGCACAUCAGGGUUUAAAUCCUGAUGCUACACUAUUUUUAAAUUUAUUUCAGGAUUUCCGACAAUAUGCUUUCAGUGGGAGGAGACAUUCCCGUCGAGGAUAAGAUGCCUACAGUGACUUUGUAAAUCUCAAGACGAUAUACUCGCUCAGUCUUUGAGAGAUGUUCAUAGGGAUAAGAUGUGUGUAUGUUCGGUUUAGGAGUUAAAUCUGAGAUAAGUAUUUUACAUCUAGAUGUGAAAUAGCAAUUUCAAAAAUUCAUAUGAAAAAUCUCUGAAUGAAAAAGACUCAUUAACUUAGAAACUCCAUGCAAAAAUACAAGGCUAACUUUUUUUCUCUUAAAUAAAAAAGAAAAAUAGAGAAAAAUGACGGAGGAUAACACUUGGCAGUGGGCGGGUGAAACACAUCACAAUUUUAUUUUCAAAUUGAUCUCUAACCAGGAAAAUACCCCGCGCAUACAACCAAGACCACGCACUCACCCCAUCGCAUGGCCUCCACACGCCUUGUCGAUAUCCAUGGUGGCAUCUAGCGCCGGCCGGGUGGCACGGAUCCCCCUUCACUCCCUCAGCGUGUGAACGUCGUCGCUCCAGCCCAACCGUUGCUCGUGUUCAGGAUAAGCUGCCCAGCUCGUCCGCCCUUCUUAUUGCCGCUGCUUCUCAGCUCACACGCUCCAACACUAUCCUCUCGUGUCUCGUCGAGCUAUCUGUCCACGGAGUAGUACCUUCCCGAGCUAGCUCGCAGCUCCGCCGCAAUGGCCACCGUGGUGAGCAGCCUCCGCUUGCCCUUCUCCGUCUGCGCCGCCGCCCCCUCGGCGCCCAUGGCAUCCCGCGUCGCGCUCCCGCUGUCGUCGACGGCUGCCAGGGGCAUGAGGCUCCGCGCGCAGGCGACGUACAAGGUGAAGCUGAUCACGCCGGAGGGCGAGGUGGACCUCGAGGUCCCCGACGACGUCUACAUCCUCGACCACGCCGAGGAGGAAGGGAUCGACCUGCCCUACUCCUGCCGCGCCGGCUCCUGCUCCUCCUGCGCCGGGAAGGUGGUCUCCGGCCAGCUGGACCAGUCCGACCAGAGCUUCCUCGACGACGACCAGAUCGAGGCGGGGUGGGUGCUCACCUGCGCCGCGUACCCCACCUCGGACCUCGUCAUCGAGACACACAAGGAGGAGGAG